rnacentral:lncRNA from 1 species
GAACACCAGCAGCAACUAAAAUUUCCAGGCCAUGGCAGAUGGAUGCAAUUGGUUUCCUGGCUUCCAUAAAUUGUUUCGCUAGUACAAUAACAUCCUCAUUUAGUGACAAAACCUCUGGAUCUUUUCCUCCAGGGAGUACAAGAGCGUCGUAACUUGAGGCAUCUACGGAUUCAAAGUCAGCUGUUAAAACAAAAUUUUGUCCCUGCGUUUCACUGCAGGUUUGGGCCCCUUCAAGAUCACGGAUAGCAGUUGGGCAGGUAUCACCGGCUUUCUUCUUGGGGCAAACCACAUCAACAUGGCAUCCUAGAACUUUAAGGGUCUGAUAAGGCACAGUUACCUCAUAAUCUUCCACGUAGUCCUACAAAUAUUACAAAUAUUGGGGAGGGGAGCAAUUAAAUGAUAAUGAUUAGUAUCUAACAGUUUGAUCAUUGGCUAGAAGCCUAAAACCAUGAACUUGUCGUGGCGAAACUGGUAAAGCCGACUCGGGCUUUCUCCCCUUUCUCUUUUAAUAAUAUUAAGGUUGGUUGUCACUUGAACUUGAGCAUACUAUUUUGUCCUAUAUAUGUCAUUGCAAUAUUAAAGAAAAAGAAAAGAAACCUUACUCCACAGAUGAUGAGGACCCUUCUCCCAGAACCAGAUAUGUUGCCUCCUAGUGCCUUGAGAAAAAGCCUAAUGAACUCAGGAUUGCCAUAAUACGUGACCCCAGUAACUAUAUUAUCAUCAACAACGCCCACUGACAAUGUAUCGGGUUCUACCCAGUGAGCACCAGCAGCAACCAAUCCAGGUUUCACAGUUGGAAACGCUGUGCACUUGCGACCUUUAACAGCGCCUGCAGCUGCUAAGACCAACUGCCCAUGGCAAAUAGCAGCAAUUGGCUUUCUGGAGUCAGAAAAUUUUCUCACCAAUUCUACAACCGAUGCAUUCAUAGCAAGAUGUUCAGGAGAUCGUCCUCCUGGUAUAAGUAGACCAUCAUAUUCGUCAAAUUCAAUCUCAUCAAAUGUUGCAUUCAGUGUGAAAUUGUGACCACGAGAUUCGGUAUAAGCCUGUAACCCAAAAAGGUACGUACGUCCGUACAGAAAACCAAACCAAACACACACAUUAAAACAGGAGUAAGGGGAUACAAAAUAAAUAAAUGAACAGGAAAGACAGAGUUUGACCCGGUCAGUGGACUCCACUUUAAUGGUUAUGGCUGUGGCGCAGAUAUCACCCGCUUUCUUGCCAGGAGAAACUGCAUCAACAGAGACUCCAAAUGCCUGCAGUGCUUGAAAUGGGACCAUUGCCUCGUAAUCUUCCAUGUAGUCCCCGCACAGUAACAACACCCUCCUCUGCUCCUCGCCUUUCGGAUUUCCCAUUUCUUUUCUUAUUUCCUUCUUUAGUUUCUUUCUUGCUUUUUCUUUCUUCUUUCUUCUUUCUUCUUUUUCAGAGAGAGAGAUGGUCUAAUAAAGGAAGGAAGGCCUGCUUUAAAUACUAAUACUCACACAAGCGUUUUUGGAGGUUUGUGGAGUCAGCUAGACACGUCGCAGUUAGUUAUCGUGGCAUCUCUUUCUAUUCCUCUCUUCUUUUCAGUUCGGAUAACUAUUCAAUGAGUUUCGAGCCAAGUUUGAUAUUCUCUGUUGUCUUAUAAUUAUUCGAGGAAGAUUCAAACUUGUAAUGUUUAUCUCUAACAGGCAUGGACAAUAAAUGUAAUGUUUAUCUCUAACAGGUAUGGAUAGUUUCGAAUAGCGUGCGCGUUGAUUGUACCUCGACUGCCAUGUUGAUUUUCACCAACGCAGCAAAGCUGCUUGCUUGGUGUUAUGAGGUCUGGUUUUGUCAACAAACUAUAUUAAUUGACCCAAAAGAAAAUGCAAUAUAAUGUGGAUCCUCAUUUCGCAGUGACAGGAUGGUUGUGAAAUACAGGCUAACUUUGGGCAACAUGAUAUUCAAAAGAAAAUUCAAUAUCUUGUCGAUCCUCAUUUUGCAGUUACAGGAUGGUUGUGAAAGUAUAAGCUAACUCUGGACAACACGAUAUUCAAAAGAAAAUGCAAUAUCUUGUCGAUCCUCAUUUCCCAGUUGCAGGAUGGUUGUGAAAGUAUAAGCUAAUUCUAGACAACUGAUAUUCAUUCAGGUAAAACUUCGAGGUGUACGAUGAGAGAGAGAGAAACCAAGGGGGCCGAUGACUAAUAAAGCAUAAGUAGUAUAAUACAAGCUUCAUCCACAACCAAACUUGCAUGGAACAUGGCAUAUACAUAUCGAGACCAGAAUCAUUUGUUCCCUCAUAUAUACAAACGUCACCUUAACAUAACACAACAUACAUGCCUUAUUCUUUCAUGAAUUACAUAUAGUACAUGCAAGCAGCUGACCCAAUAAACAGCAAAUGAUACUCGAAUAUCAAGCAAUGUCAUCAACUGAGAAAUGAACUCUGGGUUGCCCAGUCCAAAUUUCCAUCUGUGAAGCAAUGAUCUAUUGGAUCAGGUUCCAGCCAUGUUGCUCUUGACAAAACCGCAUUAAGCUUCACCGCUGGAUACGCAGUACAUUUCUUUCCCUAAAAUGAAGCAUACCACCAAAACAUUGAAAAUACACAUAGGAAUGAAUGAUGGAACCCUAUCACACCAGAAUUGUGGCAAAUCUGGUGAAGCCUAUUCAGGUUAUUUUCACUAUAUAUCUUUCAGAAGUAUCUGUAAUGGGGCAAAUCUCCAUCAAUUCUCUUCUUUUCACUUUAUCUUUAUGCCCAUUCAUGCAUGUACAUAUUAUAGGAAGAAGUUUUUGACAUAUGGCAUGUAUUGUGUGUCAAAUGUAUACCGAUUCAUGAAGACAGGUUCAACAGCACAUACACCAUUUUGACCUUAUUCAUUUAUUUUUGUUUAUUCUGGGUUACUGCAAUUUGAAUCACAUUAAAAAACAAAUACUGAACAGUGAUAUAUUCAAUAUUGAUUGGCAUCACAACUUCAUAUUUCUCAUUGCACUACGAAGGAAAAUAAAAAUUACCCCACAGAGAAACAGGAUCCUCCUAUCUGAACCAGUUAUGUUACUUCCUAUAGUGCCUUCAAAAAAGACUAAUGAACUCAGGAAGGCCUUCAUAUGUAGCCCCAGUUAUUAUAUUACCAUCAACAACACACGCCACCAUGGUCACGGGCUCCACCCAAUAAGCACCUGCAGGCUGCAGCAACAAGUACAGGUCUGACAGCUGGGAAGGCCGUUAUAUUUUAAAGGCAUCGCGGCGGAGCUAUACUCUAUAAUCAAAAUAGAAAAUCUAAAACGUAUAGCCGUUCGGCUAUACUCUAUAAAUAUAACUCCAUAAAUAGAAUAUCAUAAACAUAUAGCCGCGCGGCUAUAUGCGAUAAAUAGAAUAUUUCAAACGUAUAGCCGAUUGGCUGUACCCUAAAAUAGAACAUUUUAAAAGUAUAGCCGAUCGGCUGUACUCUAUUAGAAGAUCUUCAAAAAAUACAGAAAACCCAAAAACAUUUUAAAACAAAGGGGGACCAGAAAGACAUAUAUAGCAUUUGAAGAUUUGUAAAUUAAACACAGAUAAGAUUAUUUUCACUUAGAGACGAAGGCACUAAUGCAAUUUUGUUUAUUGAAUAUGGUGUACGCAGUGACGUUGGAGCCAAGAAUUUGUUCACGCUGUCUUUUCCCCAGAACUCAAAGCUCAAUACAGGUCGGUUCUCUAGCUCAUAAUGAAUGAGCAAAGCACUCUAACAAAACUCCUAACAUGUGUUCUUGUUUGAGCUUACUUUAGUCUCGCUGUCCACACAACCUAGAAACUAUGACCUACGGAUUGCUAUUUGUCAAUCUAAUAGAGUGGCUCUAAUCAACAGUAAAACUUAAUUCAUUUUGUCUAUUAUUAACGCUACCAACCACUGGCUGAUGCAAAAACCUAAACUUGUAAACUUGACAAACUUAUUUCCAGUCCCAACAUAUUCCAAAUUUUAGAGGAGGCAGCAUAAUCCCAUAUGUGAGAAUUGUAAGCACUUCAAUCUUUGAGACAAAUUUCUUGUUUUGGGUUUACAAAUUCAAGUGAAGUAAGCAUUCAAUCUUCAAUCCAAUUGAGUGUGCUUGAUUACAGAGCAUGGAAAGACCAAUUGACAGUGCUCAAAUGAUGUAAUGAGGCUAAAGAAUAAAUUUUUAUCAUAUAAUCAUUAAAUAUGUUCACUAAAAGAUGUGUCAUCGUUAUAUGUAAAAUUUUUAGAAAUAUAUAAACUAGCUAGGAUUUACGUGAAUUCGAAUUUGAAUACAUGAAAUAUUAUUACCUACUACAUCAUUUGAUGAACAGAUUUGAUGUUCCUAACAAUUCUAUGCGUACUAGUAAAGUACUUUGUCUUUAAUUUGGAAGUACCCGAAAGCAUAAUGUUUUUCAUAUAUUAUCUGGCAGGAGGCAAUUCAAGAAAAAAAGCCAUCAUUAUUGGAGUCGUAGUUGGAGGUGUAGGUCUUUUUAUUCUCAUUGUUGGAGUUUUUCUCUAUUUUAAACUUUCAAGAAAGCCCGAGGCUGCAACAACCACAGAAUUCGAAGUUGCACUUCCUCUUGCAUAUAUACUAUUACAGUCAUGAUUUCUUGGAUUACAAGUACAAGGGUUUAAGAGAUUUGUGAUCACUCACCGUUGGAUGUAAAUUCAACGGUUCACUCACUCUUGCACUUCUUUUAAGAAAUUUUUUUGAACCAUUGGAUUAAUAUCUAACGGUGGGUGACCACAAUCUCUUGGACUCCUGUAUUCCAAGAGAUCGGAUUGUAUACUAUAAGUCCUGAUCUCUUAGACUACAAGAGUACAAGAGAUUUGUGGUCACUCACCGUUGGAUAUAAAUUCAACGGUUCACUCAUUAUUGCACUCCUUUUAAGAAACUUUUUUGAACCAUUGGGAUUAAUAUCCAACCGUAAGUGACCACAAUCUCUUGGACUCCUGUAGUCCAAGAAAUUUGUGGUCACUCACCGUUGGGAUGUAAAUUCAACGGUUCACUCACUCUUGCACUCCUUUUAAGAAACGUUUUUGAACCAUUGGAUUAAUAUCCAACAGUGGGUGACCACAAUCUCUUGGACUCCUGUAGUCCAAGAGAUCGGGACUGUAUACUAUUAGUCCUGAUCUCUUGGACUACAAGGGUCCAAGAGAUUUGUGGUCACUCACCGUUGGAUGUAAUUCAAUUAGCUCAUGCUCUAACCAUGUAUAUAUAUAAACAUAAAAAAUUUAAAAAAAUUUGGUAUUAGACAUAAUUAUCUUUACUAAUUAGUAUUCGAGAUAAACAAUAUUUAUGUUUUAGUUUUAAUACAUAGGAAUUGAAUUUUGUUUUGGAUUUGGACAAAGAGGAGGCCCAGAUUCAUUAGCCCACCUUAUAUUAAUCACUAAUUUUAAUUUAAAAACCUGACUCAAAUUCAUUGGUUUACCUUUUUUUUAAGAGUGCUACUAAACGAACCCUAACAUUAACUGAGUACACCCUAUGAUCUAAGUACACCCUGAUAUUUUAAUUUAAAUGUAAAAUUAACUAAGCACACCCUAUAGAACUACCAAAAAUAUCUCUGGUACACCAUAAUAUUUGUAGCAUUAUUUUAUAGUUGAUUUUUAGCUUGAUUUUUUUAAUAGUGUUUAUAAAUCUUUGACUUUUCAUAUGGAUUUAUGCUUCUACUAAAAUUGUUGACACUUUUUUUGCAAUUUCAAGUUCUUGCAAUCACCACCUCUUUCGUUAAUAAUGAUUUUUUUAUGCAUGUUUCAGUUAUAUACUACUAUGCUACUGUGAAAUUUAUUUGUUCUCAACGAAGUUAAAAACAAGCUAAACAAAUAGAGACACUUUCGCAAAAGACACCUCGUUUGUGAUAAAUUCGUUUUUGUAGUCUAAAACACAUUGUUUAUUGAUGUCGGUGUCUUGCUUAGAUACAUCUUCUAGAUGCUGUAAAAAAAAAAACCUCAUAUUUGUCAUUUUUCGGUACACAUGCUUUAGCCUAAACCAAAAAAAAAAAUCAAAGUUAAUACCUCUUUUGAUGACUUCCUCAAAAUAUAUGAAGCAUCCAUUCCAAAAUUUCAAAAGUAACCCAACUUGCAAAUCUGCAUAAAAACAUAAGAGAAAAACAAUAAGAAAGGUGCAUGAGUGGCAAACGAAAGUCACUGCAAACUUCAUCAAAUUGGCCCUAGUAGUACUAAUUAAGAUAUUUUUAAUCAUACACGCUCACAAGCCAGAAAAACUAAGUCCUAAAAGAGGGAUGAAGAUGCUGCCACCACAAUUUUCAUUCAUGUUGUUAGUGAACUAGGCAAAAGUAAUAUGCAUAAAUUCUAUUUUUACAGUAUAUAAGUCAAUUCACCAUAAUAUUUUUUUGACAACUUAUUGGAUUGUCAGGAAUUCAAUGAUCAAUCAGGCCUUCACAUAAUCUCCACCGCUGCACUUCCUUUUGGACCUUGAGAAGAAGCAGAUUUGAGCCCAAGUCUUCUUCUGCUUAGCAGGUUGUGCUUUAACUUCUCUUUUCACGACAAGCUCAAUCAUGUAUUGAACAACAGCCUAAGAUUAUAUUUGCUCCAAACCAUUCUGACUCGCAGAUCACAAAGAUGAGAACCAAAUAAUCUCUUGAGUAGGGUUGAAUACGAUUAGUAGGGUGUACUUAUUAAAAUUAUAUUUGUUUCACAAUUUCAUAUAUCAUUUUUGGUCAUUUUAUAUUAGAGUAAAUCAGUAAUUCAAUAUAUGCUUUUGUAGUAGGGUGUACUCAGUUAAUUUUAGGGUUCGUUUAGCAGCACUCUUUUUUAAUCAUAUCAGAUCUGCUAUCAUCAAUCCAAGAUCAAGAGACCGAUCUGCGAUGCAAUUCUCAACCAUCUCCCUCCUCUACCCAACCCCCCCCCCCCAACCCCCCAAAAAAAAGGUUUGGGAAAGUCCCAAAAACUAAAAAACAGAUUUCUUCAGAUACAAAAAAAUUUAAAAAAAGAGGAGAGGAUAUGAAAGACGCAGAAAAUCGNNNNNNNNNNNNNNNNNNNNNNNNNNNNNNNNNNNNNNNNNNNNNNNNNNNNNNNNNNNNNNNNNNNNNNNNNNNNNNNNNNNNNNNNNNNNNNNNNNNNNNNNNNNNNNNNNNNNNNNNNNNNNNNNNNNNNNNNNNNNNNNNNNNNNNNNNNNNNNNNNNNNNNNNNNNNNNNNNNNNNNNNNNNNNNNNNNNNNNNNNNNNNNNNNNNNNNNNNNNNNNNNNNNNNNNNNNNNNNNNNNNNNNNNNNNNNNNNNNNNNNNNNNNNNNNNNNNNNNNNNNNNNNNNNNNNNNNNNNNNNNNNNNNNNNNNNNNNNNNNNNNNNNNNNNNNNNNNNNNNNNNNNNNNNNNNNNNNNNNNNNNNNNNNNNNNNNNNNNNNNNNNNNNNNNNNNNNNNNNNNNNNNNNNNNNNNNNNNNNNNNNNNNNNNNNNNNNNNNNNNNNNNNNNNNNNNNNNNNNNNNNNNNNNNNNNNNNNNNNNNNNNNNNNNNNNNNNNNNNNNNNNNNNNNNNNNNNNNNNNNNNNNNNNNNNNNNNNNNNNNNNNNNNNNNNNNNNNNNNNNNNNNNNNNNNNNNNNNNNNNNNNNNNNNNNNNNNNNNNNNNNNNNNNNNNNNNNNNNNNNNNNNNNNNNNNNNNNNNNNNNNNNNNNNNNNNNNNNNNNNNNNNNNNNNNNNNNNNNNNNNNNNNNNNNNNNNNNNNNNNNNNNNNNNNNNNNNNNNNNNNNNNNNNNNNNNNNNNNNNNNNNNNNNNNNNNNNNNNNNNNNNNNNNNNNNNNNNNNNNNNNNNNNNNNNNNNNNNNNNNNNNNNNNNNNNNNNNNNNNNNNNNNNNNNNNNNNNNNNNNNNNNNNNNNNNNNNNNNNNNNNNNNNNNNNNNNNNNNNNNNNNNNNNNNNNNNNNNNNNNNNNNNNNNNNNNNNNNNNNNNNNNNNNNNNNNNNNNNNNNNNNNNNNNNNNNNNNNNNNNNNNNNNNNNNNNNNNNNNNNNNNNNNNNNNNNNNNNNNNNNNNNNNNNNNNNNNNNNNNNNNNNNNNNNNNNNNNNNNNNNNNNNNNNNNNNNNNNNNNNNNNNNNNNNNNNNNNNNNNNNNNNNNNNNNNNNNNNNNNNNNNNNNNNNNNNNNNNNNNNNNNNNNNNNNNNNNNNNNNNNNNNNNNNNNNNNNNNNNNNNNNNNNNNNNNNNNNNNNNNNNNNNNNNNNNNNNNNNNNNNNNNNNNNNNNNNNNNNNNNNNNNNNNNNNNNNNNNNNNNNNNNNNNNNNNNNNNNNNNNNNNNNCCCCCCCCCCCCCCCCCCCAAAUAACACUGUUCGGACCAUCCUCAACACCCCAACACACGUCGCCCUCAAGUCCGAAGAACUUAUAAGAAUGGAGCAGGAAUUGAUAGUCCGCGAAAUCGAAAUGCGGAAAGCCAAAGAGGAUCUCAACCGUCGGAUUCACAAUGAUCAGGUCGCGAGGGAGAUCAUGAAGAUUCCAUAGGACGAGUGGCAAGAGUCUGGCCAACUCUUCGCCAAACCCUUCGGUGUAGGCUCCUCCUCAUCGUCGUCGACGAAGAGGGUCAAGAGUGAAAGAGUGUUCUAUCAGAUUGGUCAAAAAAUAAUACUUCAUUUAUCUUAAUAUAUAACAAAUAGGAAGGUUAUAUAUACAAAGCCUAGGAAACUAUUCUAGGAAAGUAAUUAUGUUCCUAUAAUCUUGCAUAAUCAAAUAGUUGACUUAGACUAAUUAGGAAUGUACAGCUCAUUGACACUCCCCCUCAAGUUGGAGCAUAUAUGUCGUCAAUGCCCAACUUGCUAAAUGAGCUGUGAAAUACCCUGCCUGUGACUGCUUUGGUAAGGACAUCUGCAAGUUGAUCUUCGGAUUUAACAAAUGAUACCUUAAUGAUCUUUGCCUCGAGCUUCUCCUUGAUGAAAUGUCUGUCAACUUCAACAUGCUUGGUUCUAUCAUGUUGCACUGGAUUAUGUGCAAUGUCUAUUGCAGCUUUGUUGUCACAAUUCAGUUGCAUGGCAUGUUUGGGUUUGAACCCCAAUUCCUCCAACAAAUUCCUUAUCCAGAGUAGCUCACAUACUCCGUGCGCCAUACCUCGAUAUUCUACUUCAGCACUUGAUCUUGACACUACUUUCUGUUUUUUACUUCGCCAAGAUACUAGAUUGCCUCCUACAAAGGUAAAGUAUCCAGAUGUAGAUCGCAUGUCAGUAACAGAGCCCGCCCAGUCUGCAUCAGUGUGACCCUCAACAUCUAGAUGACCAUGUCGUGCGAACAUCAAUCCUCUUCCAGUAGAUGACUUCAAGUAUCUCAAAAUUCGGUUUACCGCAUCCAUGUGGGCUUCACUUGGUGCAUGCAUGAACUGACUCACCAUACUUACAGCAUAUGCUAUAUCAGAUCUAGUGUGUCCUAGAUAGAUUAACUUACCCACAAGGCGUUGAUAUCUUUCUUUGUUGGUGGGUACUUGAUCAGGAUAUUCACCAAGCUGAUGAUUCAACUCCAUUGGCGUAUCUGCUGGUUUGCUGGCUAACAUUCCAGUGUCAGUCAAAAUGUCAAGGAUAUAUUUCCGUUGUGAUAGAAAUAUUCCUUGUUCUGAACGAGCCACUUUGAUGCCUAGGAAAUACUUCAGAGCACCAAGAUCUUUCAUUUCAAACUCACUUGCCAAGUGGUGCUGCAAUGCUGCCUUUUUCACUAGGUCAUUCCCGGUAACUACCAUGUCAUCAACAUAUACAAUAAGGGCAGUGACAUUACCUUUCUUAUGUUUCAAGAAAAGAGUAUGAUCUGAGUUACUUUGCUUGUAUCCAAAAUCCUUCAUUGAUUUGCUGAACUUGUCAAACCAUGCUCUGGGUGACUGCUUCAAGCCAUAAAGAGACUUUCUCAGUUUACACACCAUGUUGCUAGUAUUGGGCCCCAUCUUGCAUCCUGGAGGGGAAUCCAUAUAGACUUUUUCUUCUAGGUCGCCGUGCAGGAAGGCAUUUUUGACAUCAAACUGGUGUAAUGGCCAGUUUAGGUUUGCUGCCAGAGAAAAAAGUACUUGAAUUGUGUUUAUCUUGGCUACAGGGGCAAAUGUUUCCCUAUAGUCAAUCCCAUAAGUCUGAGUAUAACCUUUCGCCACCAAUCUUGCUUUGUAUCGUUCAAUGGUGCCAUCUGCCUUGAAUUUUAAUGUAUAUAUCCAUCUACAACCCACUGUUCUCUUUCCUUUGGGAAGGAUAGUCAUCUUCCAAGUGGAAUUCUUCUGGAGGGCCUCCAUUUCAUCAUUCAUCGCUUGAGUCCACUUGGGAUCUUUCAGAGCUUCCUACACAUUACUUGGAAUAGAUACAGUGGAUAAUUGACAUACAAAUGAUGCACAUGACGGAGACAACCUAUGUAGGGACACAUGAUUAGCAAUAGGGUAUUUAACUUUUGUUUUUGGGUCCGGGUCAUACUGUUGUCUAGGAAUCCCUCUAGUGGUACGAAUAGGUAACUGAUAACCUGUGUUUCCUGUAUGACUCGACUCAUGUAAAGUACUUAAGUUGGAGUUUAAAUGCUCAGUUACCUGCGGGGAAUCUUCAGGACCUGAUUGGAUGAUUGGUGAUGGUACUGUAGUUGGAGGGAAAUUAUCUGAACCAUCAUCUGGAGUUUCUAGUAACUCUUGAUCUUGUUGCACUACUGUAGCUGGUUGCUCGGAUACUGACUGCUCUAAAAUAGUUUGUUGAAUUUGGAUGCUCUGAGUAUCUUCUGCAAAGAUAGAGCUCUCCCCCUGCAGAGGAUGCUCAGAAACUCCCCCUGAGUAAUAGAACUCACUCUCGUGGAAAGUCGCAUCUGCGGUAACAUGCAUGGUCUGAGUGGGAUGAUGGAAACACUUAUAGCCCUUCUGAGUGUCAGCAUAACCCACAAAGACACAACGCAGUGCACACGGAUCAAGCUUGCCACGCUGAUGUGGAUACACCUGAACAUAAGCAACACAACCAAAGAGACGUGGUUCGAGAUUUGGUGUGGAUGGCAUGGUGAGGAGAGUGGUCAAUGUCUGAAAUGGAGUUUGAUACUGAAGAGUGCUGGAUGGGGUUUUAUUAAUGAGGUAAGCAGCAAAACAAAGAACCUCCCCCCAAAAAUGAUGAGGCAUACGGGCCUCAAAUAAAGAGGCACGAACAACCUCCAAGAGAUGACAAUUCUUACGCUCUGCGACGCCAUUCUGUUGUGGUGUAUAGGCACAUGUGGUUGAUGAACAAUUCCAUGUUGACUUAAAAAAAUUAUAUAGGUCUUGGUUGACAUACUCUCCUCCAUUGUCAGAUCGAAGCAUGGUGAUUUUCUUGUCAAACUGAGUAGCAACAUAUUGAUAAAAUAACUUGAAUUUGGCGGUGACUUUACUUUUCUGCUUUAAGGGAAAAACCCAGGUCAUCCGGGUGCAAUCAUCAAUAAACGUCACAAACCACUUAAAACCGCUAAUAGUAGGAACUCGUGAUGGUCCCCAAACAUCAGAAUGGACAAUCAUGAAAGGCAAAGAACUUUUAUUCAAUCUUAAUGGGUAAGAAAUACGAUGACUUUUGGCCAAAAUGCAAGUUUCACAAUGAAAGUCUGAUUCAGCAAACUGGGAAAAUAAAUCUGGAAAUAAAAGUUUCAGAUGACCAAAAGAAGCAUGCCCUAAUCGUCUAUGCCAUAGCCAAAUUUUCUUCAUCCUGAUAGACUCAUCUCCUCUCACAUGAUGUGUCUGACUCAAUCUUGUACUGCUGUCUUCUGUCAAGUCCAGAUAAUACAACUUUCCCCUCCUAGUACCACAUCCAAUCACGGUCCUGGUGAGAAGAUCCUGAAAUAGACAAUACAAUGGCCAAAAACACAUAGUACAAUUAAGGGAAUCAAUGAUUUGAGGAACAUAUAACAAGUCAUAGUCGAGUGAAGGGACAACUAAGACAUGAUCAAGACUUAAUGAAGAUGUAAGAGAUAAAGACCCUUCUCCCAUAACUUGGGAGGUGGUUCCAUUGGCACUGGUAAUAUGUGUUUGGCUUGAUGGUUUGGUAGAGUGCAACCCAGUAAAACUAGAUGUCAUGUGAUCAGUAGCGCCAGUGUCAAUAAUUCAUGAUCUAUUACAAAUAAGUGAAGAUGUGCAAGAGGUACCUGAGGUGGCCAAGGCCUUGGAGCCAGAUGUACCUGAUGGAGGUUCUGAUGCAGUCUCCUUGGAUGACUGAGCGGAUGCAAAUGAGGCUCUGGUAGAAUCCUUUUUUCGCCCUUUGUGGACCCAUCCUUCUGGAUAACCAAUGAUCUCAUAACAGCCCUUAAUUGUGUGGUUAUCUAAACCACAUUUGGUACACUUCAUUGGAGGCCAGUUACAAGUAGGGUCGACACUAUAGUUGUUCGGCCGAGAUUGUUUGGACCUCGCAGUAGCCAAGGCCGUGGCUUCAGAGGUUACACCAACUUCAGACAUGGUUCCCUGUCGGUUACUUUCUCUUUUAAUAUGUGCAUAUGCGGCCUCCAAUUCGGGUUUUGGCUCCAUCCGCAAAAUCUCUCCUCGGAUUUGAUCGAAAUUAUUGUCCAAACCUGCAAGAAAUAUAUAAACUCGGAGACGAUCAACCUCUUUGCGUCUAGUCUCAAUGUCUUUCGGAUGCUCCAUGGUGCUUGGACUUAAUUGAUCAAGCUCCUGAAAAAUCUCAGUGAGCUCACUGUAAUAUUUGGCAACUGAUGCGCCAGCUUGCUUCAUUAUUAAUGACCAUCUGUGAAGGUCAUAAAUCUUGGCUUCAUCAGCACCAUUUGAAUAGGUUUGCUUGAUUGCGGCCCAAACUUGCUUUGCUGUGUCAUAACGAAUAAAUCGUUUAAUCUGAUUAGGUUGCAUGGCGUCGAACAACCAACUCUUGACUUGGCAAUCCGAUGCAUGCCAUUUAUUAAAUGUGGGAUCUGUGUCUGUAGGUUGGGCAAUAUCACCGGUCAAGUGGCCAUGUUUUUCUCGCCCAGCUAUCUUCAUCUCUAUGAUUUGAUGCCAUAGAGAAUAAUUAUUCUCAUCCGAUUUGAUUCCUGCGGAGAAGUUGGAGGUGUCACUCUGUAAAGUGACGAUUUGUGUGGUAGUUUUGGAGCCUCCCGACACCAAGGAUUGAUUGGUGUUUGCUGACCCGUCAUCGUUGGCCAUGAUAUUGGCUGACAACCAAUGAAAAAAGGACAAAAAAGAAAUAUCAAGUUGAGGAAAAGCAAGUGAACGGUGGACAAAGGCAAUAAGAAAUAUUGGGUUGAAAGGGAAAAAAAGAACAAGGGGAACGGUUUGAAUGGGUCUGUGAGUGGAUCUGUGAGUGGAAAGUGAUUUGCAAUAUUGCAAAACGUGAUUUGACUAGAGGAAAGGUUUGAAUGGGUUUGUAAGAUGGAAUAUGGGUGGUAUUGGUGCUGGGUUUGUGAGAUGGAAUAUUGCUUUUGGUGCUGGUGCUGGUGCUGCGUACUAGAUGGAAUAUUGCAAAACAGUGAUUUGAGAUGGAAUAUGUGACAGGACCCACCCCGGAAUUUCCACAAAACCGGGGCGAAUCCAGUCUUUGUUCCGACAUCACCCCGAUGUCGGGCCCACUUACUAGAAACCGAGACUUCCUGCCGAAAUUUCGGCAGAGUCUCCCUUAUGAAUUGGACAAACCAACAAAAUUCAACCUGCAUAAAAAUAUAGAAUAAUCCCAACCAGCAGCAUGCUUUACAGCGAAUAAACAGUUUACAACAAAAUGGCCUCCGGCCUCACAAUUCAGACCCUAACAGGGCGAUAACAGAGCAUGUCUAAGAACUUCAAUUUCAACAAAACAGAGUACAAAGGAAAUAACAGGAAGAAAGAGUCCUACGAUGACUCAAGGCUCAAAAGCUCACGAUCCGGCUCUGCUGCGGAGCUCAGUCAACUACUGGCUGGGGGGCGCAAAACAGAAAAUUGUGAGUGGACAAAAAUAAAUUCAGUUCGGUGCAAACCAACGUAAUAUAACCCCACCGUUUAGAAAACCAUGCAAGAAAUACCAUGCAUCUCAAAACCGUCAUACACAAGUAUAUAUAUAUAUAUAUAUAUCAAAACAAAUCAAUACCAAAUGCCAAGUCCAAAAUUCAUAAAGAACACUUUACAAAACCCACCAUCCAAAAACUUAUAAAUCCCGCAACCAAACUCUCGAAAGCGUACCCAUUGGCACGACCGGCAAGGAAGUAUCCACACCGAGAAACAAGAAUGAAUGAAUAGAUAUAUAAUUAUAUAAUAUAAGAGAUAUAUGUAUAUAUAGUAUAAAUAUAACCAUCACCUAGUUGUACCGGGGAAACAAUCCAACCGGGGGAUUGUUUGACUAGUCACCCUGGCAGAGUCCUCGUGAUGAGUCCUCAAUCCACCAUGUGACUAGGGAACGAGCCGUUUAACUGAGGGACCAACUCUCAGCCAGAACGUACAGUCGAUAACCUCAAAACCCGUACGUCUGUGAACAGUCCUACGCGUGCAGACUACCCAAUUAAGGGUCUACAGCAACAUCCCGUCAAGGAUGCCCCGGGUCCCGACAAUUCCAAGUAUCUCAAGUCUCCGUAUCCAAGUUCCACAUCCGGGGAGGUACAUAGGGUAGUGCUUACCGCACACCAAACUGACAUUCUAUACUCACCACUUUCCACAAUCUCAUCUCAACAACCCAAGUACCUCACACAUAACCAAAUAUAUAUAUAUAAAUCCCCAAAAUCCAUAUAUUCAUACUCAAGAUACUCAAAUACGUCAAAACCCAAAAUAUAUUUUCAGUGCCUCAUAAAAAUAUCACUUUCAACAAUUUCAUAAAUAAUAUAUUCAAAAUACCAUUUAAAACAUCAUGCAUAAUAUUUCCCAAAAUCCAUAUAUAAAAUAUACUUUCAAUACCCAAUUAUACCAAACCCACAAUAUUUUACCAAAGCGCUUAUAAAAACAUCAAGCUCAACUCAUGAAUAUAAUAUAUUCAAUAAAUCAUUAAAAACAUUAUGCACAAAUGUUUCAUCAAUAAAACCAUGCAUAAGAUUUGAAAACAAGAUCCACUCACAAGUAGUCCCACGCUGCUUGACCCUGAGAGGGUCCCGCCUGCUGCGUAUGCGUGGUCGGAGUACCUCACCCGUCUGAAAUAGUGAUCGGAGGAGAGAGAACGGGCGACUGGAAGUUCAGACGAGAAUCGGCCUGAAAUCUGUGUUUUUCGGCGACGAGGAGGCGGCUGGCGGCUGGAGAUGGGUCGGGGAACGUCGGCGAGGUCUGGCCGGUUGUUUUGGGUCCGGUCUCGGGGCUGGCCGUGGCCUGUGGCGGCGGCUCCGCGUCUGCAAAUCGGAGAAGGAGGAAGAGGGACGCGGGAGAGAGAGAGAAUCGGGAGAAAGAGAGAGAAAGAGAGAUAAAACUGAAAAAUCUGAUUUUUACUCUAUCCCUUUUCGAAAUAUUUACAAGUUUGCCACUGACACUAUUUUGCCCGUAACUUUUUCGUUACAACUCCGAUUCAAGCCUACCGCGUGUCUACGAAUUCGUCUCAGUACCACCUACCCAGAAAUACCAGUUACUGCCCCAAACACUUUUUGGGCAAGAAAAUGACCAAUUUACCCCUACCCUGAGGGUAAAUUCGUAAAUUCACUUAAAUAAUUUAAAAUAGGAAUUAAAUUUAGAGUCGGGGUGUUGCAAUAUGGGCUGGUGCUGGGUCUGUAUGACGGCUGUUGCUGCGGAAGCGAUUAGGGUUAGGGCAAGAGACAGUCAAGAUUGACUGCUCUGAUACCAUAUCAGAUUGGUCAAAAAAUAAUACUUCAUUUAUCUUAAUAUAUAACAAAUAGGAAGGUUAUAUAUACAGAGCCUAGAAAACUAUUCUAGGAAAGUAAUUAUGUUCCUAUAAUCUUGCAUAAUUAAAUAGUUGACUUACACUAAUUAGGAAUGUACAGCUCAUUGACAUGUUCAGGCUCUACUUCAAGGGUUUGGUGAGCGACGCAAUGGUUGGAAAUGAGAGAAUGGUGCUGGCUGGGGUUGGGGUUGCUCUAUGCGACUCCAGGGAUAAUUUGGUGUUCGAGGUUUGGAAACCCCUGAUUGGGAAUGGGAUGAGCAAGAAUGGUGCCCUGUUGAAAGCCUUGAUUGAAGGACUUAAUGCUGCUCUUGCUCUGGACUUGAAGCGCAUCACCUUUUUCUGUGAGAAUUUUCCCAUUUUUUUAGUUUGUGAGUUGCUAUCUCUUCUCUGUCUCGUUUCAGUCUAUUGAUGAAAAUUAAUUAGGCUAAUUGUGGGUUUUGCAUUUUAAUAUAACGACAUAUAUGGUUAUGGACGCUGUGGUUUACACUGACCAUGAAAGAGACUCUUGUGAAAGAGGUCUAAAGGAAUGGAACUUAUUAUUAUAUUAGUGUAUACGAUGUUGUAGGUUUUGUUAAUUAAUAUUUUUUUUCUUGGAACAAUAAUGAACUUUCAAUUUUCAGAUAUACUUCAUGAAAUUUGAUAGGGCAAAUCGUAUAUCAUCCAUUGUGGACAAAGAGAUGCAUUCGCUUUGAGAAAUUUUACUUGUGUCUUCUCAACAUUUGCUAAAUUAGUUUGCUAUCUUGUAUUUAAAUUGACCAUUAGAGAAAGUCUUGUGAACAAGGUCUAAAAUAAUGGAGUUUAUUAUGACAUUUAUGUGUGCAAUGUUGUAGUAUUUGUGUUGAAACCAAGAAUAUUGGAUGUACUAGUCACUGUGCUACGGUCUAUUUACACCCAUGAAUAGAGCUUGUUGAAUUUCUGACAUUAUAUUUUAUGUAUGAAGGUUAAUGGUAAAUGGCAAGCAAAGAACUACCCAAGAGCAAGAGAACUCAAAAUUGGACUUUCGAAAACUGCAUUGCAGUUCAGAAAUUGCAUUGCAGUUUUUAUUUAAUUACAAUUGAAUUUUUGCUCUUUCUUUGGUCUUCAACCUCACGAAUUUGAAGAGUAGAGGCUACCCAAAUGAGGAAUUGGGGAAAGAGAAAAGUAGAACUACCCAAGAGCAAGAUAACUCAAAAUUAGACUUUUGGAAACUGCAUUGUGGAUUUAGAAACUGCAUUGCAGUUUUAGAAACAGCAUUACAGUUUUCUUUUAAUUACAAUUUGAUUUUUAUUCUUUUCUUGGCCUUCAACCUCAUCAAUUUGAAGAGUAGAGGCUACCCAAAUGAGGAAUUGAGUGGGCAAGAGAAGAUUAGAACUACCCAAGAGCAAGGGAACUCAAAAUUGGUCUUUUGGAAACUGCAUUGCAGUUUUCAUUUAAUUACAAUUUGAUUUUUUGUUCUUUCCUUGGCCUUCAACCUCACCAAUUUAAUUACAAUUUGAUUUGUGUUCUUUCCUUGUUUUUUUUAAACAUAAUUGAUAUCUACCUUGUAUUUUUAUUGCAGUUUCUGUUUUUAUUUUCAGUUUUUGUGUGAAUAUGUGUUGAAAUGAUUUUUUUUUUUUUUUUUAAACUGUUGAUUGUUGUUAUAAAUAUUGUAUAACUGAAUAAAUAUUACAAAAUCAAGUUUGGUGUAGUGGUUUGUGAGUGAGCCUUCCUCCUUUGAGGGUCAAGGUUCAAGUCCCUUCAAUGACACAAAAUAUUUUUUUUAAAGGUGAAUAAAGGGCAAUGGAGUUGGUCCCCUACAGACGGUGGCAGGUGGUGGCCCGCAACGGUGGCUUGCAGCGGGAGUCCGGUGGUGGUGGCCGGCGAAGGGUGGCUGGAGGCGGGAGUCCGGUGGUGGGAGCCCGGCGGUGGUGGCCAACGAAGGGUUGCCGGAGGCGGUAGUCUGACGGUGGCCUAAGGCGGUGACGGCUGCGGUGGCCGGCGGUGGUGGCUAUAUAUGGACAUGUGGCAUAGUAUGCUUGCCUUAGAAGGAGUGGCAUUGUGUGCAAUUGCAAUUUUUUUUAAGGGAGCUUUAGGUGAUAUAUUGGGUGCAACCGAGUUGCAAGGCCAAGGACCAUUGAAUUACAAAAAUAAAGAUUUGACGGCGGCAACAAAAAACUUCAGUGAAGAAAAAAAACUUGGAGGAGGAGGAUUCGAGGGCAUCUACAGGGUAAAUUAUGUGCUAAAGAGCUCUAAAAUAAUUUAUGUCAGUUCAGUUUAGCACGGUCGAAUAUGGUGUACUCUUUUUUUACAUAAAUAAAGUUUUAAAAAACUGGGAAAAUUGCAUUGUCAAGCUUUUGAUUAUCCAUGCAUAAUGUUCAUUUACAAUUACAUGGUUGGUCAGGGUACUCUAAACAAUGGAAAAGUACGUAGUUGCAGUUAAAAAACUAGCAAUUCUCCAAUCUGACAGGGCAAAGGCGAAUUUCGUAAACGAGGUGAAGCUGAUAUGUAACGUUCAUCACCGGAAUCUCAUUCUUCUUGGAUGUUGUAGCAAAGGACCGUAAUUGCUUCUCAUAUAUGAAUACAUGGCAAACAACAGCCUCUACAGAUUCAUAUUUGGUAAUAAUUUUCGGCUUUUCAGCUCAGCUACCUCUAAAUGCAUGCCUCUCAACUGGAAACAACUAAAUGACAUAAUCCUGGGUACAGCGGGGUCUGGCCUAUUUACAUGAGAAGUUUCAUGAGAUGUAAAAACCAGCAAUGUUAUUUUGGAUGAUAAUUUCCAGCCACCAGAUCUGCCGGAACAUUGUAAGUUAAAGUACUUUCCCACAGGCAUAACCCCUGAUUGAGAUCUAUAUGAUCAUUACUCUUCUACAAUAUUUAUACCGAUAUUGUGUUUUGCCCUACUUAUCUUUCUAUCCGCACACAAAAAGUGUUAUGAAUCUACUACAUACAUCUUGUGUAGCUUCUCACAUUCCAGGAUCGACUCUGCCGUAGCACGAUAUUGUCCGUUUUGGGCCCCCUUCUCUGCCCUCACGGUUUUAUUUCUGAAAACUCACGAGCAACUUUUCAGUGGACCUCCUAUCCUGGGAUUGCUCUAACCCCCAACUCGCUUAACUUCGAAGUUCCCAUGACUCCGAAGCCAGUGAACUCCCAAAAAACCUCGUACUAGAUAGAAGCAGGCAUGUAUAUAUAAGGCACAUCAUCCUCUCUCCGUUGAUCGAUAUGGGAUAUUACAUAGCCGAAGAGGAGUACAUCACCAUCAUGGUGAUGCUCUAUAGUGUUUCUCUCUGUGGAAGUGUUUCUCACUUCUGUUUUAGCCUAUCUGAGCAAUGGUGCUCACGGCACCUCCUACCAAGCCUUCUUUAAAUAACCAAAGAAUUUGGUCCAACAGACACAAAACAUUAAUGCACUGAAAAAGCACAACCACCAGCAUUGGAAAAGAAGCCAGCCGCUCCUCUUUCUCAUGUCCUUGGUGCAGCACAGUGGGGCACACCUGCCCACACAUCUCCUGCUGCCAACGAAGUCCCUCUUUAUGCAUAGCUCAAGUUUGGCUUCUCAAAGAACCCAAGAGCCAAAAGUAAUAGCAAUAAUACAAAGCCUAUUCUACCUCUCUUUUUCUCUCUCUCUCUCAUGAAAAACAUCUCUCAUGAAAAACAAAUGUUAGCUUGUUUGAUGCAUUCAUUUCAUUGUUUUAAGUUUUAGAAAAGUGACACAUACCAUGAGAAAGUGAAAGAAUGUCCAAAAGAUAAAGUUAGAGAGAAAUUGCUAUCAAAGCUUUUUCACAAAGUUAGGACACACAUGCCCACCAAGUUGGAUUCCAAUUGCCUUAGGUGUAGAUCACCCAAGUGCUGGAACCCACUCCAUCUGUGUCUCCAGCCUUUUAACAAAGAUGGCAUGUGCCGUCGUUUCCCCAUUUGAAAAACCCAAGGCAUGACAAAUAAAUGAAGAAAGCUAGCAAACAAACAAUGAUAAAGUAGCCCUUACACAAUUAACAAUACAAUUUGGGCCAAUUUUCAACAGUGAAGGCAUCUUAUUACGGUGGGAUCAUUUGCAUCCUCGGAGCCUUUCUUUUUCGAAAUAAGGAUAGAUUUUAAUCAUUAAACUAGGAAUGUAAACGCUAGAUCUGAAAGCAGAUUCAAGGAUUUCCGUAAAAAUCAUAAUCAACAUUACGUAGUUACAAACAUACAAAAUCCAUCCACAAUUCGUACAGAUACAGCAGAAUUACACGGAGUUUCUGGCUAUGCUUCUUUUUCUUUUAUUCUCUUAUUCGUUUAUGGAAUUCCAUAUAUUACUUGGAAGCAGCUGACCUGGUAAAGGGUGCCUAGAAUGAUACUCGAAUAUCAAGCAAUGUCAUCAACUGAGAAAUAAGCUCUGGUUGGCCAUGCCACGCUGCUGCGGUAACCAGAUUUCCAUCAGUGACACAACGAUCUAUUGGAUCCGCUUCCACAAACGUCCCCCCUGACGAAACCACACGAGCCUUAAUCCCUGGGUAUCCAGUACAUUUCUUCCCCUGAAAUAUAGCCAAUUGAACCAAUUAUAUGACAUGCUAAAAAGUGCCUAAUCCGUUAAUAAGUACAUUAACCACUAAUCAAAAGAAACAGAAAAAAUAUCAUCUCCUUUGCGAUUUUAAAGAGUACUCACCUCCCUCUUCCCCAUAGUUAUUUACAAUUGAGAGGUUAAUAGGUCACAGCAGAUCAGCUCAACAGAACCAAAAUACAAAGCACUACCACUAACUAUGUUUUUUUCUUUAAGAACCAUACCUGCAGAACACCAGCAGCAACUAAAAUUUCCAGGCCAUGGCAGAUGGAUGCAACUGGUUUCCUGGCUUCCAUAAAUUUUUUCACUAGUACAAUAACAUCCUCCUUUAGUGCCAAAAACUCUGGAGCUUUACCUCCAGGGAGUACAAGAGCGUCAUAACUUGAGGCAUCUAUGGAUUCAAAGUCAGCUGUUAAAACAAAAUUAUGUCCCCGGAUCUCACUGUAGGUUUGGCCCCCUUCAAGAUCACGGAUAGCAGUUGGGCAGGUAUCACCGGCUUUCUUCUUGGGGCAAACCACAUCAACAUGGCAUCCUAGAACUUUGAGGGUCUGAUAAGGCACAGUUACCUCAUAAUCUUCCGCGUAGUUCUACAAAUAUUGGGAAGGGGAGCAAUUAAAUGAUGAUGAUUAGUAACUAACAGUUUAAUCAUUGGCUAUAUUUUGUCCCAUAUUUGUCAUUGCAAUAUAAAAGAAACAGAAAAGAAAGCUUACUCCAAUGAUGAUGAGGACCCUUCUCUCUGAAGCACAUAUUUUGCCUCCCAGUGCCUUGAGAAAAAGCCCAAUGAACUCAGGAUUGCCAUAAUAUGUGACCCCAGUAAUUAAAUUAUCAUCAGCAACACACACUGACAAUGUAUCGGGUUCUACCCAGUGAGCACCAGCAGCAACCAAUCCAGGUUUCAUAGUUGAAACCGCUGUGCACUUGCGACCUUUAACAGCGGCUGCAGCUGCUAAGACCAACUGCCCAUGGCAAAUAGCAGCAAUUGGCUUUCUGGAGUCGGAAAAUUUUCUCACCAAUUCUACAACCGAUGCAUUCAUAGCAAGAUGUUCAGGAGAUCGUCCUCCUGGUAUAACUAGACCAUCAUAUUCCUCAAAUUCAAUCUCAUCAAAUGUUGCAUUCAGUGUGAAAUUGUGACCACGAGAUUCGCUAUUAGCCUGUAACCAAAAAGGUACAGAAAACCAAACACAACACACACAUCAAAACAAGAGUAAGGGUUAGGUGAAUUCAAGCUUCUUUCUUUGUCCUGAUCAGAGGAGGUUCAAAAUAAAUUAAUUAACAGGAAAGACAGGGUGUCACCUCAUCAGUGGUCUCUACUUGAAUGGUUAUGGCAGUGGCGCAGAUAUCACCAGCUUUCUUGCCAGGAGAAACUGCAUCAACAGCGACUCCAAAUGCCUGCAGUGCUUGAAAUGGGACCAUUGCCUCGUAAUCUUCCAUGUAGUCCCCGCACAGUAACAACACCCUCCUCCUCCGCUCCUCGCCUUUUGGAUUCCCCAUUUCUUUUCUUAUUUCCUUCUUUAGUUUCUUGCUUUUACUCUCUUCUUUUUCACAGAGAGAGAGAGAGACAGAGAGAGAGAAAGAGACUGAAAGUUUGAGAGUCUGAAGACAAGGUAGGUGAUAGCUAGCGCUGCUCUGCUUUGCUUGCUUAAUAGUAAUAUAUUAAUACUCACGAAAGCGUUUCUGGAGGUUUCUGGAGUCAGCUAGACACGUCGCACUCAAUUUGAGCGACACGUCGCACUCAAUUAUUGUAGCAUCUCCCUAUUCCUCUCUUCGUUUCUGGAGGUUUCGCGCCAUUACCAACAAUAUCCAAGUUUGAUUAUUUGAGGAAGUGACAAGUCUAAAUUAUUUGAGGAAAGAUUCACCAACACCGACCAAGUGAUAAGUCUAAAUUAUUUAAGGAAAGAUUCAACCUGAGUGCAAAGUCAAUGCUUCCAAGCUAAUGUCCCGAAAGAGAGAUGGAUAAUGUAAUGUUCAUCUCUAACAGGUCCUAAAAUCAUAGAGUUUGAUAUCUUGCUUCUCCCAAAAAGACGGUUGAUUUCGUUUUGAGUAGCGCUCGCGUUGAUUUUAUCUUGACUGCCAGAUUUUUCACCAGAGCAGCAAAGCUGCUUGCUUUCUGUUAUGAGGUCUGGUUUUGUCAACAAACUAUAUUGCUUGACCCAAAAGAAAAUGCAAUAUCAUGUCAAUCCUCAUUUUGCAGUUGCAAGAGGACGGUUGUGAAAAUACAAGCUAACUCUGGACAACAUGAUAUUCAUUCAGGUAAACCUUCAAGGUGUACGGUGAGAGAGAUUGCGACCAAAAAUCACUGUGUCCUGCUAAAGCAUAAGUAGUAUAAUACAAGCUUCAUCCACAACCAAACUUGCAAGGAACAUGGCAUAUACAUAUCAAAACCAUGUCACUUAUUCCCUCAUAUAUACAAACGUCACCUUAACAUAACACAACAUACAUGCCUUAUUCUUUCAUGAAUUACAUAUAGUACAUGCAAGCAGCAGACCCAGUAAACAGCAACUAGAAUGAUACUCGAAUAUCAAGCAAUGUCAUCAACUGAGAAAUGAACUCUGGGUGGCCCAGCCACGCUGCUCCAGUAACCAAAUUUCCAUCCGUGAAGCAACGAAAUAUUGGAUCAGGUUCCAGCCAUGUUGCUCCUGACAAAACCACAUUAAGCUUCACUGCUGGAUACGCAGUACAUUUCUUUCCCUAAAAUUUAGCCAGUUAACAACAAUUAGGACAUGAUUAAAAAAAGUUCAUAAUGUGAAAAUAUGUAAAUCAACCCUCAAUCAGAAGAAUCAGCAAAAGGCAAACAGAUUACAACUUCAAGUGGGUUUCUUUUUUACCUUGUCGUAAAAUACUCACUCAGUAAAUCAACCCUCUUACAAAAUUGAUGAUACUCCCAACUCCUCCUAACACCUUCUGAAAAACUGAAACUGCCUAGCUCAGCCAAGCCUUUUGGUUUUCCUUACUAGGUAAUUUCUUGUUUUAUCCCAUUCUUAAACCAUUCCAUCUAGCAUAGAUUUUUACUGCUUCAUAUAUUCCUUCAGAGAAUUUUGCAUUACAGUACACACCUUCCGACUUUUAUAUUACAGCACAAAUGUUCAUGCACCAACUGGCAAGCUUGCUCAUCAACACCCACAACAGAACAAACAUCUAAAUUUACAAUCAACUACAUAGAUAGUGAGUAAAAGAACAAAUAAAUCCACAGAUUAUUUGUAUUGUCUUUUUGGUUAAACAUGUUUAACUUCCCACACAAAAAAUUAAUUUUACUCUAGCAUUUUAGUUGAUGUUAAAAAGCGUAAGAAGUUAAAAUUUUAUGUAAUCUACAUUAUAUCUACCACGGAAAUGCUAUAAUGAGGGGUUGUGGGUGAGGGGUUCAAUACCACUAUCCAAUAAUAUAAAGGAAAUUUUGAACUUGAAACUUUUUUAAUGGUUGGAUGGUUGGAUUGAACCCCUCACUCAAACCCCCCACGCAGAUCCCUCUCAUUGUAGCAUCUCCCAUAUCUACCAUAUCAUGCUUGGACUUUAAAAUUCCAAAAUUUAUAAUCUCGAUUUUGUGAUAUGAUUUUGGAUUGUUGAUGAGGAUUUUGCUUCCUUGUUUGUGUGCCUAACAAAUUAACUUUAUAUUAUUGUUUCUGCAUUUUGUACAUUUCAACUCAUUUAGUUUCAGAAAUCAACUUGGACUUUAGAUUGAACUUCUGGACAGCAUGGGACUGAUCCCAACAACAUGGGACCCAUCCCUAUUAAAAGAUGAGCUAUAUAUACAAUAAAACUACACUGCCACAUAAACAGGGAUUACAGCUUCACUUCGUUUCAGUUGAACCACAUGGAAUUAUAGAAAGUCAGCAAUAUUUUUAACAAUAUCAAUACUAUGUUUGACGACGCAACGAAUUGAAACAAUAUGAAAAUAGUCGGAUGUGAUUGAGAAACUUAAAGAAUAUGGACCAAAUUGAAAUUCAGAUCAAAUUUCUGGAAACAAAAGAGUAGCCUGGCUGAAAGGGAGUAACCUUACCUGUAGAACACCAGCAGCAGCUAAAAUCUGCUGACCGUGGCAGAUGGAUGCAAUUGGUUUCCUGGCUUCCACAAUUUGCUUCACUAAUGCAAUAACAUUCUCAUCCAAUGCCAAAUAUUAUGGGGCUCGACCUCCAGGGAUUACAAGAGCAUCAUAACUUGAGACAUCUAGAGCUUCAAAGUCAGCUGUUAAAGUGAAAUUAUGGCCCGGCUUCUCACUGUAGGUUUGGUCACCUUCAAAAUCAUGGACAGCAGUUGCACAGAUUUCACCAGCUUUCUUCUUGGGACAAACUGAAUCAGCAUGGCAUCCUAGAGCUUGAAGAGACUGAAAAGGCACAAUUACCUCAUAAUCUUCCAUGAAGUCCUACAAAUGUUGAGGGAGAGAAAGUGAAUGAUGCUUAGUAACUGUGAGAAGUAUAAAAUUUUGAUCAUUGACUAGAAUAAUACGUAGAUAACAAUUAGUUCAUAAACAAAAGACACGCAGCUUUAACGUUCUUGUCAAGGGGUUUACUAGAUUUACAGUGGAUUAAAACACGUAGCCAAACUUGAUUUAUGGACCAUCUUAUCACUAUUGAUAUUGACAAGUAAAAUAAUAUUUUGAAUUUGGUGGGCUUUAAAGGUUUGUCAAGUAGCCAAUCUUGAUUUAUGGACCAUCUUAUCACUGUUAAAUAACCAGCUUACAAAACGUGGUGGGCUUCAAGGUUUGUCAAGUUGUAUAACUUUUGGCAUUGCAGGUAGAGAAGUUUAGGUAUGCUUCAAAGGAUUUGGUUUUAAAGAGAAAACAAACAACUGGUUUCAAGAAAUAGGUUCUUAUGAAAUCUGACAGCAACUAAUUUAUGAGUCUAAGGCAGUAGUAGCAUUUCGAAUUUGGAGACCUAAUUGGCUUGGGUAUUGGAGGUAUUCAGUUUUGGGGGAAGGGGGAAAUUGAAAUUCUUCAGUAGUCAACUUUCCGGAAAAUUAAAGUAAAGGAGUCUUUUAAAAUUCAUAAAGGAUGUAGUUGUCUAUGUAUCAUGUUUAGAAUCCAUAAUUCAAACAACUUGAAAAAUGACCAGUAUUCAUGUUUGGAUUUACUUUCACAAGUUCACAACUUACACAAAUGACCUAACAAACAAGUAUUCCAAUGGGCAACGGACCCAGGUAGGCAGACCAAUGAAGCAUACCACCAAAACCUUGAAAAAACACACAUAGGAAUGAAUGAAUGAACCCUAUCACACCAGAAAUGUGGCAAAUCUGGUAAAGCCUAUUCAGGUUACUUUCACUAUCUUUCAGAAGUAUCUGUAAAAGGGCAAAUCUCCAUCAAUUCUCUACAGUUUAUCUUUAUGCCCAUUCAUGCAUGUAUAUAUUAUACGAAGAAGUUUUUGACAUAUGGGCAUGUAUUGUGUGUCAAAUGUAUACGCUUCAUGAAGACAGGUUCAAGAGCACAUACACCAUUUUCACCUUAUUCAUUCAUUUUUGUUUAUUCUGGGUUACUGCAAUUUGAAUCAUAAUGCACAUUAACUUCAGCAGAAUAUUUUGCCAUGAACAAUGCACAUUAAAAAAAAAAAAAUACUGGACAGUGAUAAUCACGAUAAUAUAUAUACUCAAUAUUGAUCGGCAUCACAAUUUCAUAUUUCUCAUUGCACUACGAAGGAAAAUAAAACUUACCCCACAGAGAAACAGGAUCCUCCUAUCUGAACCAGUUAUGUUACCUCCUAGUGCCUUCACAAAAAGCCUAAUGAACUCAGGAUGGCCUUCAUAUGUAGCCCCAGUAAUUAUAUUACCAUCAACAACACACGCCAACAUGGUCUCGGGUUCCACCCAAUAAGCACCUGCAGCAACAAGUACAGGUCUGACAGCUGGGAAGGCCGUACACUUCCUACCUUUAACCGAGCCUGCAGCUGCUAGGACAAGUUGCCCAUGGCAAAUCGAAGCAAUUGGCUUUCCGGAAUCAGAAAACUUUCUCACCAAUUCUAAAACCGAUGCAUCCAAAGCAAGAUAUUCAGGUGCCCGUCCUCCUGGUAUUAUUAAUCCAUCAUAUUUGUUAAAUUCAAUGUCAUCAAAUGUUGCAUUCAGUGCGAAAUUGUGACCACGUGAUUCAGAAUAAGUCUGCAACCAAAGAAAAAAAAUACAGAAAACCAAAAAACAUAUUAAAACAAAGGGGGACCAGAAAGACAUAUAUAUAGCAUUUGAAGAUUUGUAAAUUAACCACAGAUCACGAUUCAGCAAACCUAGGUAGCGCAUUAUCAGAGUAUUUUCACUUAGAGACGAGGGCACUAAUGCAAUUUUGUUUAUUGAAUAUGGUGUACGCGGUGACGUUGGAGCCAAAAAUUUGUUCACGCUGUCUUGUCCCCCAGAACUCAAGCUCAAUACAGGUCGGUUCUCUAGCUAGCUCAUAAUGAAUGAGCAAGCACUCUAACAGAACUCCUAACAUGUGUUCUUGUUUGAGCUUACUUUAGUCUCGCUGUCCACACAACCCAGAACUAUAACCUACGGAUUGCUAUUUGUCAAUCUAAUAGAGUGGCUCUAAUCAACAAUAAAGCUUAUUCAUUUUGUCUUUAAUUAAGGCUACCAACGAUUGGCUGAUGCAAAAAACUAAACUUGAAAGCGUGAUGUUCGUUCGUAAACUUGACAAACUAAUUUCCAGUCCCAACAGAUUCCAAAUUUUAGAGGAGGCAACAUAAUCCCAUAUGUGAGAAUUGUAAGCACUUCAAUCUUUGAGACAAAUUUCUUGUUUUGGGUUUACAAAUUCAAGUGAAGUAAGCAUUCAGUCUUCAAUAUAAUUGAGUGUGCUUAAUGAGGCUAAAGAAAACGUUUUUCAUUAAAAAUAAACAAAGGAAAAGGCAAAAGAAGCAGAGGUGGGUAACCUGGUGAGCAGGAGAAAGUUGAUGAAUGGCUGUGCGGCAGAUAUCACCAGCUUUCUUGCCAGGACAGACAGCAUCAACGGACACUCCAUAUGCCUGCAGUGCUUGAAAUGGAACCAUCGCCUCGUAGUCUUCCACGUAGUCCCCCAAUACCAACAACACCCUGCGUUCGCCUUUCGCCAUUUUCUUGUGUUUAAUUUCUUGGAAUUUCAGAGAGAGAGAGAGAGAGAGAGGAAGGGGUGACAGAGAAUUUCGGCGGACUAAACUCUCGGAUAAAGAAACAGAAUCUCAUGGCUUUCGGCUCUACUCAAUAAAUAGAAUAUGUUGAGAGUAUAGCCGAGCGGCUAUACGUGGCUAUAUACUGUAUAAGUAAAAUAUGUUAAUAGUAGAAUAACAGUACAGCCGAGCGGCUAUAUUAUGUAAAUAGAUUAUUCUACACGUAUGGGCGCCGGGCUGUACUAUAUAAAUAGGAUAUAUGUAACAGUAUAGCCGGGCUGCUAUACUAUAUGAAUAGAAUAUCUAAACGUAUAGCCGCCCGGCUAUACGCUAUAAAUGGAAUAUUUUAAAACUUAUAGCCGAUCGACUAUACUAUAUACAUAGAAUAUUUUAAACCGUACCACGGUCCCGGCCACCACCCUCUACCUAGAUCCAUCAUCGCAAUCACCAUCUUCUUCGUCAUUGUCAUCAUCGUCGUAAAAUUCCGAAGACUUAUCGUCUGAUCCCAAAACUGGAUGAAAUUUCAAAGAGUUGUGGGAGAAAUUCAUAGCUGGGUUUGUUGUUGUUGUUUUGCUGAUAGUAAAACUCGAGUCUCCAAAUUGGCUGUGGCCUCCUAUUUUCCCUUCCAUUACACCGUGUCUCAAGUUUUUCACCAUUGAUGAUCGUUCUUGCUUUUUUCUUUCACUUACCACACCCUUCUCUUUUCUUUCCAUAUCUCUCUCUCUCUCUGAAUUUCUAAACGCACACAGACCGUAAUACAAUAAAGUAACAGCAAUAAUACAACGCCUAUUCUACCUCUCUCUCUCUCUCUCUCUCUCUCUCUCUCUCAUGAAAAACAAAUGUUAGUUUGUUUGAUGCAUUAAUUGCAUUGUUUUAAGUUUUAGAAAAGUGACACAUAUCAUGAGAAAAAGAGAGAAUGUCCAAAAGAGAAAGUUAGAGAAAAAAUUGCUAUCAAAGCUUUUUCACAAAGUUAGACACACACGCCCACCAAGUUGGAUUGCAAUUGCUUUAGGUGUAGAUCACUCUAAUGCUGGAACCCACUCCAUGUGUGUAUCCAGCCUUUUAGAGCAUCUCCACCUAUAAGGGCUAAGGCAAGGGCAAGUAAGGGCUGCCACUAUUCAUGUGAAUAGUGGCAGCCUUGCCUUUUUUGGUUCCACCCCAAAAGGCUAUGGCAAGGGCAAGAAAAAAAAAAAAGGAUAUGCAACAAAAUAUAAAUUUGUUAUGUAUUUUAUAGGGAAAGUGAAUAAAAUUGUUAUGUAUUUAUAGGGAAAACAUCCAUAAUUUUUUGGUAUUUUUUUAAAAAAAAUUUUGAUUUUGAUUUUUUCAUUUUUUUCAAUUUUUUUGACUCGCUGACGUCAGCGUGACAUCACCACUGACAUCAGCGCCCUAGGGCUGAAGCCCAGGCAAAAUCUGCCCUUGGGCUUGCCCAGGCUGGUGGACCCAGGGCUUGCCCGGGCUGCAGGUCGUGCGCUGGAGGGUCUUUUGGGCUGGCAGUGGGCCUUUUGCCCAGGUCGUGCGCUGGAGGGUCUAUAUGAUCAUUACUCUUCUACAAUAUUUAUACCGGUAUUCUGUUUUGCUCUACUUACCGUUCUAUCCGCACACAAAAAUUGUUAUGAAUCUACUACAUACAUCUUGUGUAGCCGAAGAGGACUAGUAUAUCUCCACCACCAUGGUGAUGCUCUCUAGUGUUUCUCUCUAUGGUGAAGUGUCUCUCACUUCUGUUUUAGCCUAUCUGGGCAAUGGUGCUCACGGCACCUCCUACUAAGCCUUCUUUAAAUAACCAAAGAAUUUGGUCCAGCAGCUGCAUGCAUGAAAAAACCGUGCAAGUUGUCUGAGCACCUUCAAAGUCCUCCACAAGACACAGAACAUUAAUGCACCGAAAAAGCACAACCACCAGCAUUCGCAAAGAAGCCAGCCGCUCCUCUUUCUCAUGUCCUUGGUGCAGCACAGUGGGGCACACCUGCACACACAUCUCCUGCUGUCAACCGAAGUCCCUCUUUAUGCAUAGCCCAAGUUGGCUUCUCAAAGAACCCAAGCCAAAAGUAAUAGCAAUAAUACAAAGCCUACUCUCUCUCUCUCUCUCUCUCUCACGGGUACACAGACCAACAAUGUGGCCAAUAAACGAAGGAAAAUGCUGGCAACCUUAUCUCCGACCUUAUUUUUGGACAUUUUCCCUUUUCCUCAUGACAUAUGUCACAUCCCAUACACUUGUAAACAAUGACAUUAAUACAUUAAACAAACUACCUUUUGUUUUCGAAGUUUACCCUUAUUAAAUGUAUUGUCUUUCAAUUUAUCCAAAUUUUUUUACAACUCUCUUACUAUAUUUAAAAAAUUAAAAAAAUUCAGUUAAAAAAAAAAAAAACAUGUCUAUUUUUUUAGAUUGGAAAACGUUUUUUUUUUUUUUAACACAAGAAUGACCUCAAAAAAAAAAAAUCAACGAAAGAAAGAUUGUUUUUUUAUACGGACAAAAGACAUCCUUCUAAAGAAGUCUGUAGUCAAAGGAAGUUCAUUGAUUGGAUUUUCAAACCAUUAAUUCGGUAAGUUUGAUUAUUGAUUUUUUUUUCAAGACCAUUAAUUAGGUAAGUCUUAUUUGGAGUCUUUCAGAAAAGGAAAAAAAAAACAAACGUUUUUUCUUAUUUAAUUUUUUAAGUCUUAUUUGAAUGUCUCCUUAUUCCCUUUGGAGUCUUAAAAAAAAGACUUUUUCUCAAUUAAUUUUUGAACAAGGCGAUAAGAAAAUUGUAAAAAAUUUAGAUAAGAAAUUUAAAGAAAUAUUAAAAUCAAUACGUUUAAUAAGGGCUGAUUUGAAAAACAAAUGUUAGCUUGUUUGAUGCAUUAAUUGCAUUGUUUUAAGUUUUAAAAAAGUGACACAUAUCAUGAGAAAGAGAGAGAAUGUCCAAAAGAGAAGGUUAGAGAAAAAGUAGCUAUCAAAGCUUUUUCACAAAGUUAGACACACACGCCCACCAAGUUGGAUUCCAAUUGCUUUAGGUGUAGAUCACUCUAGUGCUGGAACCCACUCCAUGUGUGUCUCCAGCCUUUUAACAAAGAUGGCACGUGCCGUCAUUUCCCCAUUUGAAAACCCACGGUAUGACAAAUGAAGAAAGCUAGCAAACAAACAAGGAUAAAGUAGCCUUUACACAAUUAACAAUACAAUUUGGGCCAAUUUUCAACAGUGAAGGCAUCUUAUUGCAUUCUCCGGAGCCUUUCUUUUUCGAAAUAAGGAUAGAUUUUAAUUUAAACGCUAGAUCUGAAAGCAGAUUCAAUGAUUUCCAUAAAAAUCAUAAUCAACAUUACGUAGUUACAAACAUACAAGAUCCAUCCACAAUUGGUACAUAUAGAGCAGAAUCCGAGCAUCAUUGUUCCCUCACAGAUACACACAACACCUUCACAUAUGCUCUUAUUCUUUUAUUGAAUUACACGGAGUUUCUGGCUAUGCUUCUUUUUCUUUUAUUCUCUUAUUCGUUUAUGGAAUUCCAUAUAUUACUUGGAAGCAGCAGACCCGGUAAAGGGUGCCUAGAAUGAUACUCGAAUAUCAAGCAAUGUCAUCAACUGAGAAAUAAGCUCUGGUUGGCCAUGCCACGCUGCUGCGGUAACCAGAUUUCCAUCAGUGACACAACGAUCUAUUGGAUCCGCUUCCACAAACGUCCCUCCUGACGAAACCACACGAGCCUUAAUCCCUGGGUAUCCAGUACAUUUCUUCCCCUGAAAUAUAGCCAAUUGAACCAAUUAUAUGACAUGCUAAAAAGUGCCUAAUCAGUUAAUAAGUACAUUAACCACUAAUCAAAAGAAACAGAAAAAAUAUCAUCUCCUUUGCGAUUUUAAAGAGUACUCACCUCCCUCUUCCCCAUAGUUAUUUACAAUUGAGAGGUUAAUAGGUCACAACAGAUCAGCUCAACAGAACCAAAAUACAAAGCACUACCACUAACUAUGUUUUUUUCUUUAAGAACCAUACCUGCAGAACACCAGCAGCAACUAAAAUUUCCAGGCCAUGGCAGAUGGAUGCAACUGGUUUCCCGGCUUCCAUAAAUUGUUUCACUAGUACAAUAACAUCCUCCUUUAGUGCCAAAAACUCUGGAGCUUUACCUCCAGGGAGUACAAGAGCGUCAUAACUUGAGGCAUCUAUGGAUUCAAAGUCAGCUGUUAAAACAAAAUUAUGUCCCCGGAUCUCACUGUAGGUUUGGCCCCCUUCAAGAUCACGGAUAGCAGUUGGGCAGGUAUCACCGGCUUUCUUCUUGGGGCAAACCACAUCAACAUGGCAUCCUAGAACUUUGAGGGUCUGAUAAGGCACAGUUACCUCAUAAUCUUCCGCGUAGUUCUACAAAUAUUGGGGAGGGGAGCAAUUACAUGAUGAUGAUUAGUAACUAACAGUUUAAUCAUUGGCUAUAUUUUGUCCCAUAUUUGUCAUUGCAAUAUAAAAGAAACAGAAAAGAAAGCUUACUCCAAUGAUGAUGAGGACCCUUCUCUCUGAAGCACAUAUGUUGCCUCCUAGUGCCUUGAGAAAAAGCCUAAUGAACUCAGGAUUGCCAUAAUAUGUGACCCCAGUAAUUAAAUUAUCAUCAGCAACACACACUGACAAUGUAUCGGGUUCUACCCAGUGAGCACCAGCAGCAACCAAUCCAGGUUUCAUAGUUGAAACCGCGGUGCAUUUGCGACCUUUAACAGCGCCUGCAGGUGCUAAGACCAACAGCCCAUGGCAAAUAGCAGCAAUUGGCUUUCUGCAGUCAGAAAAUUUUCUCGCCAAUUCUACAACGGAUGCCUUCAUAGCAAGAUGUUCAGGAGAUCGUCCUCCUGGUAUAACUAGACCAUCAUAUUUGUCAAUUUCGAUGUCAUCAAAUGUUGCAUUCAGUGUGAAAUUGUGACCACGAGAUUCUUUAUUAGCCUGUAACCAAAAAGGUACACGAAAGAAAACCAAACACAACACACACAUUAAAACAAGAGUAAUGGUUAGGUGAAUUCAAGCUUCUUUGUCUUGCUUGUCUCUCAAACUCAAACUCAAACUCAAACUCAUCAGAGGUUGUUUUCCAACAACUGUGUUCAAUAUUAAACAUAUAAAAUAUAUUCCUCUUGUUUACAAAUAAAAAAGAACAGGAAAGACAGGAAAGACAGAGUUUGACCUGGUCAGUGGACUCUACUUGAAUGGUUAUGGCAGUGGCGCAGAUAUCACCAGCUUUCUUGACAGGAGAAACUGCAUCAACAGAGACUCCAAAUGCCUGCAGUGCUUGAAAUGGGACCAUUGCCUCGUAAUCUUCCAUGUAGUCCCCGCACAGUAACAACACCCUCCUCUGCACCUCGCCUUUCGGAUUCCCCAUUUCUUUUCUUAUUUCCUUCUUUAGUUUCUUUCUUCUUUUUCAGAGAGAGAGAGUUUUCAGAGAGAUUUUUCACACAGAGAGAGAGAGAGAGAGAGAGGGAGAGAGUCUGAAUACAAGAAGGUAGGUUAUAGUUUGAGCUGCUCCGCUUUGCUUACUUAAAUACUCACAAAAGCGUUUUUGGAGGUUUGUGGAGUCAGCUCGAUACGGUCGCACGCAACUUGAGCAACACAUCGCAGUCAGUUAUCGUGGCAUCUCUCUAUUCGCCGCUUCUUUUCAGUUCGGAUAACUAUUCUAUUAGUUUCGAGCCUAUCACCGUCUCCAUGUUUGAUACGUUUUUUUGUUGUCUUCUUUACCGACCAAGUGAGUCUAAAUUAUUGAAACUUGAGUUCGUUCUCUUCACGGACCAAGUGGGUCUAAAUUAUUGGAGGAAGAUUGAAACUUGAGUUUGUUCUCUUCACGGACCAAGUGAGUCUAAAUUAUUGGAGGAUAAUUAAAACUUGAGUGCAAAGAGGCGAAUUUAUUCCCUUAUUGUGAAUACAAGUAAUGGUCUAAAUUAUUAGAGAAGUAUUCUAACUUGAGUGCAAAGAGCACAAAUUUAAGUGCAAAUGAGUGUACUUACUGUCUUAUUACGAAUGCAAAUGAUAGUCUAAAUUAUUAGAGAAAUAUUCAAAUUAUAGUGAAAAGAAGCGUACUCACUGUCUUAUUGUGAAUAUUCGAAUAUUCGAGCUCAAUGCUUCCUUUUCGAUUGAAAAAAAGAAGCUCAAUGCUUCCAAGCUAAUGUCCCUAUACUAUACAAAAGCUCUUUAGAGUCGUCAUCAUCUUCUUCUUGCCUUCAUUGUAGCACGUGUGUGGCCUAAUAGAAAAGUUCUUUAGAGUCCUCAUCUUCCUCUUGCCUUCAUUGUAGCACGUGUGUGGCCCAAUAGAAAAGCUAAUGUCCCUAUACUAUAAGUAGGGGUGGGCAUCAAUCCGGCCGAUCCGACCAAACCGGCCGAACUAAACCGUAUUUUCCAGUUUGGUUUGGUUUUGACUUUAAAAAGUCAACAGUUUUAAAAUCCGAACCAAACAGGAGUAAUUUGGUUCAGCUGCAGUUUUAAGUUUUAAAAAACUGUGUUAAUCCGAACCGAACCGUUUAAAUAUUAAUUAAUUAUAUAUAUAUUAAUUUACAUGUGUCAAUGGUUGAGUGGCUACUUAGAAGUGUUAGUGUACACCCAGCCACAUUGAAUUGGACUCCAACCCAUCUAUUUUCAGACUCAACGCAUUCCAGAGUUGUCUUCCUUACGCAGCCUCCCUCACUCAACCACUUCAACCCUAGAAAAGCCACCAUUGAUUUGAACCACCACAACCUCCACUGCUUCAAUCAAACCCAUUCUCACAUAGCAAAAAUCUCUUUGGCGUCGCACCUCCAUCGUCAUCGGUGCACAGCCAUCGUCAUCGUCGCACGGCCAGAGUCAUCGUCGCACAGCCAUCGUCAUCCCUGCACAGCAGCGUCAUCGUCGAACACCAGCGUCAUCGUCACACACCAGCAUCAUCGUCGCACAGUUGAUUGAUGUUCGAGAAGCCCAAGAAGUGUAUGUUCUAAUAUUUAAUUUCUAAUUAUCUACAUAUUUUUCUUUUGAUGGAUGUUCUGAUUUCAAUUUCUUGGAAUGAACUUUUAGUUGUGGGUUUAUCUAUAUAUAUGAUCAUAUUAUAUUGAGAAGUUCAAAUUUGAAAGUUAGCAAUUAACUUCUGAGUCUCAAUUCCAAAUAACACAGCAGCAGAGGAUUUAAUUAAUUACCUUCCACCAUAACCUCUUUCCAUAACAACCACGCCUCCAUUGCCAAAGUUAUUCAGCCUCUCAAAUUGCUCCACUGUCCAUAACCUCAAAUUGCCUCUAUAAGGACCAUGCGGAUAAAUAAAUGUAAUGUUUAUCUCUAACAGGUCAUGCUUUUUGAGCCGUGAUAGUUUUGGAAUAGCGUUCGAGUGCAUUUUACCUGGACUGCCAUGUUGAUUUUCACCAGAGCAGCAAAGCUGCUUGCUUUGUGUUAUGAGGUCUAGUUUUGUCAACAAACUAUAUUGCUUGACCUAGAAGAAAAUGCAAUAUCAUGUGGAUCCUUAUUUCGCAGUUGCAGGAGGAUGGUUGUGAAAAUACUAGAGCUAAUUCUGGACAACAUGAUAUUUGUGGGGGCGAUUUCUUCCCACGAGAAUAUUCAAUUGAAAGAUUCCUCUUUCAUCUUCGUCGCCCCUUUCUCCUUGCAAAAUAGAUCGAAACAACAGGACCACACUCGUGAGGUGUUGGCCAAAAGCCAUGAGAUGCCCAAGUUAGUUCAAUUGAUUCGUAGAGAAAACAAUAGCUAAAUAGGGUAUAGAGAUAUAUAUGUAAGGUGUAAACCGGGUGGCCGGAGCCGUGAGUGUUGGUCGGAGCCUUGUGUAAAAGGGAGAGAGGGUAUGGCGGCUAGGGUUUGUGAGGGAUAGGCAGUGUCCCUCUUACAAAAUUGAUGACACUCCUAACUCUUCCUAACAAAUUCUGAAAAACUGAAACUGCCUAGCUCCACCAAGCCUUUUGGUUUUCCUUACUAGGUAAUUUCUUCUUUUACCCCAUUCCCGGGAACUUGUCCUCCUUGGCUCAUUGAAUGUUCGUUAUGUCUCCACCCAUACUCAGCCAAACAUUUGAUGUACUUUAAAUCUUUAGUAUUCAAUAAUACAGCAUAACUGUUGAUAUUUACAUGAAUGGUUCAUAAAACUGAAGUGGAGAAGAAACUAUCUUAAGAGUUGAGAAUGAGUUUGGGUGGCUUGAGUGAAAAAACUUUAUCCAUCAACACAAGGAGAUGGUGAAGGCAUCUUAUUAUGGUGGGAUCAUUUGCAUCCUCCGGAGCCUUUUUUUUUCAAAAUACGGCCAGAUUUUAAUCAUUAAACUAAGAAUGUAAACGCUAGAUCCGAAAGCAGAUUCAAGGAUUUCCAUAAAAAGCAUAAUCAACAUUACGUAGUUAAAAACAUACAAGAUCCAUCCACAAUUGUUACAUAUACAGCAGAAUCAGAGCAUCAUUGUUCCCUCACAGAUGCACACAUCACCUUAACAUAUGCUUUUAUUCUUUUAUUGAAUUACACGGAGUUUCUGACUAUGUUUCUUUUUCUUUUUUUACUCUUAUUCGUUUAUGGAAUAACAUAUAUUACUUGGAAGCAGCUGAACUGGUUACGUUUGCUUAAAAUGAUACUCGAAUAUCAAGCAAUGUCAUCAACUGAGAAAUAAGCUCUGGUUGGCCAUGCCACGCUGCUGCGGUAACCAGAUUUACAUCAGUGACACAACGAUCUAUUGGAUUCGCUUCCGCAAACGUCCCCCCUGACACAACCACAUGAGCCUUAAUCCCUGGGUAUCCAGUAAAUUUCUUCCCCUGAAAUAUAGCCAAUUAAACCAAUUAUGUCAUGUUAAAAAGUGCCUAAUCAAGAAAUAAGUACAUUAACCACUAAUCAAAAGAAACAGAAAAAAUAUUAUCUCGUUUGCGAUUUUAAAGAGUACUCACCUCCUUCUUCCCAAUAGUUAUUUACAAUUGAGAGGUUAAUAGGUCACAACAGAUCAGCUCAACAGAACCGAAAUACAAAGCACUAGAUGUAACCUUUUUUACUUCCUUUUCAAGUUCAAUCGAUAAAGUAUUUCAAUCUGUUUUACUUUAUCUUUAAUAAGUAGCAUUAAAACUGGAAGCAUNNNNNNNNNNNNNNNNNNNNNNNNNNNNNNNNNNNNNNNNNNNNNNNNNNNNNNNNNNNNNNNNNNNNNNNNNNNNNNNNNNNNNNNNNNNNNNNNNNNNNNNNNNNNNNNNNNNNNAGAUGGAUGCAAUUGGUUUCCUGGCUUCCAUAAAUUGUUUCGCUAGUACAAUAACAUCCUCAUUUAGUGCCAAAACCUCUGGAUCUUUUCCUCCAGGGAGUACAAGAGCGUCGUAACUUGAGGCAUCUACGGAUUCAAAGUCAGCUGUUAAAACAAAAUUUUGUCCCUGCGUUUCACUGCAGGUUUGGGCCCCUUCAAGAUCACGGAUAGCAGUUGGGCAGGGAUCACCGGCUUUCUUCUUGGGGCAAACCACAUCAACAUGGCAUCCUAGAACUUUAAGGGUCUGAUAAGGCACAGUUACCUCAUAAUCUUCCACGUAGUCCUACAAAUAUUACAAAUAUUGGGGAGGGGAGCAAUUAAAUGAUAAUGAUUAGUAUCUAACAGUUUGAUCAUUGGCUAGAAGCCUAAAACCAUGAACUUGUCGUGGCGAAACUGGUAAAGCCGACUCGGGCUUUCUCCCCUUUCUCUUUUAAUAAUAUUAAGGUUGGUUGUCACUUGAACUUGAGCAUACUAUUUUGUCCUAUAUAUGUCAUUGCAAUAUUAAAGAAAAAGAAAAGAAACCUUACUCCACAGAUGAUGAGGACCCUUCUCCCAGAACCAGAUAUGUUGCCUCCUAGUGCCUUGAGAAAAAGCCUAAUGAACUCAGGAUUGCCAUAAUACGUGACCCCAGUAACUAUAUUAUCAUCAACAACGCCCACUGACAAUGUAUCGGGUUCUACCCAGUGAGCACCAGCAGCAACCAAUCCAGGUUUUACAGUUGGAAACGCUGUGCACUUGCGACCUUUAACAGACUGCCCAUGACAAAUAGCAGCAAUUGGCUUUCUGGAGUCAGAAAAUUUUCUCACCAAUUCUACAACCGAUGCAUUCAUAGCAAGAUGUUCAGGAGAUCGUCCUCCUGGUAUAAGUAGACCAUCAUAUUCGUCAAAUUCAAUCUCAUCAAAUGUUGCAUUCAGUGUUGUUUGUGCAAAUAAUCUCACGGGAGAAUAUUCGCCCAAGAUUCCUUCGUCUUCUCCGCCUCUCUUUCUCCUUGCAAAACAGAUUGGAGUAAAAGGACCACACCCGGGGGGUGUUGGCCAAAGGCCCUCCGAUGCCUAAGUUAGGUAAGGGAAUUGAAGGAAAACCGGGUGGCCGGAGCCGUGUGUGGUGGCCGGAGCCUUGUGUGAGAGAGAGAAAGAGAGGAGGUGCCUAGGGUUUUUGAGAAAUAAUUUAUGCAGAGUUUCAGUAGGAAUUUAGACGUACCUCAUCCUUGUGUGUAACCAGGUAUUUAUAGUGGCCUUUGGAGAGGUAGGUGGGGUUGGUGUAGUUGGUGUGGUUGGUGGGGUUGGUGCAUUUAGGGAUUAUGGAUGAACCGAAUCCCUAAUUAAAUUGGGGAUCAAGUAACCCCCAAUUUGAUUAGGUAAUUCCCAAUUAGGUUAGGUAACUCCUAAUUAGGUCAAAUAAUUCCCAAAUUGAUUGGCCUAAUUAAUUGACCUAGGGUUUUGGUUUAAUUAGGUUCCCACAAAUGCCCCCCAGCUUCUGCAUGGCGCGUGGUGGCAUGUAAGAGAUGUAAAUUAUCCGUUGGGCUGUCCAGCUGUAACUGGGCUUCCUUCGUGGACAUGGGCUCCCGCGUAGAGGAGGUGUUUGACUUGCCAAUUUUAUGAACUCCCAGGUUGGAAAGAAUUUGUGAUUCCUUGUAGGUCAAGGAAUUUUCAUUCUUAUAAAUGUAGGGCUCCUCCAAUUUAUUCUUCACAUCCAAAAUCCAUUCUGAUUUUAUUAGUGAGAGAGAGUAAACUUUGGAGAAUUUUUUCCUUCUUCUUGAGCUCUUGUCUUCAUCGCACACCCAAGGUAAUUUAGACUUGAGUUAUAUAUAUAUAUAUAUAUUUUGUUCCAAUUUCCCGCAGCUUGGCUCAUGCUUCUAGCUGAUGUGGGGAGCUGAAAGGGAGGUCAGCAGGCUUGGGACUGUACAUUUUGGGCUCGAGCAUGGAGGUCCAAGGGCUAUGGGUUCUUGCUGGAGCAAACUGGCUGCAGCUGAGGCAAGGAAGGGUUAGGCCUGGCUCACGGUUGGGCUGCGCGCGGAAAGCCCAAGGCGCUGGGCUUCGAGCAAUGGCCUGAAGGCGCUGCUGGGCAGAGGCGACGGGCCACCUACGCUGGGCUUCGUCUGAUUGGGCUAAGGUGAGAGCUGGAGCUGGCCUGCGCGAUCUGGGCUGGAGACGAUGGGUCACGCGUGCUGGGCUGCGAGCUGGAGCUGGUCAUCUGGGCUGAAGGUGAUGGGCCACGCGUGCUGGGCUGCGAGCUGGAGCUAGUCAUCUGGGCCUCCGUGCUGGGUUGCGAGCUGGGCUGCCUUCUGUUUUUUUUUUUUUUUUUUUUUGGCAUUCUAACAUGUAAAAUUAUUUUAUUAUUAUUUUUUUUUUCAGCUGCUCAACGACCAUGUCUUCUGAAGGAAAGAGCCGAUCACCAAACUCAAGAGUGCCUUUGUACCUGUGGGGCGGUUCUCAAGUUCCCAAAGAGAAGUUUGUGGCCAAUUUGCACCGUGUCACCAACGAGGCCCAGUUCAAAACGUGGCGUGCCCUUUUCGACUCUGCUAUACCCAAGGAUGUACAUGUCAAGUUGGCAGAGCCCUCAUCUGACAGUAUACCUCGUGUGGACCCGAACAAUCCAGGCGCCAGGAUUAUCACGUUCCGCCCCUUCUAUUUCUCGCUGGGUUUCACGUUUCCGUUGUCGAAAUUUUUCAGGGAGGUGUUCUGCGCCAUGGAAUGUGCCCCGAGCCAGUGUACUCCGAAUGUUUAUCGGGCGGUCAUCUGCUUUGAAAAUUUGAGCCGCUUCUUCAAGUUGGAUUUGACCGUGAAGGAGUUCUUCUACUUCUUUGAGGUGAGACACUUCGAGAAAUAUGCCCAACUCCGCGCAUGCGAACCCAAGUUGUUUGAUAGUCUGAGUCAGGGCGAUCAUGUGUGGAGCAAGGAUGUGCUAGAGGUUAGUGGCAGAUGGGAAGGAGAGGUUGGCGACGGUCCGCUCGUUCCUCUCACCUACUGUGAUGGUAAGUUGCAUCCCUCUGAUCUGCUACUAUUUUCCAUGGGAUUCCUUAGUGUGUCUGACUAACUUUUGUCUUAUGCUUGCAGAUGAUGCCAUUCGAAAGAAGCUUGUUCUCGACCCGGACAUGACGAAGGUUCGACAAGCUUUGAGCAUCCCUGCUAAGUUUCGUGAAUGGCGCUGGUUGCUGAGCGAACACCGGAAGAAAGUCAGUGGCCUGCCCCCUGCUGAAGAUAUUGAAAGGUGGAAGUCGCGCUGCUUGAAACUAAGUGACUUGCCAGUUGAGCAGGAGUCAUCGACUGAGUCCCCCGAGGGUGGGAAAACGUGCAGCAGCUCUGCUCGGGAUAAAGUUGCAGUUUCCCGAUCAGUAGAUACAUCUCCACAGCGACAGCAGCCGAGAUUUUCUCUUGCCACGAACAAGUCUUCCACAAGGGAGGUCUCGCCUGCUCAGAAAGCCCAUAUGGGAAUUGUUCCUACUCCAUCUGCCGGGAUCAGCAAGAAGGCCAAUGGCAUGCAGGAGGUUCGGGAAAUUCUGCUCAAGUCCUUGCCCGUACCGCCUAAGACCCGUGAUCUGCCAUGCAAGGAAACUGCUGGGAAGCAAGGUUUGGGUCGUCCGUGCCGAUCUGGGAAUCAAGCUGAGAGGACCGUACCUCUGCCUUGCAACCAUGACUCAUCUGUGGGGCCACGAGCAGUCAAGCGCGGGGCUGACUCAAUGUUACAAGCUGCAGUCAAAAGAGCUAAAGAGUCGUCUGCUCGAGCGAAGAGUCCUCCAAUCGCGCGAACUGCUGGUCCGGGAAUUGGUGAUGGCUCUGCUGGGGGGAGCCCGUGUCUGAUCUGCUGAAAACAGGCUUUCUGUCAAGUCCGUCUGCUUGCGCUCAGCUGGCUGAUCACGUGUAUCGAGCCUGCGACCUUUGUGCUUUUUCGAACCUUCCUUUGGAUAAGCAAGAAGAAGCUGCUAUGUAUCAUCUUCAAAAAGGAAUGGUUUUUGCUGUUGGGGCCAUGCGGAACUCGCGUGAUGUUACCCCCUCUUCUGCCCUGCUUGACGAGCUGGUGAAGAAGAAUGCCGACUUGACUGGCAAGCUCUCGAGCGAGCGGAUUCGCCAUGAUGCGAUGAUUUCCGAGAUGAAGGAGAGUUUGUCCGUGCUCAAGAGUUCUGUUGGCCAAAAGGAUGGUGAACUCAAGUCUCUUGCUGCUACCCUGCUCGAACGUAAAGAAGCCUACUUCUGCCUCGAACACAAGCAUGCUGCUUUGGCCCAGGAUCGUGACAAACUGCUGGUCAAGUUUGACACCCUUGUGGAAGCCACGGAGGCAUCCAAACUGGAGAUUGCUGCUAACGCGUACAAGCUGGGAUACCUGGAUUGCCAGAAUGGUGUUUCUCCUUGCUGCUCUCUCGAAGAUGAUGAUGGUGAGCAGACUGGUCUUGACCUGCCCCCCGCUCAGAGUGAGCAGGUGGAUGUUGUGGAUGCAGAAGCAGCGGUAAUUGAGGAAGAUAAAUGCCAAGGUGGGUCAACUGAUGAGGCUAAGGCGGAUGCGAAGGAGCAGGCAGCCGAGGCGGUUGAGCCAGUUGUGCCCGUUGGGUAGAAUGAGGCUGUUGCCAGCGCAGUUGAGGAUGUGAUCGGCUGAGGGUCACCUGCUGAAGUUCCUUAGCAGUUGUAGUCCAUUUUUGCUAUUUUUGAACUUUGUUAUUUUUCUUUCAAUAAGUGGUCUUUGGUUGACCAUCUUACUUCUUGUUGAACUUGGCUGAUUGGCCGCUUUGUUAUUGAAUUUUCAAUUGUUUUUCAAACUUCAAUUCUCUUUGUAUCUUGUAAGUGUGCGUCUGGAGACAUAGCACUUGAAAGACAUAGCACUUGAAAAAAGACUCCAUUGAGUUUGUGCUCCGGGGAGCAGCUCGUCUGCAAUGGAGGUAAGGCUUGUCGCCUGUGAGCGUAUGUCGGGGACAUAGCUCUUAAAAAAGACUCCAUUGAGUUCGUGCUCCGGGGAGCAGCUCGUCUGCAAUGGAGGUAAGGCUUGUCGCCUGUGAGCAUAUGUCAGGGACAUAGCUCUUAAAAAAGACUCCAUUGAGUUCGUGCUCCGGGGAGCAGCUUGUCUGUGAUGGAGGUAAGGCUUGUCGCCUGUGAGCGUAUGUCGGGGACAUAGCUCUUAAAAAGGACUCCAUUGAGUUCGUGCUCCGGAGAGCAGCUUGUCUGCAAUGGAGGUAAGGCUUGUCGCCUUUGUGUAUAUGUUUGUGGGACAUAAAGCUCGAAAAAAGUACUUCAUUGAAAAGCUUGCUUUUGUAUUGAUGUUGAUGUGAAUACAUCGCUUUAUUGAAUAAAGGAAAUUAAUAACAUAGGUAACAUCAAAAGCAGUUUGCCUUUAAUAGAAGUAUGAGAGGCUCGUUGUCUGCUAGGAGUCGAGCUGGUAAGCGAAGAGCUUCAUGGAUAGUAUCUCCGAAGGUGGUGGGCAUUCCACUGUCUUGGAAUUUCCUUCCCUUCUAGAGUGUCGAGGGUGUAACUUCCUCUGCCCCCAGACGGCUGAUCAUGUAGGGGCCUUCCCAAUUUGGCUUCAUCUUCUUUGAUCCUUGCCUUGGUGAUGUGAUAAAAGUCUUUCUGAGCACAAGGUGCCUUUUCUCGUUCUUCUUCGAGCAGGUCAAGGUUAAUUCUCAUCUGCCUGCAGUUUUGAUCAAGACUGCCCACUUCAAUGCUCAUGGAAGGGACUGUGAUGUGUGGGGGAAUGAUUGCCUCCGUCCCAUAAGCCAAGGAAAACGGUGUUUCUCCGGUCGAUCUCCUUUUGGUUGUGCGAUAAGCCCAUAGAACUCCUGGCAGCUCGUCGACCCAUUUUCCUUCUGUGCCUUCCAGUCUUUUCUUUAGGCAGUCCAGCACGAUUUUGUUGGAUGCCUCUGCUUGACCAUUGCCUUGCGGGUAUCUGGGAGUUGACAGGUGCUGCUUGAUGCCAUACUUCGCAAAAAAUGCAGUGAUCUGCCUGCCCACGAACUGUGUACCAUUGUCAGUAACUAUCGAUUGCGGGCAACCAAAUCUGCAGAUGAUGUUCUUCCAGAUGAAACGUUCAACGUCAGCUUCCUUGGUAGAAGACAAAGCCUCGGCCUCGAUCCAUUUAGUGAAGUAAUCAGUGGCAACGAUCAUCAUCUCUUUAUUGGCAGGUGCUGUCGGCAUAGGUCCCACCAAGUCAAUGGCCCACUGCAUGAACGGCCAUGGGCUGUUCUGCGGAUGGUAUUCCUCAGCUGGCAAGCCAGGGACUGGCUUGUACCGUUGGCAUCGAUCACAUCUUCGAGCAUACUCCGUGGAAUCUUUACGCAUGGUAGGCCAGAAAUAGCCGAUGCUGAGAGCCUUCUGAGCAAGCGACCUGCCUCCAGCGUGAUUUCCACAUUCGCCGUCGUGUAUUUUGCAGAGAACCUCGAGCGUUUGCGGGUACUUGAUGCAAGUGAGAUGAGGCCCGUAGUAUGAUCUGCGGAUAAGCGUGUCGCCUUUCAUGUAAUAUCUUGCAGCCUUCUGCUUGAUUUUUCUGGCCUCGGACUUGUCUUGGGGCAAGUUUUCAUUCACUAGGUAGUCGAUGAUGGGUUCUUGCCAGCUAGGAUCCUCGUCGAUUUGCAUCAGGUCUGGUUGUUCUGCCUCUUCUAUGCUAGGCUGAUCAAGGUGCUCGACCGGGAUGGAGCGUCUGAAUUGGGUAUCCAGUGCUGAUCCUAAGCUUGCCAGUGCAUCUGCGUGUGCGUUCUCUGCUCGGGGCACCUGCUGGAUGGUGAAGGUGGAAAAUGCCUUCAACAGCUCUUGGACUUUGUCAAGGUACAAGAUCAUCCUUGGGUGCUUCGCCAUGUAUUCUCCUGAGGCUUGACUUGUGAUCAGCUGGGAAUCUGAGUAGAUGGCCAGCUUCUUGAUUGAUAGCUCCUUUGCCAGGCGCAAGCCAGCGAGCAAUGCCUCGUACUCUGCCUCGUUAUUUGAAGCUGGGAAGCCAAGUGUGAUAGCUUUCUCUAACAGGGUUCCAUCUGGAGUGACGAUGACGACACCUGCUCCAGCUCCUUUCUGGUUCGACGCUCCAUCUACGCGUAGCUGCCACAUGUCUCUGGGUUGGUCAGGUUCCGCGGAGGUCUUGUCUGCUCUCGAACUUUCCUUCUUUUUGCUGACCAGCUUCUCUUCUUCGGCUGAUGGUGUGUACUCUGCAACAAAGUCUGCUAAGGCCUGGGCUUUUAUAGCAGUCUUUGGCCGGUAGAGGAGGUCGUAUUGGCUUAGUUCUAUCGCCCACUUCAUAAGCCGCUGAGAAGCAUCAGGGCUGUGGAGGAUUGAUCUUAAAGGAAAGUCAGUCAUAACGAUGACUCGGUGAGCUUGGUAAUAAGGCCGCAGCUUUCGCGCGGAAACGACAAGGGCCAAAAUGAGCUUCUCCAAUUUUGGGUAGCGAGUCUCUGCAUCGAGGAGAGCUUUUGACGUAUAGAAUAUCGGAUGUUGGGCCCCAAGUUCUUCUCGGAUGAGAGCUGAGCUGAUGGCUGAGUCGGACACUGCCAGGUACACGAACAAGUCUUCACCAGGAACGGGCUUCGAGAGCAGGGGAGGUGAAGUAAGGUAGGUCUUUAGACUCUGGAAAGCUACUUCGCACUCCUCGUCCCACUUGUCUUUUUGCCCCUUCUUCAAAGCUUUGAAGAAUGGUCUGCACUUGUCGGUAGACUUUGAGAGGAAUCGGUUGAGAGCUGCUGCUCUGCCCGUCAGACUUUGUAUUUCUUUCACCGUGGAAGGUGACUUCAUCUCGAGGAUGCCUUUAAUUUGGCAUGGGUGUGCCUCGAUACCUCGUUGUGUGAUACACCGAACGUGCAUUUACUUGGAUUCAGCUUCAUGCGGUAUUGGCGGAGCAGGCUGAAUGCCUCGGUGAGGUUUUUGAGGUGGUCUCCACGCUUGGGGGCUUUGACCAGCAUAUCAUCCACGUAGACUUCCAUGGUUCUGCCGAUCUGCUCCUUGAAAAUCUUAUUCACGAGCCUUUGGUAUGUUGCUCCAGCGUUCUUCAACCCGAAGGGCAUGACCUUGUAGCAGUAGGUUCCUCUCUCAAUGAUGAAAGAGGUCUUCGCCUUGUCAUCGUCGUACAUCAUAAUUUGAUUAUAGCCUGAGUAGGCAUCCAUGAAGCUGAGCAGCUGGUUGCCGGAAGUUGAAUCCACGAGCUGGUCGAUCCUCGGCAAUGGGAAGUUGUCUUUAGGGCAUGCUUUGUUGAGGUCGGUAUAAUCGACGCACACUCUCCAUUUUCCCUUUUCUUGUUUUGCCACCAAAACGACGUUGGCCAGCCAUUCUGAGUAUGAGACUUCUUCAAUAAAUCCGGCUGCUAGAAGCUUGUCGAUCUCGGCUUCAAUGAUCGCGACUCGCUCGGGAGCGAAGUUACGUCUCUUCUGCACCACGGGCUUGCUGGCAGGGUUGACAUGGAGGCGGUGGCAGAUGAUGUUUGGGUCGAUGUCGGGCAUGUCAGAUGGUGACCACGCGAACAUGUCUUUGUUGUUUUGGAGGAAGGUGGUAAGCUCCACCUUCUCGUCUGGGCUUAGGCGCGAGCCGAUCCGCGCUUUCUUAUCUGGCUGGUUAGGAUCGAGGGGUACUAACUCGACGUCUUCCUCAGGCUUCCAACCCUCUUCAAGGGAGCCUUCCGGGCGGAUUCCCUCCUCUCGAUCCUUCUUGUUUGGAUUCUAGCACGAGCCGAUCUGUGCUUCUUUGUCUGGCUGGCCAAGAUCAGGGGGUACUAACUCAACGUCAUCCUCAGACUUCCAACCCUUUUCAGGGGAGUCUUCCGGGCGGAUUCCCUCGCCUUGAUCCUGGCUCAUUAAUUGCUAUUGUGAGGUAACAGCUCCCUUCUCGUUCGAGCUUGCUUGUCUGCUGGGAGCACUUCGUGCCUCGUUGGCAGCUUGCAUUACUGGUGUGAACUGCAUCUGCUUGCUCUUCUUGAGUCCGUGAGCUGUGCAUCUUCUUGCCAUGGCUUGGUCACUAUUGAUCUGCCCGAUUCCGCCUCCAGGGAUGGGGUAGCGAAUCUUCUGGUGUAGAGCAGAUGUGAUAGCCUCGAUCUUGCUGAUCCACGGUCGGCCCAGAAUUCCGUUGUACGGGGAGAUCUCGUCGAUGACCAUGAAGGUUUGUGUGCAGACUACUGGGGGCGAGUGGACGUCAAGGUCGAUCUGUCCAACAGUGAUUGAUGUGGCCCCAUUGAAGCCAGUGAGCGACCUUGCAAGUUUGCUAAUCUUGGGCUCCAAUCCCAUCUGUUGGAUGACAGAUAGUUGCAGGAUGUUGGCUGCGCUGCCCUCAUCCACAUGAACUCGCUCGAUCACAGCUUGUUCAAUCCGAAUGCACAUGACUAGGGCGUCAUUAUGCGGCAGGUCAAGCCCGAUCAAGUCUUUCUUCUGGAAACCAAUGAUGGGUGUAUCCACGAUAACUGGUACUCCUGUUGUGACUUGGGAGACAUAAGUCGCCUGCGCGAUCUUCCUCUUGCGCUCCUUGGUGGUCAACCCGGACUCCUGAGAGUCAGCUAGAAUGGUGUUGAUUCGAAUGACCUUUUGGGGAGGUUCCUUGGCAGCCGCAUCACGAUCCUCGAUCUGUUGGAUGGCCUUCUUUGCGACGAAUUCUGUGCAAUGACCUUCUCUGACCAGCUCCUCCAGAUGCCUUUUCCAAGCAUUGCAAUUGUUGGUGUAAUGACCGUGCUCCCCGUGGAAUGCGCAGUAUUUACUGGUGUCCCUCUUAGAGGGGUCUCCUUUCAUGGGUGGCGGUCUCCUCACCCACGGCUUGUCCUUCACUUGAGCCAGGAUCUGAUGAAUUGGGAUAGCGAACUCAGUAAAGGUCCCAAUUUCUGAGCUUCCCUCUCGGGGCCGCGAUCUGCGCUUAUCUCGGGCUUUUUGCUCGAACUGAUUGCUCUUUUGGCUUGCCUGCUUCGUCGGGUGUUCAACUUGCUUGCUAGCUUUCUUUGCGGCGAUUCGAUCAUCGUCCCAAAGUGCGUAGCGUUCUGCCGUCGCGAACACUUCUGCCAAGGUUUGACUUGGUGUUAUGGCCAGUUCCCGGUAUAGCUCGUGCUCGGUUGGCAAGCCCUUCUUGAAGGCUGAGGAUGCAACUUGGUCAUUGCAUCCUAUGAUGUUAGCCUUUUCAGCCUUAAACCGUCUCAGGUAGUCUCGUAGAGACUCGUCUGGCUUCUUGCGCAGGUUGAACAGAUGGUCCGCAUGCUUUCUGACCGUCUUGUAGGAGGUGUACUCCUUUGUGAAGAUGAAGGCCAACUCCUUGAAGUUUCCUAUCGACGCGGACGGUAGAGUGUGGAACCAGUCUUGAGCUGCUCCUCGCAGGGUCAUCGCGAACACUUUGCACAUCAGGGCAUCAUCUGCCUUGUACAGGAUCAUGGCGCUCUUGAAGUGCCUCAAAUGGCUCUCAGGGUCAAAGUCCCCCUUGAAUGGAGUGAUGGAUGGCGUUGUGAACCGCUUCGGUGGAGGAGCUCGUUCCACUUUGUCGGUAAAGGGCGAGCAGUCAACUCGAUCAAUUUCCUUAUGCAGGGCCUCCUCCGCGCUUCCUUUAAGUUGGAGAACUUGGAGUCGGUCAUUUACUAGCUUCUCGACGUCCUCUGCUCGCAGGACUGGAGUCUCAGGCCGGCGUCUUCGGUGCCUCGAGCGCGACCGGCUAACCUCUUCCUCGGUUCCCAAAGGUCGAUCCCCUUGGGUGUUCUGCCCGUGGGGCAGAUUAGAAGAUUGAGCUUGUGAGGAUUCCUCUACAUCUUGUCGCCACGUGUUGGUCCUCGAGCAGGUUGGUGGGCGUCGAUCAUCACCUUCUACCCGCAAGGAGGGUCGCUCAGGUCGACGUCUUUGGUGUCUCGAGCGUGACUGGCUAACUCCUUCCUCGAUUCCCAAGGGUCGAUCCCCUUGGGUGCCCUGCCCGUGGGGCAGAUUAGGAGAUUGGGCUUGGAAUGAUCCCUCUACAGCUUGCCGUCGCGUGUUGGCCCUCGAGCGGGUUGGUGGGCGUCGGUCGUUGCGUUCGUCACGCGACUGCUCACGAACUCGAGCUCCUUGUGGGCCCAAGCGGGCGUGGACAUUGGAUUGUGGGCCUAAGCGGGCGUGGACAUUAUUCUGUGGGCCUAGCCUCUCGAGCACAUUGGUCCUUGGUUCUAGCCCGAACGGCUCAGAGUACGGCUCGCGGCUGUCUGCGUCUCAUCUACUCGAUCUCGAUCUCGAUCUCUCCUCUGCCGGUUUGCCCUUGUCUGACCAGCUUGGGACCUCUCGAACUGCUCGCCGACAUGCUGGUGUGCCCUCAUCUCCUCGUCACGGGGUCCAAGGUUAAGGCCUUGAUUCAAGUUGAUCUGCCUGAGCAGCUGGCCAAUCAGGUUGUUCUGAUCAUCGACCUUCUGUGUGAGUUAAUCGACCCGUGAGUUAAGGUCCACCUGACUGCGCGGGUCAAGUAGAGUGAUGUGCAUCGGGCCCACGGCAAAUGGGCUAGGGCUCCAUUAGACGCGUACACAGGUGCAUAUGUCGAGUGUGAUAGCAGAGGAGGGAGAGAAUGGAUCUGCUCCAGGACUGGGAAGACGUCGGAGUAGCCAUGGGGCUGAGCAGCAAAUCCGGUAGUUGAGUGGUGUGGCUGCUGCUGUGCUACGACGGCAGGACAGCGGGGCAGAGCAGCUCCUGUAAUCGGCGCUGGCAACUGCAAGGCUGUGGAGGUCCCGAGGUCAUGGUCCGGCUGUUCUGCAAUUCCAGCAGCUGAAUGCGGCUGCAAAGCACUGGAGGACGACUGCAAGGCGUUGGCAGCCACGAUUCCGUGCGGUUGCAUUGAGGUUUCCACCACGAAACCAUGAGAUGGGCCCAUCGUGGUGGCGUUACUCUUCGUACGUCUUGUAUCAACCAUAGUUGUUUGAAAAAAUGUGUGAAAGAUGGAUUUAGAGCACGCUUUGAAUAUACCUCGUGCUCUCAAUGAAAGCACCAAUUUGUUUGUGCAAAUAAUCUCACGGGAGAAUAUUCGCCCAAGAUUCCUUCGUCUUCUCCGCCUCUCUUUCUCCCUGCAAAACAGAUCGGAGUAAAAGGACCACACCCGGGGGGUGUUGGCCAAAGGCCCUCCGAUGCCUAAGUUAGGUAAGGGAAUUCAAGGAAAACCGGGUGGCCGGAGCCUUGUGUGAGAGAGAGAAAGAGAGGAGGUGCCUAGGGUUUUUGAGAAAUAAUUUAUGCAGAGUUUCAGUAGGAAUUUAGACGUACCUCAUCCUUGUGUGUAACCAGGUAUUUAUAGUGGCCUUUGGAGAGGUAGGUGGGGUUGGUGUAGUUGGUGUGGUUGGUGGGGUUGGUGCAUUUAGGGAUUAUGGAUGAACCGAAUCCCUAAUUAAAUUGGGGAUCAAGUAACCCCCAAUUUGAUUAGGUAAUUCCCAAUUAGGUUAGGUAACUCCUAAUUAGGUCAAAUAAUUCCCAAAUUGAUUGGCCUAAUUAAUUGACCUAGGGUUUUGGUUUAAUUAGGUUCCCACAAGUGUGAAAUUGUGACCACGAGAUUCGGUAUAAGCUGUAACCCAAAAAGGUACGUAAGUACGUACAGAAAACCAAACCAAAUACACACGUUCAAACAGGAGUAAGGGGAUACAAAAUAAAUAAAUUAACAGGAAAGACAGAGUUUAACCUGGUCAGUGGACUCUACUUUAAUGGUUAUGGCAGUGGAGAAGAUAUCACCCGCUUUCUUGCCAGGAGAAACUGCAUCAACAGAGACUCCAAAUGCCUGCAGUGCUUGAAAUGGGACCACUGCCUCGUAAUCUUCCAUGCAGUCCCCGCACAGUAACACACCCUCCUCUGCUCCUCGCCUUUCGGAUUUCCCAUUUCUUUUUUUAUUUUCCUUCUUUAGUUUCUUUCUUGCUUUUUCUUUCUUCUAUCUUCUUUCUUCUUUAUCACAGAGGGAGGUGGUCUGAUAAAGGAAGGAAGGCCUGCUUUAAAUAUAAUACUCACACAAGCGUUUUUGGAGGUUUGUGGAGUCAGCUAGACACGUCGCAGUUAGUAAUCGUGGCAUCUCUCUCUAUUCCUCUUUUCUUUUCAGUUCGGAUAACUAUUGUAUUAGUUUCGAGCCAUAACCAUAUCCAAGUUUGAUAUUAUUUGUUGUCUUCUUCACCGACCAAGUGAGUCUAAAUAAUUCAAGGAAGAUUCAAACUUGUAAUGUUUAUCUCUAACAGGUAUGGAUAAUAAAUGUAAUGUUUAUCUCUGACAGGUAUGGAUAGUGUUGAAUAGCCUUCGCGUUGAUUUUACCUCGACUGCCAUGUUGAUUUUCACCAGCGCAGCAAAGCUGCUUGCUUUGUGUUAUGAGGUCUGGUUUUGUCAACAAACUAUAUUAAUUGACCCAAAAGAAAAUGCAAUAUAAUGUGGAUCCUCAUUUCGCAGUGACAGGAUAUGGUUGUGAAAUACAGGCUAACUUUGGACAACCUGAUAUUCAAAAGAAAAUUCAAUAUCUUGUCGAUCCUCAUUUUGCAGUUACAGGAUGGUUGUGAAAGUAUAAGCUAACUCUGGACAACACGAUAUUCAUUCAGGUAAAACUUCGAGGUGUACAGUGAGGGAGAUAGAAACCCUUGAGCUGAAAUCCUUGGCGCCGACGACUAAUAAAUCAUAGUGUCCUUCUUGUUGAUGUGUAACCCUUGAGUUGAAAUCCUUGGCGCCAAAGUUGUUUUUUAUUUGCAUUUUAUUUCUUUUUUAUAUGUUUAAACUCUGUUUGUAAUAUGAGCCAUUGGAUCAUAGUCCAAGUGGUCUCUUAUCUAGCCUAGGAUAUAAUCUGUCAGAUUGUGACAAGUGUAAUCAUCUCAUAGGCUGAUAGGAUCAAUUGUUAGGAUUAAAUCCCUGUGUAAAUUAGGUAGAGAAGAAUCUCUCUUCUCUCUCCUCUAACGGAUAUAUUGGUAUAGUGGAAAUGGAAGCAUAACAGCUCCUUUAGCAAUAUUGCAGCUCAAUAAUCUCUCCUAUCUUUCCAAAAUCUAAAAUCUCCAGAAAACUAGAACACUAAAACUAUGAACUCUAAUAUGGUAUCAGAGCUAGGUUGGAUUGCUUAAACUGGGCGUGAAUCUGUGAACAGAGAAUCGGACUCGAUUCGAGCUAUUUUUUGUUGUUGAGCUUAUUUGAAGAUCGAAGCUGUGAUUUCUUGAAUCCAAUGUCUAAUAUGGCAGGAUCGGGAACAGCUGAGCUUCACACACCAGUUUUCAAUGGAGAAAACUAUUAGUGUUUUGGAGCAUUAGGAUGAAAACCAUUCUGAAAUCUCGUGGAUUGUGGGAUCUGGUCUAGAAUGGGAUAGAUAAUUCAGAUCUGAAGAAGGAGAACGAGGAGGCUACGGUUACUGAGAAGUCCACUAUGGCUCAGAUUUUGAUGAAGGAUGCUCGCGCACUUGGAUUGAUUCAAAGUGCUGUCUCAGAUAAGCUAUCCCCAGAAUUGUGAACGAAGAGACCUCAAAGGGUGCCUGGGAUAUUCUGAAGCUGGAGUUCAGAGGCGAUAAACAAGUAAGAAAUGUCAACUUGCAAGGGUUGCGUAGAGAAUUUGAAUAUACUCAUAUGAAGGAUAGUGAAUCUCUAUCUGUAUAUCUUGUUAGAUUGUUUGAUAUGAAUAAUCAAAUGAAGAGUUAUGGUGAGGAAUUACCUAGAGAGAGAGUUGUGCAGAAAUUGUUGUUUAGUCUGCCGAAAUCAUAUGACUCUAUUUGCUCUGUGAUUGAACACUCUAAGGAUCUUGAAACUCUGGAAGUUCAAGAGGUGGUUGCCCCUUUGAAGAGCUUUGAGCUCAUAUUUGAUCGCCAUACUGAGAAUUCUAUAGAAAGGGCAUUUACUAGUCUGAAUAUUGAGGAAAAGAAUUCUAAGAGUGGAAAUUUUCCUGGAGAUCAAAAAUCUCAGAAAAACUGGAAGUCUAAUGAUGAAAACAAAACAGCUUGUAAACACUGUAAUAAGCUGCAUUAUGGCAAGUGUUGGUUUGAAGGGAAACCUAAAUGCCAUGGGUGUGGGAAAUUUGGGCAUAUGAUCAGAGAUUGCAGUGGGAAUAAAAAUGUACAUAAGGUGAAUUAUGCAAAUCAAGUUGAGGAAACUGGUACUUUGUACUAUGUGUGCAAUGCUGCAACAGAUGUGAAAGUGAAUUAUUCAUGGUACAUUGACAGUGGUUGUAGUAACCACAUGACAGGAGAUGAGGGACUUUUAGUCAAUAUUCAAAGGAACUUGACCUCUAAGGUGAAGAUGGGAACUGGAGAAGUAGUUCCAGUUGCAGGAAAAAGGACUCUUGUGAUAAAAACCAAGUUGGGUAAGAAGCACAUUCAAGAAGUAAUGCUUGUACCUGGUCUUGAAGAAAAUAUGCUUAGUGUUGGGAAAAUGAUUGAGGAUGGAUACUAUCUUGUGUUUGGAGGGAAUAUGGUGAAUAUUUAUGAUGAUUAGUCACGGAGAAAUCUAAUUGUGAAGGUUCAAAUGACCGAUAACUGAUGUUUUCCACUUACAAUGAUGCCUGCAAGUGAUUUGGCCUUAAAGGCAAGUGUUACACACUGCUUGCAGACAAGGCAUAAAAGAUUGGGGCACUUAAAAGAAAGAAGCAUAAAAUUGCUUGAGAAUCAAUGCAUCGUUCAUGGCUUACCUCAUUUGGAGCAGAUUUUAGUAGUAUGUGAAGGCUGCAUGCUAGGAAAGCAACACAGAGAUUCUUUCCUUUUGGAGUCCACUUGGAGAGCUACAAGUCCUUUGGAAUUGGUUCACACAGAUACCUGUGGACCAAUGAAGACUGAAUCCAUUUCUGAAAAUAGGUAUUUCUUGCUAUUUACAGAUGAUUGCACUAGAAUGUCAUGGGUGUAUUUCAUCAUAAACAAGUCAAGUGCAUUUGACUGUUUUAGAAAGUUCAAGGCUAUGACUGAGCUACAAAGUGGAUAUAAGAUAAAAGGCUUGAAGAGUGACAAGGGUGAAGAGUUUUUAUCCAGUGAAUUUUACAGGUUUUGUGAUGAAUUUGGAAUUCAAAGGCAGCUUAUUAUAGCAUACUCUCCUCAGCAAAAUGGAGUAGUUGAAAGAAAGAACAUGACAGUAGUGGACAUGGCAAAAUCUAUGCUGCAUGAGAAGGGUAUUUCUUAUGAAUUUUGGGUGGAAGCUGUAAAUACUACAGUCUAUCUACUGAAUAGAUGUCCCACCAAGUCUCUCAAGAAGGUAACACCAUUUGAAGCUUAUACUGGCAGAAAACCAGGAAUUGCACACUUAAAGAUUUUUGGAUCUCCUUGUCAUGUGCUCAUCCCUUCAGCAUUAAGGCAUAAACUUGAAGAAAAUAGCCACAAGUGUAUUUGUGUGGGUUAUGGACUCUGUGAAAAGGGGUACAUGCUAUUUGAUCCAAGCAUUAGAAAGGUUAUUCUGUCCAGAGAUGUGCAGUUUGAUGAGAAUGGCUCAUGGAAGAGGGAGAAUGCAAGUGCAUGAGAAAUGACAGUCCCUGUGCCUACUGAGAAUCAAAACUGUAAUCCAAGUCAAAGCUUGGGUACACCAAUGCAAAUGGAUGAAGGAAUCACACUACAGAAUGAACCAAGUCAAAGCUUGGAUACACCAACAUAAAUGGAUGAAGGUAUUACUCUGCAAGAUGAAGGAAUAAGUGAAAGUUCUCAAGCUAUUGAUCACACACCAAAGAAAUGGAGAAGUGUUAACGAAAUCAUGGCUCAAUGCAAUAUCUGCAUUGUGGAACCUGAAAGUUUUGAAGAAGCUAAUCUUGAUAAGUCAUGGAGAAAUGCAAUGAAGGCUGAGCUGGAAAUGAUUGAGAAAAAUAAUACAUGGAAACUAGAGACAAACCAUUUGGCAAGCCAAUUAUUGGUGUCAAGUGGGUCUUCAAAACUAAGCUAAAUCUGGAUGGAUCUGUGCAGAAAAACAAGGCCAGACUUAUGGCAAAAGGCUACUCUCAGAAGCCUGGAAUAGACUAUAAUGAGACGUUUGCUCUAGUAACAAGAUUGGAUAUUAUUAGAACGUUGAUAGCACUUGCUGCACAGAAGGAAUGGAAUCUAUAUCAACUGGAUGUAAAAUCUGCCUUUCUGAAUGAAGUGUUAAAGGAAGAGGUUUAUGUGGAGCAGCCACAGGGUUUUGUGAAGGAAAAUGAAGAAAUCAGAGUGUAUAAGUUGAACAAGGCCUUCUAUGGACUAAAGCAAGUCCCAAGAGCCUGGUAUGAUGAGAUAGACUCUUACUUCAACAAGGCAGGAUUCAAGAAAAGUCCUAGUGAAGCAACACUCUAUGUCAAAACUAGUGAAGAUUCAGGUAUUCUUAUUGUUUCACUCUAUGUGGAUGAUAUUGUCUAUACUAGAAGUUGCCCAAAGUUACUUGAAGAGUUCAAAAAUGAUAUGAUGCAACAUUAUGAAAUGACUGAUCUUGGACUACUCUACCAUUUUCUUAGCAUGGGAGUAGUACAAACAGAUAAACAUAUCUUUCUUCAUCAGAAGAAAUAUGCAUUGAAGGUGAUUGAAAAGUUUGGAUUGAAGGACUGCAAGUCUGUGGUAACUCCAUUAGUUGCAAAUGAAAGCCUGUGCAAGGAAGAUGGCAGUGAGGCAGCAAAUGAGAGUGAAUAUAGACAGAUUGUAGGUAGCCUGCUUUAUUUGACAGCUACAAGACUAGACAUAAUGUUUGCCUCUAGCUUGCUUGCUAGAUUCAUGCAUAAUCCAACUAGAAAACACAUGGGAACAGCCAAGAGGGUAUUAAGAUACAUUUAGGGCACACUUGAUUUUGGAAUUGAAUUUAUAAAAGGGAAGACAACUACCUUGAUAGGGUAUUGUGACAGUGACUGGGCAAGAAGUGAAGAUGAUAGAAGAAUUACUUCAGGAUAUGCAUUCACACUAGGAUAUGGUAUGUUCUCAUGGGCAUCAAUUAAACAAAACACAGUAGCUUUCUCCACUGCAGAGGCAGAAUAUGUUAGUGCUGCUGAAGAAACAUCACAAGCUAAAUGGCUAAGGUUCGUACUUGAAGAUUUUGAAGAGGAGCAAGUGGAAGGUACACCAAUUCUGUGUCAUAACACCUCUACCAUAGCAAUGGCAAAGAAUCCAGUUUUCCACCAGAAAACCAGACAUAUUAGCCUAAAGUUUCAUUUCAUUCGAGAAGCUAUUCAAGCAAAGGAGAUUGAACUAAUCUACUGGAAAACAGAAGAUCAUAUUGCAGACAUCCUAACCAAGGCUUUGUCCAAGGAUCGUUUUGUGUAUCUCAGAGAUCUACUUGGUGUGAAAUCAGUCAAAGGGUUAUAGAAGGGAGUGUUGAUGUGUAACCCUUGAGCUGAAAUCCUUGGCGCCAAAGUUGUUUUUUGUUUGCAUUUGAUUUCUUUUUUAUAUGUUUAAACUUUGUUUGUAAUAUGAGCCAUUGGAUCAUAGGCCAAGUGGUCUCUUAUCUAGCCUAGGAUAUAAUCUGUCAAAUUGUGACAAGUGUAAUCAUCUCAUAGGAUGAUAGGAUCAAUGGUUAGGAUUAAAUCCCUGUGUAAAUCAGUUAGAGAAGAAUCUCUCUUCUCUCUCCUCUAACGGAUAUAUUGGUAUAGUGGAAAUGGAAGCAUAACAGCUCCUUUAGCAAUAUUGCAGCUCAAUAAUCUCUCCUUUCUUUCCAAAAUCUAAAAUCUCCAGAAAACUAGAACACUAAAACUAUGAACUGUAAUACUUCUAAAGCAUUAGUAUAAUACAAGCUUCGUCCACAACCAAACUUGCAUGGAACAUGGCAUAUACAUAUCAAAACCAGAAUGUCACUUGUUCCCUCAUAUAUAGAAACGUCACCUUAACAUAACACUUACAUAUAGUACAUGCAAGCAGCUGACCCAGUAAACAGCAAAUGAUACUCGAAUAUCAAGCAAUAUCAUCAACUGAGAAAUGAACUCUGGGUGGCCCGGCCACGCUCUCCAGUCCAAAUUUCCAUCUGUGAAACAAUGAUCUAUUGGACCAGGUUCCAGCCGUGUUGCUCCUGACAAAACCGCAUUAAGCUUCACCACUGAAUACGCAGUAUAUUUCUUUCCCUAAAAUUUAGCUAGUUAACAACAAUUAGGACAUGAUUUAAAAAAGUCCAUAAUGUGAAAAUAAGUAAAUCAACCCUCAAUCAGAAGAAUCAGCAAAAGGCAAACAGAUUACAAUUUCAAAGUGGUUUCUUUUUUACCUCGUCAUUAAAUACUCACUCAGUAAAUCAACCCUGUUACAAAAUUGAUGAUACUCCCAACUCUUCCUAACACCUUCCGAAAAACUGAAACUGCCUAGCUCAGCCAAGCCUUUUGGUUUUCCUUAGUAGGUAAUUUCUUGUUUUACCCCAUUCUUAAACCAUUCCAUCUAGCAUAGAUUUUUACUGCUUCAUAUAUUCCUUCAGAGAAUUCUGCAUUACAGUACACACCUUCCGACUUUUAUAUUACCGCACAAAUGUUCAUGCACCAACUGGCAAGCUUGCUCAUCAACACCCACAACAAAACAUACAUUUAAAUUUACGAUCAACUACAUAGAUAGUGAGUUAUAGAACAAAUGAAUCCACAGGUUAUCUGUAUUGUCUUUUUGGUUAAACAUGUUUAACUUCCCACACAAAAUUAAUUUUACUCUAGCAUUUUAGUUUAUGUUAAAAAGCGUAAGAAGUUAAAAUGUUAUGGAAUCUACAUUAUAUAUGUAUAUCUACCACAGAAAUGCUAUAAUGUGGGGUUGUGUGUGAGGGGUUCAAUACCACUAUCCAAUAAUAUAAAGGAUAUUUUGAACUUAAACUUUUUAAUGAUUGGAUGGUUGGAUGGUUGGAGACCAAGUAUAAAUAUCCUAGUUCUUUGUGAAUGUACAAAUCAUCCAAUUUCAAACAAAUUAACUUUAUAUUAUUGUUUCAACUCAUUUAGUUUCAAAGAUUGAAAUUCUGGCAGAUGGAUGCAAUUGGUUUCCUGGCUUCCACAAUUUGCUUCACUAAUGCAAUGACUUUCUCAUCCAAUACCAAAUGUUCUGGGGCUCCAGUUGUACGGCAUACAACAGUGAGGUUAAUUCUCAGUCUCGCAGCUAUGCACAAGUGGUCUUUGAGGCAAUUGAAUGUUAAGAACGCAUUCUUACAUGGGGAGCUUGAAGAAGAAGUUUUUAUGAGGCAACCUCAAGGUUUUGAAGACCCCAAGCAUCCUGAGUUUGUGUGUAAGCUGAAUAAGUCUCUGUAUGGACUUAAGCAAGCUCCACGGGCAUGGAAUGCUAAAUUUACAGGAUAUUUACCAGCUAUAGGGUUCAAAUAAUCUCGUUCUGAUCCCAACUUAUUUGUCAAGCAUGACGGCACUGAUAUUAUAAUUUUAUUAUUAUAUGUUGAUGGUAUCAUCUUGACAGGCUCCAAUGCAAAUUUAGUGCAGACAGUGAUUGAUGAUUUAGGAGCAGUGUUUGAGAUGAAGGACAUGGGUCGCCUUACCUAUUUCCUUGGUCUUCAAGUGUCUUACAAUUCUACAGGUGAUAUUUUUGUCCAUCAGCACAAGUAUGCUAAAGAUCUACUGCAAAAGGGCUGGUCUGAGUAAUUGUAAGGCUUCUCCUACUCCUUGCAAGCCACAUAAUCAAGUCUUAAUGUCUGAAGGAGAACCACUGCAUGAUCCUACAUUUUAUAGAAGUAUUGUUGGUGCCUUACAAUACUUAACUUUCAUAAGACCUGACUUAUCCUAUGCUGUCAAUACUGUGUGUCAGUGUAUGACUGCUCCCACUGAGAUACAUUUCAACCUGGUCAAAAGAAUUUUGAGAUACAUUCAAGGUACCAUGAAUUAUGGAAUUCACUUUAUUCAUGGUCCUUGGAAAUUACAAGCUUAUAGUGAUGUUAACUGGGCGGGGGAUUUAAAUGCUAGGAGGUCAACUACAGGUUUUGUGGUAUUGCUUGGACAUAAUCCUAUCUCAUGGCAGUCUAAGAAGCAAGGGUCUGCAUCCAGAAAUUCUACAGAGGCCGAGUAUAGGGCUUUGGCUAGUACAGCUGCAGAUUUGGGUUGGAUUCGAAAGGUUUUGCUAGACUUGAAAGUGUGCUUGCCUCUACCUCCUACCAUCUUUUGUGAUAAUCUAUCUGCUUUGGCACUUAGUAGUAAUCCUGUGUUUCAUUCACGAAUUAAACACUUGGAUACAGAUUUUCACUUUGUUCGUGAAAGGGUUCAAAGGAAUGAUCUGAUUGUUUAGUAUGUUCCCACUCAAGAGCAAAUCGCAGAUGUAUUUACUAAAGGACUGCAUAGUCCUAUUUUCUUGAGUCACUGUACUAGUAUGCGACUUGGAAAUCCAUAGCAGGAUCCAGAGUUGGGUUUGAGGGGGAAUGAUAACAAUAUUAGUUAGUUUGUUAAGCUGUCACGUGUGCUCACGUGUUGUUAGUUAGUAGUAACUAUAAUUAGUUAAGAGUGUUAAGUCUUGGUUAUUGAGAUAUAACACUAAUGAAACUGCCGUUGUAAUUCAUUAUAUACAGAGCAUAUCAUUUCUUCUUCCUUCUUAGUCUUCUCAAUUCUUAAGCUUCCUUUUCUAAACUGUUAUCAGAUGGAACCCUAUCACACCAGAAUUGUGGCAAAUCUGGUAUAGCCGAUUCAGGUUAUUUUCACUAUAUAUCUUUCAGAAGUAUCUGUAACGGGGCAAAUCUCCAUCAAUCCUCUUCUUUUCAGUUUAUCUUUAUGCCCAUUCAUGCAUGUAUAUAUUAUACGAAGAAGUUUUUGACAUAUGGCAUGUAUUGUGUGUCAAAUGUAUACCGAUUCAUGAAGACAGGUUCAAGAUCACAUACACCAUAUUCACCUUCAUUUCUUUUUGUUUAUUCUGGGUUUCUCCAAUUUGAAUCACAUUAAAAAACAAAUACUGAACAGUGAUAUAUUCAAUAUUGAUCGGCAUCACAAUUUCAUAUUUCUCAUUGCACUACGAAGGAAAAUAAAACUUACCCCACAGAGAAACAGGAUCCUCCUAUCUGAACCAGUUAUGUUACCACCUAGUGCCUUCACAAAAAGCCUAAUGAACUCAGGAUUCAUAUGUAGCCCCAGUAAUUAUAUUACCAUCAACAACAGACGCCAACAUGGUCUCGGGUUCCACCCAAUAAGCACCUGCAGGCUGCAGCAACAAGUACAGGUCUGACAGGUGGGAAGGCCGUUAUAGUAUAGCCGCGCGGCUAUACUCCAUAAGCAGAAUAUUUUAAAAGUACAGCCGCACCGCUAUACUCCAAAAAUUAUAAUAUCGUAAAAGUACAGCCGAUCGGCUAUACGCGAUAAAUAAAAUAUUUCAAAUGGCUAUACUAAAGGAACUUAAACGUNNNNNNNNNNNNNNNNNNNNNNNNNNNNNNNNNNNNNNNNNNNNNNNNNNNNNNNNNNNNNNNNNNNNNNNNNNNNNNNNNNNNNNNNNNNNNNNNNNNNNNNNNNNNNNNNNNNNNNNNNNNNNNNNNNNNNNNNNNNNNNNNNNNNNNNNNNNNNNNNNNNNNNNNNNNNNUAUUUUCACUUAGAGACGAAGGCACUAAUGCAAUUUUGUUUAUUGAAUAUGGUGUACGCAGUGACGUUGGAGCCAAGAAUUUGUUCACGCUGUCUUUUCCCCAGAACUCAAAGCUCAAUACAGGUCGGUUCUCUAGCUCAUAAUGAAUGAGCAAAACUCCUAACAUGUGUUCUUGUUUGAGCUUACUUUAGUCUCGCUGUCCACACAACCUAGAAACUAUGACCUACGGAUUGCUAUUUGUCAAUCUAAUAGAGUGGCUCUAAUCAACAGUAAAACUUAAUUCAUUUUGUCUAUAAUUAAGGCUACCAACCACUGGCUGAUGCAAAAACCUAAACUUGUAAACUUGACAAACUUAUUUCCAGUCCCAACAUACUCCAAAUUUUAGAGGAGGCAACAUAAUCCCAUAUGUGAGAAUUGUAAGCACUUCAAUCUUUGAGACAAAUUUCUUGUUUUGGGUUUACAAAUUCAAGUGAAGUAAGCAUUCAAUCUUCAAUCCAAUUGAGUGUGCUUGAUUACAGAGCAUGGAAAAGACCAAUUGACAGUGCUCAAGUGAUGUAAUGAGGCUAAAGAAUAAAUUUUUAUCAUAUAAUCAUUAAAUAUGUUCACUAAAAGAUGUGUCAUCGUUAUAUGUAAAAAUUUUAGAAAUAUAUAAACUAGCUAGGAUUUACGUGAAUUCGAAUUUGAAUACAUGAAAUAUUAUUACCUACUACAUCAUUUGAUGAACAGAUUUGAUGUUCCUAACAAUUCUAUGCGUACUAGUAAAGUACUUUGUCUUUAAUUUGGAAGUACCCGAAAGCAUAAUGUUUUUCAUAUAUUAUCUGGCAGGAGGCAAUUCAAGAAAAAAAGCCAUCAUUAUUGGAGUCGUAGUUGGAGGUGUAGGUCUUUUAUUCUCAUUGUUGGAGUUUUUCUCUAUUUUAAACUUUCAAGAAAGCCCGAGGCUGCAACAACCACAGAAUUCGAAGUUGCACUUCCUCUUGCAUAUAUACUAUUACAGUCAUGAUUUCUUGGACUACAAGUACAAGGGUUCAAGAGAUUUGUGAUCACUCACCGUUUGAUGUAAAUUCAACGGUUCACUCACUGUUGCACUUCUUUUAAGAAAUUUUUUUGAACCAUUGGAUUAAUAUCUAACGGUGGGUGACCACAAUCUCUUGGACUCCUGUAGUCCAAGAGAUCGGAUUGUAUACUAUAAGUCCUGAUCUCUUAGACUACAAGAGUACAAGAGAUUUGUGGUCACUCACCGUUGGAUAUAAAUUCAACGGUUCACUCAUUAUUGCACUCCUUUUAAGAAACUUUUUUGAACCAUUGGAUUAAUAUCCAACGAUAGGUGACCACAAUCUCUUGGACUCCUGUAGUCCAAGAGAUUUGUGGUCACUCACCGUUGGAUGUAAAUUCAACGGUUCACUCACUCUUGCACUCAUUUUAAGAAACAUUUUUGAACCAUUGGAUUAAUAUCCAACAGUGGGUGACCACAAUCUCUUGGACUCCUGCAGUCCAAGAGAUCGGGACUGUAUACUAUCAAUCCUGAUCUCUUGGACUACAAGGGUCCAAGAGAUUUGUGGUCACUCACCGUUGGAUGUAAUUCAAUUAGCUCAUGCUCUAACCAUGUAUAUAUAUAAACAUAACAAAUUUAAAAAAAUUUGGUAUUAGACAUAAUUAUCUUUACUAAUUAGUAUUCGAGAUAAACAAUAUUUAUGUUUUAGUUUUAAUACAUAGGAAUUGAAUUUUGUUUUGGAUUUGGACAAAGAGGAGGCCCAGAUUCAUUAGCCCACCUUAUAUUAAUCACUAAUUUUAAUUUAAAAACCUGACUCAAAUUCGUUGGUUUACCUUUUUUUUAAGACUGCUGCUAAACGAACCCUAACAUUAACUGAGUACACCCUAUGAUCUAAGUACACUCUGAUAUUUUAAUUUAAAUGUAAAAUUAACUAAGCACACCCUAUAGAACUACCAAAAAUAUCUCUGGUACACCAUAAUAUUUGUAGCAUUAUUUUAUAGUUGAUUUUUAGCUUGAUUUUUUUAAUAGUGUUUAUAAAUCUUUGACUUUUCAUAUGGAUUUAUGCUUCUACUAAAAUUGUUGACACUUUUUUUGCAAUUUCAAGUUCUUGCAAUCACCACCUCUUUCGUUAAUAAUGAUUUUUUUAUGCAUGUUUCAGUUAUAUACUACUAUGCUACUAUGAAAUUUAUUCGUUCUCAACGAAGUUAAAAACAAGCUAAACAAAUAGAGNNNNNNNNNNNNNNNNNNNNNNNNNNNNNNNNNNNNNNNNNNNNNNNNNNNNNNNNNNNNNNNNNNNNNNNNNNNNNNNNNNNNNNNNNNNNNNNNNNNNNNNNNNNNNNNNNNNNNNNNNNNNNNNNNNNNNNNNNNNNNNNNNNNNNNNNNNNNNNNNNNNNNNNNNNNNNNNNNNNNNNNNNNNNNNNNNNNNNNNNNNNNNNNNNNNNNUGUAUGAAGCAUCCGUUCCAAAAUUUCAAAAGUAACCCAACUUGCAAAUCUGCAUAAAAACAUAAGAGAAAAACAAUAAGAAAGGUGCAUGAGUGGCAAACGAAAGUCACUGCAAACUUCAUCAAAUUGGCCCUAGUAGUACUAAUUAAGAUAUUUUUAAUCAUACACGCUCACAAGCCAGAAAAACUAAGUCCUAAAAGAGGGAUGAAGAUGCUGCCACCACAAUUUUCAUUCAUGUUGUUAGUGAACUAGGCAAAAGUAAUAUGCAUAAAUUCUAUUUUUACAGUAUAUAAGUCAAUUCACCAUAAUAUUUUUUUGACAACUUAUUGGAUUGUCAGGAAUUCAAUGAUCAAUCAGGCCUUCACAUAAUCUCCACCGCUGCGCUUCCUUUUGGACCGUGAGAAGAAGCAGAUUUGAGCCCAAGUCUUCUUCUGCUUAGCAGGUUGUGCUUUAACUUCUCUUUUCACGACAAGCUCAAUCAUGUAUUGAACAACAGCCUAAGAUUAUAUUUGCUCCAAACCAUUCUGACUCGCGGAUCACAAAGAUGAGAACCAAAUAAUCUCUUGAGUAGGGUUGAAUACGAUUAGUAGGGUGUACUUAUUAAAAUUAUAUUUGUUUCACAAUUUCAUAUAUCAUUUUUGGUCAUUUUAUAUUAGAGUAAAUCAGUAAUUCAAUAUAUGCUUUUGUAGUAGGGUGUACUCAGUUAAUUUUAGGGUUCGUUUAGCAGCACUCUUUUUUAAUCAUAUCAGAUCUGCUAUCAUCAAUCCAAGAUCAAGAGACCGAUCUGCGAUGGAAUUCUCAACCAUCUUCCUCCUCUACCCAACCCCCCCACAAAUGACACUGUUCGGACCAUCCUCAACACCCCAACACACGUCGCCCUCAAGUCCGAAGAACUUAUAAGAAUGGAGCAGGAAUUGAAAGACUACGAAAUCGAAAUGCGGAAAGCCAAAGAGGAUCUCAACCGUCGGAUUCACGAUGAUCAGGUCGCGAGGGAGAUCAUGAAGAUUCCAUAGGACGAGUGGCAAGAGUCUGGCCAACUCUUCGCCAAACCCUUCGGUGAAGGCUCCUCCUCAUCGUCGUUGACGAAGAGGGUCAAGAGUGAAAGAGUGUUCUAUCAGAUUGGUCAAAAAAUAAUACUUCAUUUAUCUUAAUAUAUAACAAAUAGGAAGGUUAUAUAUACAAAGCCUAGGAAACUAUUCUAGGAAAGUAAUUAUGUUCCUAUAAUCUUGCAUAAUCAAAUAGUUGACUUAGACUAAUUAGGAAUGUACAGCUCAUUGACACUCCCCCUCAAGUUCGAGCAUAUAUGUCGUCAAUGCCCAACUUGCUAAGUGAGCUGUGAAAUACCCUGCCUGUGACUGCUUUGGUAAGGACAUCUGCAAGUGAUCUUCGGAUUUAACAAAUGAUACCUUAAUGAUCUUGCCUCGAGCUUCUCCUUGAUGAAAUGUCUGUCAACUUCAACAUGCUUGGUUCUAUCAUGUUGCACUGGAUUAUGUGCAAUGUCUAUUGCAGCUUUGUUGUCACAAUUCAGUUGCAUGGCAUGUUUGGGUUUGAACCCCAAUUCCUCCAACAAAUUCCUUAUCCAGAGUAGCUCACAUACUCCGUGCGCCAUACCUCGAUAUUCUGCUUCAGCACUUGAUCUUGACACUACUUUCUGUUUUUUACUUCGCCAAGAUACUAGAUUGCCUCCUACAAAGGUAAAGUAUCCAGAUGUAGAUCGCCUGUCAGUAACAGAGCCCGCCCAGUCUGCAUCAGUGUGACCCUCAACAUCUAGAUGACCAUGUCGUGCGAACAUCAAUCCUCUUCCAGGAGAUGACUUCAAGUAUCUCAAAAUUCAGUUUACCGCAUCCAUGUGGGCUUCACUUGGUGCAUGCAUGAACUGACUCACCACACUUACAGCAUAUGCUAUAUCAGAUCUAGUGUGUCCUAGAUAGAUUAACUUACCCACAAGGCGUUGAUAUCUUUCUUUGUUGGUGGGUACUUGAUCAGGAUAUUCACCAAGCUGAUGAUUCAACUCCAUUGGCGUAUCUGCUGGUUUGCUGGCUAACAUUCCAGUGUCAGUCAAAAUGUCAAGGAUAUAUUUCCGUUGUGAUAGAAAUAUUCCUUGUUCUGAACGAGCCACUUCGAUGCCUAGGAAAUACUUCAGAGCACCAAGAUCUUUCAUUUCAAACUCACUUGCCAAGUGGUGCUGCAAUGCUGCCUUUUCCACUAGGUCAUUCCCGGUAACUACCAUGUCAUCAACAUAUACAAUAAGGGCAGUGACUUUACCUUUCUUAUGUUUCAAGAAAAGAGUAUGAUCUGAGUUACUUUGCUUGUAUCCAAAAUCCUUCAUUGAUUUGCUGAACUUUUCAAACCAUGCUCUGGGUGACUGCUUCAAGCUAUAAAGAGACUUUCUCAGUUUACACACCAUGUUGCUAGUAUUGGACCCCAUCUUACAUCCUGGAGGGGAAUCCAUAUAGACUUUUUCUUCUAGGUCGCCGUGCAAGAAGACAUUUUUGACAUCAAACUGGUGUAAUGGCCAGUUUAGGUUUGCUGCCAGAGAAAAAAGUACUUGAAUUGUGUUUAUCUUGGCUACAGGGGCAAAUGUCUCCCUAUAGUCAAUCCCAUAAGUCUGGAGUAUAACCUUUCGCCACCAAUCUUGCUUUGUAUCGUUCAAUGGUGCCAUCUGCCUUGAACUUUACUGUAUAUAUCCAUCUACAACCCCACUGUUCUCUUCCCUUUGGGAAAGGAUAGUCAUCUUUCAAGUGGAAUUCUUCUGGAAGGCCUCCAUUUCAUCAUUCAUUGCUUGAGUCCACUUGGGGAUCUUUAGAGCUUCCUACCCAUUUACUUGGAAUAGAUACAGUGGAUAAUUGACAUACAAAUGAUGCACAUGACGGAGACAACCUAUGUAGGGACACAUGAUUAGCAAUAGGGUAUUUAACUUUUGUUUUUGGGUCCGGGUCAUACUGUUGUCUAGGAAUCCCUCUAGUGGUACGAAUAGGUAACUGAUAACCUGUGUUUCCUGUAUGACUCGACUCAUGUAAAGUACUUAAGUUGGAGUUUAAAUGCUCAGUUACCUGCGGGGAAUCUUCAGGACCUGAUUGGAUGAUUGGUGAUGGUACUGUAGUUGGAGGGAAAUUAUCUGAACCAUCAUCUGGAGUUUCUAGUAACUCUUGAUCUUGUUGCACUACUGUAGCUGGUUGCUCGGAAACUGACUGCUCUAAAAUAGUUUGUUGAAUUUGGAUGCUCUGAGUAUCUUCUGCAAAGAUAGAGCUCUCCCCCUGCAGAGGAUGCUCAGAAACUCCCCCUGAGUAAUAGAACUCACUCUCGUGGAAAGUCGCAUCUGCGGUAACAUGCAUGGUCUGAGUGGGAUGAUGGAAACACUUAUAGCCCUUCUGAGUGCCAGCAUAACCCACAAAGACACAACGCAGUGCACACGGAUCAAGCUUGCCACGCUGAUGUGGAUACACCUGAACAUAAGCAACACAACCAAAGAGACGUGGUUCGAGAUUUGGUGUGGAUGGCAUGGUGAGGAGAGUGGUCAAUGUCUGAAAUGGAGUUUGAUACUGAAGAGUGCUGGAUGGUGUUUUAUUAAUGAGGUAAGCAGCAAAACAAAGAACCUCCCCCCAAAAAUGAUGAGGNNNNNNNNNNNNNNNNNNNNNNNNNNNNNNNNNNNNNNNNNNNNNNNNNNNNNNNNNNNNNNNNNNNNNNNNNNNNNNNNNNNNNNNNNNNNNNNNNNNNNNNNNNNNNNNNNNNNNNNNNUUAAAAAAUUAUGUAGGUCAUGGUUGACUUACUCUCCUCCAUUGUCAGAUCGAAGCGUGGUGAUUUCUGUCAAACUGAGUAGCAACAUAUUGAUAAAAUAACUUGAAUUUGGCAGUGACUUCACUUUUCUGCUUUAAGGAAAAAAUCCAGGUCAUCCGGGUGCAAUCAUCAAUAAACGUCACAAACCACUUAAAACCGCUAAUAGUAGGAACUCGUGAUGGUCCCCAAACAUCAGAAUGGACAAUCAUGAAAGGCAAAGAACUUUUAUUCAAUCUUAAUGGGUAAGAAAUACGAUGGCUUUUGGCCAAAAUGCAAGUUUCACAACGAAAGUCUGAUUCAGCAAACUGGGAAAACAAAUCUGGAAAUAAAAGUUUCAGAUAACCAAAAGAAGCAUGCCCUAAUCAUCUAUGCCAUAGCCAAAUUUUCUUCAUCCUGAUAGACUCAUCUCCUCUCACAUGAUGUGUCUGACUCAAUCUUGUACUGCUGUCUUCUGUCAAGUCCAGAUAAUACAACUUUCCCCUCUUAGUACCACAUCCAAUCACGGUCCUGGUGAGAAGAUCCUGAAAUAGACAAUACAAUGGCCAAAAACACACAGUACAAUUAAGGGAAUCAAUGAUUUGAGGAACAGAUAACAAGUCAUAGUCGAGUGAAGGGACAACUAAGACAUGAUCAAGACUUAAUGAAGAUGUAAGAGAUAAAGACCCUUCUCUCAUAACUUGGGAGGUGGUUCCAUUAGAACUGGUAAUAUGUGUUUGGCUUGAUGGUUUGGUAGAGUGCAACCCAGUAAAACUAGAUGUCAUGUGAUCAGUAGCGCCAGUGUCAAUAAUUCAUGAUCUAUUACAAGUAAGUGAAGAUGUGCAAGAGGUACCUGAGGUGGCCAAGGCCUUGGAGCCAGAUGUACCUGAUGGAGGUUCUGAUGCAGUCUCCUUGGAUGACUGAGCGGAUGCAAAUGAGGCUCUGGUAGAAUCCUUUUUUCGCCCUUUGUGGACCCAUCCUUCUGGAUAACCAAUGAUCUCAUAACAGCCCUUAAUUGUGUGGUUAUCUAAACCACAUUUGGUACACUUCAUUGGAGGCCGGUUACAAGUAGGGUCGACACUAUAGUUGUUCGGCCGAGAUUGUUUGGACCUCGCAGUAGCCAAGGCUGUGGCUUCGGAGGUUACACCAACUUCAGACAUGGUUCCCUGUCGGUUACUUUCUCUUUUAAUAUGUGCAUAUGCGGCCUCCAGUUCGGGUUUUGGCUCCAUCCGCAAAAUCUCUCCUCGGAUUUGAUCGAAAUUAUUGUCCAAACCUGCAAGAAAUAUAUAAACUCGGAGACGAUCAACCUCUUUGCGUCUAGUCUCAAUGUCUUUCGGAUGCUCCAUGGUGCUUGGACUUAAUUGAUCAAGCUCCUGAAAAAUCUCAGUGAGCUCACUAUAAUAUUUGGCAACUGAUGCGCCAGCUUGCUUCAUUAUUAAUGACCGUCUGUGAAGGUCAUAAAUCUUGUCUUCAUCAGCACCAUCUGAAUAGGUUUGCUUGAUUGCGGCCCAGACUUGCUUUGCUGUGUCAUAACGAAUAAAUCGUUUAAUCUGAUUAGGUUGCAUGGCGUCGAACAACCAACUCUUGACUUGGCAAUCCGAUGCACGCCAUUUAUUAAAUGUGGGAUCUGUGUCUGCAGGUUGGGCAAUAUCACCGGUCAAGUGGCCAUGUUUUUCUCACCCAGCUAUCUUCAUCUCUAUGAUUUGAUGCCAUAGAGAAUAAUUAUUCUCAUCCGGUUUGAUUCCUGCGGAGAAGUUGGAGGUGUCACUCUGCAAAGUGACGAUUUAUGUGGUAGUUUUGGAGCCUCCCGACACCAAGGAUUGAUUGGUGUUUACUGACCCGUCAUCGUUGGCCAUGAUAUUGGCUGACAACCAAUGAAAAAAGGACAAAAAAGAAAUAUCAAGUUGAGGAAAAGCAAGUGAACGGUGGACAAAGGCAAUAAGACAAACUGUUUUGCAAUAAGAAAUAUUGGGUUGAAAGGGAAAAAAAGAACAAGGGGAACGGUUUGAAUGGGUCUGUGAGUGGAAAGUGAUUUGCAAUAUUGCAAAACGUGAUUUGACUAGAGGAAAGGUUUGAAUGGGUUUGUAAGAUGGAAUAUGGGUGGUAUUGGUGCUGGGUUUGUGAGAUGGAAUAUUGCUUUUGGUGCUGGUGCUGGUGCUGCGUACUGGAUGGAAUAUUGCAAAACAGUGAUUUGAGAUGGAAUAUGGGCUGGUGCUGGGUCUGUAUGACGGCUGUUGCUGCGGAAGCGAUUAGGGUUAGGGCAAGAGACAGUCAAGAUUGACUGCUCUGAUACCAUAUCAGAUUGGUCAAAAAAUAAUACUUCAUUUAUCUUAAUAUAUAACAAAUAGGAAGGUUAUAUAUACAGAGCCUAGGAAACUAUUUUAGGAAAGUAAUUAUGUUCAUAUAAUCUUGCAUAAUCAAAUAGUUGACUUAGACUAAUUAGGAAUGUACAGCUCAUUGACAUGUUCAGGCUCUACUUCAAGGGUUUGGUGAGCGAGGAAAUGGUUGGAAAUGAGAGAGUGGUGCUGGCUGGGGUUGGGGUUGCUCUAUGCGACUCCAGGGAUAAUUUGGUGUUCGAGGUUUGGAAACCCCUGAUUGGGAAUGGGAUGAGCAAGAAUGGUGCCCUGUUGAAAGCCUUGAUUGAAGGACUUAAUGCUGCUCUUGCUCUGGACUUGAAGCGCAUCACCUUUUUCUGUGAGAAUUUUCCCAUUUUUUUAGUUUGUGAGUUGCUAUCUCUUCUCUGUCUCGUUUCAGUCUAUUGAUGAAAAUUAAUUAGGCUAAUUGUGGGUUUUGCAUUUUAAUAUAACGACAUAUAUGGUUAUGGACGCUGUGGUUUACACUGACCAUGAAAGAGACUCUUGUGAAAGAGGUCUAAAGGAAUGGAACUUAUUAUUAUAUUAGUGUAUACGAUGUUGUAGGUUUUGUUAAUUAAUAUUUUUUUUCUUGGAACAAUAAUGAACUUUCAAUUUUCAGAUAUACUUCAUGAAAUUUGAUAGGGCAAAUCGUAUAUCAUCCAUUGUGGACAAAGAGAUGCAUUCACUUUGAGAAAUUUUACUUGUGUCUUCUCAACAUUUGCUAAAUUAGUUUGCUAUCUUGUAUUUAAAUUGACCAUUAGAGAAAGUCUUGUGAACAAGGUCUAAAAUAAUGGAGUUUAUUAUGACAUUUAUGUGUGCAAUGUUGUAGUACUUGUGUUGAAACCAAGAAUAUUGGAUGUACUAGUCACUGUGCUACGGUCUAUUUACACCCAUGAAUAGAGCUUGUUGAAUUUCUGACAUUAUAUUUUAUGUAUGAAGGUUAAUGGUAAAUGGCAAGCAAAGAACUACCCAAGAGCAAGGGAACUCAAAAUUGGACUUUCGAAAACUGCAUUGCAGUUUCGGAAAUUGCAUUGCAGUUUUCAUUUAAUUACAAUUGAAUUUUUGCUCUUUCCUUGGUCUUCAACCUCACCAAUUUGAAGAGUAAAGGCUACCCAAAUGAGGAAUUGGGGAAAGAGAAAAGUAGAACUACCCAAGAGCAAGAUAACUCAAAAUUGGACUUUUGGAAACUGCAUUGUGGAUUCAGAAACAACAUUGCAGUUUUAGAAACAGCAUUACAGUUUUCGUUUAAUUACAAUUUGAUUUUUGUUCUUUCAUUGGCCUUCAACUUCACCUAUUUGAAGAGUAAAAGCUACCCAAAUGAGGAAUUGAGUGGACAAGAGAAGAUUAAAACUACCCAAGAGCAAGGGAACUCAAAAUUGGACUUUUGGAAACUGCAUUGCAGAUUUGAAAACUGCAUUGCAAUUUCGGAAACUGCAUUGCAGUUUUCAUUUAAUUACAAUUUGAUUUUUAUUCUUUUCUUGGCCUUCAACCUCAUCAAUUUGAAGAGUAGAGGCUACCCAAAUGAGGAAUUGAGUGGGCAAGAGAAGAUAGAACUACCCAAGNNNNNNNNNNNNNNNNNNNNNNNNNNNNNNNNNNNNNNNNNNNNNNNNNNNNNNNNNNNNNNNNNNNNNNNNNNNNNNNNNNNNNNNNNNNNNNNNNNNNNNNNNNNNNNNNNNNNNNNNNNNNNNNNNNNNNNNNNNNNNNNNNNNNNNNNNNNNNNNNNNNNNUAUUUUUAUUGCAGUUUCUGUUUUUAUUUUCAGUUUUGUGGGAUAUGUGUUGAAAUGAUUUUUUUUUUUUUUAAACUGUUGAUUGUUGGUAUAAAUAUUGUAUAAUUGAAUAAAUAUUACAAAAUCAAGUUUGGUGUAGUGGUUUGUGAGUGAGCCUUCCUCCUUUGAGGGUCAAGGUUCAAGUCCCUUCAAUGACACAAAAUAUUUUUUUUUUAAAGGUGAAUAAAGGGCAAUGGAGUUGGUCCCCUACAGACGGUGGCAGGUGGUGGCCGGCGACGGUGGCUUGCAGCGGGAGUCCGGUGGUGGUGGCCGGCGAAGGGUGGCUGGAGGCGGGACUCCGGUGGUGGGAGUCCGGUGGUGGGAGCCCGGUGGUGGGAGCCCGGCGGUGGUGGCCAACGAAGGGUUGCCGGAGGCGGUAGUCUGACGGUGGCCGAAGGCGGGUGACGGCGGUGGUGGCCGGCGAUGGGUGGCUGGCGGUGGUGGCCGGCGAUGGGUGGCUGGCGGUGGUGGCUAUAUAUGGACAUGUGGCAUAGUAUGCUUGCCUUAGAAGGAGUGGCAUUGUGUGCAAUUUUGAUAUUUUUUAAUGAUAUGUUUGUAAAAUUGAGUACUAUAUUUGGUCUUUGGUCUUAUGCUAAUUAGAUGAAAUUGUAUUCUUAUCUUUCAAAUUAGUAAAUUAUAUUAUGUUUUGAAAACUAAAGCUCCCCCUAAAAAUAAGUAAAUUUAAACAAUUGAAGACACGUACGAGCAAUUUUUUUUAAGGGAGCUUUAGGUGAUAUAUUGCGAGUUGCAAGGCCAAGGACCAUUGAAUUACAAAAAUAAAGAUUUGACGGCGGCAACAAAAAACUUCAGUGAAGAAAAAAAACUUGGAGGAGGAGGAUUCGAGGGCAUCUACAGGGUAAAUUAUGUGCUAAAGAGCUCUAAAAUAAUUUAUGUCAGUUCAGUUUAGCACGAUCGAAUAUGGUGUACUCUUUUUUUACAUAAAUAAAGUUUUAAAAAACUGGGAAAAUUGCAUUGUCAAGCUUUUGAUUAUCCAUGCAUAAUGUUCAUUUACAAUUACAUGGUUGGUCAGGGUACUCUAAACAAUGGAAAAGUACGUAGUUGCAGUUAAAAAACUAGCAAUUCUCCAAUCUGACAGGGCAAAGGCGAAUUUCGUAAACGAGGUGAAGCUGAUAUGUAACGUUCAUCACCGGAAUCUCAUUCUUCUUGGAUGUUGUAGCAAAGGACCGUAAUUGCUUCUCAUAUAUGAAUACAUGGCAAACAACAGCCUCUACAGAUUCAUAUUUGGUAAUAAUUUUCGGCUUUUCAGCUCAGCUACCUCUAAAUGCAUGCCUCUCAACUGGAAACAACUAAAUGACAUAAUCCUGGGUACAGCGGGGUCUGGCCUAUUUACAUGAGAAGUUUCAUGAGAUGUAAAAACCAGCAAUGUUGUUUUGGAUGAUAAUUUCCAGCCACCAGAUCUGCCGGAACAUUGUAAGUUAAAGUACUUUCCCACAGGCAUAACCCCUGAUUGAGAUCUAUAUGAUCAUUACUCUUCUACAAUAUUUAUACCGAUAUUGUGUUUUGCCCUACUUAUCUUUCUAUCCGCACACAAAAAGUGUUAUGAAUCUACUACAUACAUCUUGUGUAGCUUGUCACAUUCCAGGAUCGACUCUGCCGUAUCACGAUAUUGUUCGUUUUGAGCCCCCUUCUCUGCCCUCACGGUUUUAUUUCUGAAAACUCACGAGCAACUUUUCAGUGGGUCUCCUAUCCUGGGAUUGCUCUAACCCCCAACUCGCUUAACUUCGAAAUUCCCAUGACUCCGAAGCCAGUGAACUCCCAAAAAACCUCGUACUAGAUAAAAACGAGUAUGUAUAUAUAAGACACAUUAUCCUCUCUCCGUUGAUCGAUAUGGAAUGUUACAUAGCCGAAGAGGAGUACAUCACCAUCAUGGUGAUGNNNNNNNNNNNNNNNNNNNNNNNNNNNNNNNNNNNNNNNNNNNNNNNNNNNNNNNNNNNNNNNNNNNNNNNNNNNNNNNNNNNNNNNNNNNNNNNNNNNNUCAGCACAAGUAUGCUAAAGAUCUACUGCAAAAGGGCUGGUCUGAGUAAUUGUAAGGCUUCUCCUACUCCUUGCAAGCCACAUAAUCAAGUCUUAAUGUCUGAAGGAGAACCACUGCAUGAUCCUACAUUUUAUAGAAGUAUUGUUGGUGCCUUACAAUACUUAACUUUCAUAAGACCUGACUUAUCCUAUGCUGUCAAUACUGUGUGUCAGUGUAUGACUGCUCCCACUGAGAUACAUUUCAACCUGGUCAAAAGAAUUUUGAGAUACAUUCAAGGUACCAUGAAUUAUGGAAUUCACUUUAUUCAUGGUCCUUGGAAAUUACAAGCUUAUAGUGAUGUUAACUGGGCGGGGGAUUUAAAUGCUAGGAGGUCAACUACAGGUUUUGUGGUAUUGCUUGGACAUAAUCCUAUCUCAUGGCAGUCUAAGAAGCAAGGGUCUGCAUCCAGAAAUUCUACAGAGGCCGAGUAUAGGGCUUUGGCUAGUACAGCUGCAGAUUUGGGUUGGAUUCGAAAGGUUUUGCUAGACUUGAAAGUGUGCUUGCCUCUACCUCCUACCAUCUUUUGUGAUAAUCUAUCUGCUUUGGCACUUAGUAGUAAUCCUGUGUUUCAUUCACGAAUUAAACACUUGGAUACAGAUUUUCACUUUGUUCGUGAAAGGGUUCAAAGGAAUGAUCUGAUUGUUUAGUAUGUUCCCACUCAAGAGCAAAUCGCAGAUGUAUUUACUAAAGGACUGCAUAGUCCUAUUUUCUUGAGUCACUGUACUAGUAUGCGACUUGGAAAUCCAUAGCAGGAUCCAGAGUUGGGUUUGAGGGGGAAUGAUAACAAUAUUAGUUAGUUUGUUAAGCUGUCACGUGUGCUCACGUGUUGUUAGUUAGUAGUAACUAUAAUUAGUUAAGAGUGUUAAGUCUUGGUUAUUGAGAUAUAACACUAAUGAAACUGCCGUUGUAAUUCAUUAUAUACAGAGCAUAUCAUUUCUUCUUCCUUCUUAGUCUUCUCAAUUCUUAAGCUUCCUUUUCUAAACUGUUAUCAGAUGGAACCCUAUCACACCAGAAUUGUGGCAAAUCUGGUAUAGCCGAUUCAGGUUAUUUUCACUAUAUAUCUUUCAGAAGUAUCUGUAACGGGGCAAAUCUCCAUCAAUCCUCUUCUUUUCAGUUUAUCUUUAUGCCCAUUCAUGCAUGUAUAUAUUAUACGAAGAAGUUUUUGACAUAUGGCAUGUAUUGUGUGUCAAAUGUAUACCGAUUCACGAAGACAGGUUCAAGAUCACAUACACCAUAUUCACCUUCAUUUCUUUUUGUUUAUUCUGGGUUUCUGCAAUUUGAAUCACAUUAAAAAACAAAUACUGAACAGUGAUAUAUUCAAUAUUGAUCGGCAUCACAAUUUCAUAUUUCAUAUUGCACUACGAAGGAAAAUAAAACUUACCCCACAGAGAAACAGGAUCCCCUUAUCUGAACCAGUUAUGUUACCUCCUAGUGCCUUCACAAAAAGCCUAAUGAACUCAGGAUUCAUAUGUAGCCCCAGUAAUUAUAUUACCAUCAACAACAGACGCCAACAUGGUCUCGGGUUCCACCCAAUAAGCACCUGCAGGCUGCAGCAACAAGUACAGGUCUGACAGCUGGGAAGGCCGUUAUAGUAUAGCCGCGCGGCUAUACUCUAUAACACUUUAAAGGUAUAGCCGCACUAUACUCCAUAGAAUAUCGCAAACAUAUAGCUGCGCGGCUAUACGCCAUAAGCUGAAUAUUUUAAAAGUACAGCCGCACCGCUAUACUCCAAAAAUUAUAAUAUCAUAAAAGUAUAGCCGAUCGGCUAUACGCGAUAAAUAAAAUAUUUCAAAUUGGCUAUACUCGAAAAAUAGAAAACCAAAAAACAUAUUAAAAUAAAGGGGACCAGAAAGACAUAUAUAUAGCAUUUGAAGAUUUGUAAAUUAAACACAGAUCACGAUUCAGUAAACCUAGGUAGCCCAUUAUCAGAUUAUUUUCACUUAGAGACGAAGGCACUAAUGCAAUUUUGUUUAUUUUGGGUUUACAAAUUCAAGUGAAGUAAACAUUCAAUCUUCAAUAUAAUUGAGUGUGCUUGAUUACAGAGCAUGGAAAAUACCAAUUGACGGUGCUCAAGUGAUGUAAUGAGGCUAAAGAAUAAAUUUUUAUCAUAUAAUCAUUAAAUAUGUUCACUAUGUCAUCGUUAUAUGUAAAUUUUUCAGAAAUAUAUAAACUAGCUAGGAUGUACGUGAAUUCGAAUUUGGAUACAUGAAAUAUUAUUACCUACUACAUCAUUUGACGAACAUAUUUGAUGUUCCUAACAAUUCUAUGUGUACUAGUAAAGUACUUUGUCUUUAAUUUGGAAGUAUCCGAAAGCAUAAUUAAUGUUUUUCAUAUAUUAUCUCGCAGGAGGCAAUUCAAGAAAGAAAGCCAUCAUUAUUGGAGUCGUAGUUGGAGGUGUAGGUCUUUUUAUCCUCAUUGUUGGAGUUUUUCUCUAUUUUAAACUUUCAAGAAAGCCCGAGGCUGCCACAACCACAAAAUUCGAAGUUGCACUUCCUCUUGCAUAUAUACUAUUAUUCAAUUAGCUCCUGCUCUAACUAUGUAUAUAAGAAUGUGAAGGCAAAGAGUCCCACAUUUGAAAGUUGUGAAACCUAGCAAGGGCUUAUAAGAAGUUGGGCUACUCCCCCCAUUGCCAAUUGGUUUUGGGCUUAUCAGAGCGGGUUGCCCACGUGUGAAAGCCCAAUCACGACACGUGCUCCACGUCACCCAAAAUGUGUUGUUUACGUGUUAGGCUUGAAAAUUCUCCACACGUGCAGGGACGUGUGAGAAUGUGAAAGUAAAGAGUCUCACAUUGGAAACUUGUGAAACCUUACAAAGACUUAUAAGGAGUUGGGCUACUCCCCCCAUUGCCAAUUGGUUUUUGGGUAAAUUAUAUGCUAAAGUGCUCUAAAAUAAUUUAUUAGUAUGCAUCAUACAUAGAGAUACAAAAACUAGCAAUAUUAUUUUGGAUGAUAGUUUCCAGCCCAAAAUCAAUUUUGGGCUGGCAAGGCUUCUACCAAAUGAUUAGACUCAUCUUAUUAGAACCAGAUCUGCUGGAACAUUGUAAGUUAAAUUACUUUCUCACAGGCAUAACCCUUGAUGGAGAUCUAUAUGAUCAUUACUCUUCUACAAUAUUUAUACCGGUAUUGUGUUUUGCCCUACUUACCGUUCUAUCCGCACACAAAAAGUGUUAUGAAUCUAUUACAUACAUCUUGUGUAGCCGAAGAGGACUAGUAUAUCUCCACCAUCAUGGUGAUGCUCUCUAGUGUUUCUCUCUAUGGUGAAGUGUCUCUCACUUCUGUUUUAGCCUAUCUGGGCAAUGGUGCUCACGGCACCUCCUACUAAGCCUUCUUUAAAUAACCAAAGAAUUUGGUCCAGCAGCUGCAUGCAUGAAAAAACCGUGCAAGUUGUCCUGAGCACCUUCAAAGUCCUCCACCACAAGACACAGAACAUUAAUGCACCGAAAAAGCACAACCACCAGCAUUCGCAAAGAAGCCAGCCGCUCCUCUUUCUCAUGUCCUUGGUGCAGCACAGUGGGGCACACCUGCACACACAUCUCCUGCUGUCAACCGAAGUCCCUCUUUAUGCAUAGCCCAAGUUGGCUUCUCAAAGAACCCAAGCCAAAAAGUAAUAGCAAUAAUACAAAGCCUACUCUCUCUCUCUCUCUCUCUCACGGGUACACAGACCAACAAUGUGGCCAAUAAACGAAGGAAAAUGCUGGCAACCUUAUCUCCAACCUUAUUUUUGGACAUUUUCCCUUUUCCUCAUGACAUAUGUCACAUCCCAUACACUUGAAAACAAUGACAUUAAUACAUUAAACAAACUACCUUUUGUUUUCGAAGUUUACCCUUAUUAAAUGUAUUGUCUUUCAAUUUAUCCAAAAAUUUUUACAACUCUCUUACUACAUUUAAAAAAUUAAAAAAAUUAAAAAAAUUCAGUUUAAAAAAAAAAAAACAUGUUGUUAUAAAACUAGAGGGAGAAAAUGUAGAGAGAAGUGAUAUGCUAAAGACAAAGUUUCACCAUGUUUAUUCUACCUUAAUCUUUGGUAGAACCACCUAUUUAUAGGCUUACAAGAUAGGAGAUUGAAUACCAUCAUUUACAAUAUACCUAUAGGUUACAAGCAUUAAUUACAAAUACUUAGUGCAUAGGUUACAUAAAAUCCAACGGUGGAAUAUUAAGAGGUAUGGUGGUCAUCCACCAACUCAUGCAUUUACAACACUCCCCCUUGGAUGUCCACCAUACAAUGACAUUGUUUCCUCAUUAAAAACCUUGCUUGGAAAACCCUGUGGGACAAAACCAAAGCGAAGGGAAAAAGAGUGAAACUUUCUUCUGAAUCAUUGAUAUGGUGUUGGAUGAGCUUAUAUUGCCUCGUUAAAACCUUGCUAGGAAAAACCCAGUGGGACAAAAACCUAGUCGAAGGGAAAAAGAGUACAACGCGCAUAUGCCUUGAAUGUAGUAGAAUUGGGAUGCUCCCCCUCAUUGAUAUCUCCCCCUGAUUAAUAUCUCUCCUUCUCUGAUUUGAGCAAUACAAGCAACAUUGUCUUCAUACAUGAUCGUCUAUCACACUAUUCAACCUGCUUUUCACUUUUCAAAUGAUUGAAAUCUUUAGGAGUAUCAACAACUAAUUUAGUAGUUAGAAUAUGUUACAACAAUAUCAAAUUUGAAUUCAAAAUACUCAAACUCUUAGUGUUAACUCUUAAUUAAGAAUAUUGUGGUACUUUAUAUCCUUCAAGAGGUUGCUUCAUCUGAUAUAUCUCAAAUAUUUCAUGAGCUUUGAGGAUUUCCAUGUACCAUAUAGUCUUAAUAAAUAUGCAUUUAACACAUACUAUAAGUUUUGCGUUAAAGUAACAACCGCACUUAUAGAAAUGUGGAUGCAUUUACGAUGAGAUUGGAGACUAAAACCACAUGUACCUCUCCCAGGAAACCUUAUGUCAUAUUAGUGAUCUUAUUUCACUUCACAAACACCAAUUCGUAACCUUCAUACUGAACAUUUGUAAUUUGGUGUUUGAGUUAUAGGUUCAAUAUCCAACUCUUCUUAUUUAGUGAUAAAUGGAAUUGCCUAUUUCCAUUUUUGGCCAAUCACUUAACUUGUCGACAUUCAUGAAACGUGAUUUAAUAUAAUCAUAGCCCUUGAUGAUUGUAGUAGUUACUAAUAAACCAAAUGUAUCAUCAAUUUGUGAUCCCACAAUUCUCAUGUGCAUGCGCAUGCAUAAUUUAUAAGCAUCUCAUUACUUUAGGGUACCAAUGCCUCUUCAAGGGCUUAUGUUGUCACUUAUGGGACAAACAUCUCUUUUACAAUAAAUUAUUUAGAAUAUGUGGAUCAUAACCUCCUAUAGAGCGUUAUUUUUUAUAGAGCUUGAAUUUUUCAAAUAAUCUCCAUUUCUAGGGAGUUAAGUUUUUAGAACCUAUAUUUUUGUCAUGCUUCAGGCAUGCAUUAUAUAUAUAGUCACCAUGUUAAUGGAUUGUGAUACGAGAAUAUCAAUCCAUGUUAGCAUAUGUACAACUUAUAUAUGCAUUUUCUUGAUGAGACAAAAGUGGAUUGAUUCAACACUAUUUCACGAUGUUCUUCAGGAACUGUCAUUUCUCCCCCUAACGGCGGGAAAAUUAUCUCAAAAUUUAGGAAAAUAAACUCACCAUCAUUAUCAAUUCAAAUUGACUGGAUUGGAUAAUGUGGGAGUUGUGCUCGUCAGCGUCUUGACAAGAGAUAAAUAUGUAACCACUUUAGUAGGCAUAUUCAACAAAACUGGUGAAGUGAUCCAUAAUUAAAUGUUGUAUAGGCUCACAAAUAUCCCAUUGAAUUAUGGCUCAAAGUCAAUUUUUGACUGAGAUGAUCUUAUGACAACUUUUAUUUGUGAGCGUUCUUUGUAAUGAUAUUGUUGGACAAGACAAUAAUUUGAGUCUUUAAACGAUGUCCUUACAAAUUUAUAAAAAUCUUAUGCAUCAUUGUGGGACAUGGAUUGCCAAGAUAGUCAUGUCACAACAUAAAAGUUAUUCGGUCAAUGAACUUCUAGUUCAUGACAUCAUAAUCUUCAACUAUAAUAGUUGUGUAAUAUUGGGGGCCUCAAGAACUUUUGGUUCAUAACAUCAUAAACUUCCUACCCACAAAAGAAAGUAGGAAGUUUCUCCAAUAGACGCCUCUGGCUAUCAAUAUUGGGGCGGUAAUACAAAACAUUACCAUUGUAAAACGAAAUUAAUUAAUAACCUAACAUAAAUAAAAUAAAAUAUAAUAAAAUAAGUAAAGUGGUAUAAACAAGGAAUAAAAUAAAUCAAUUAAAGAUUAUGAAAUUCCAAGAUAAUCCAGUAUUAAUGUGGAUUCAAUAUGUAGAUAAAACUACAAGUUUAAGAAUUGGAUUUCCAACCAAUUCAGGUUCAUAUAGGCACAAAUAAGUAAUGAACUUUAGGUUCAUAUCAAUCUAUAUUCGAAACUUCGGGUUCGAAUAUGUAGAUCUAAAUAAAUUGAAUUAAUAGUUGUGCUUUGAACUUCAUACUCAAAUCGAUGUAUAUGCACUCGAAACUUCUGGUUCGAGUUCUUGACACAUGUAGGCCUCAUGGAAUUCUGAUUUUGAUUAAUACAAAAUCGAGGAGUUUCAUGUCCUUAUGUGCUCUUUAAAUUCGCGGAACUUCACGCCCUCAAUUAUUUGGAAUCAAAGAACUUCAGGUUCUGAUUCAAUCAAAAGGACUCUAUAUCCUAAUCUAGUUAUAUGAUGAGGAUCACGGAACUUCGGGCCCCUGAUCUUUUGUAUAAUUCAAACUCAUCAUAAUAAUUAAGAUCAUACUUAAAAUUAAAUAAACAAACAAAUAAAAACAAAAACAUGGCAUUAUAUUCAUGUGUAAUAAGAAUAAGAAUUUUUUUUCUUAAACAAGCAUGAUGAAGUCUGAUGGUGAGUACAAAGAAACUCUAUACCAUGUGAUGACUCUAGCUCAUAUAAGAAGAAAGAAAAUUCAGAGAAAGAAAACAUACCAAGAGCAAUGUCGUGCUGAUAACAUGUUAUAAAACUAGAGGGAGAAAAUGUAGAGAGAAGUGAUAUGCUAAAGACAAAGUUUCACCAUGUUUAUUCUACCUUAAUCUUUGGUAGAACCACCUAUUUAUAGGCUUACAAGAUAGGAGAUUGAAUACCAUCAUUUACAAUAUACCUAUAGGUUACAAGCAUUAAUUACAAAUACUUAGUGCAUAGGUUACAUAAAAUCCAACGGUGGAAUAUUAAGAGGUAUGGUGGUCAUCCACCAACUCAUGUAUUUACAACACAUGUCUAUUUUUUUAGAUUGGAAAACGUUUUUUUUAACACAAGAAUGACCUCAAAAAAAAAAAAAAAUCAACGAAAGAAAGAUUGUUUUUUUUAUACGGACAAAAGACAUCCUUCUAAAGAAGUCUGUAGUCAAAGGAAGUUCAUUGAUUGGAUUUUCAAACCAUUAAUUCGGUAAGUUUGAUUAUUGAUUUUUUUUUUCAAGACCAUUAAUUAGUUAAGUCUUAUUUGUUGGAGUCUUUCAGAAAAGAAAAAAACAAACAAACGUUUUUUCUUAUUUAAUUUUUUAAGUCUUAUUUGAAUGUCUCCUUAUUCCCUUUGGAGUCUUAAAAAAAAGACUUUUUCUCAAUUAAUUUUUGAACAAGGCGAUAAGAAAAUUGUAAAAAAUUUAGAUAAGAAAUUUAAAGAAAUAUUAAAAUCAAUACGUUUAAUAAGGGCUGAUUUGAAAAACAAAUGUUAGCUUGUUUGAUGCAUUAAUUGCAUUGUUUUGAGUUUUUAAAAAGUGACACAUAUCAUGAGAAAGAGAGAGAAUGUCCAAAAGAGAAGGUUAGAGAAAAAGUAGCUAUCAAAGCUUUUUCACAAAGUUAGACACACACGCCCACCAAGUUGGAUUCCAAUUGCUUUAGGUGUAGAUCACUCUAGUGCUGGAACCCACUCCAUGUGUGUCUCCAGCCUUUUAACAAAGAUGGCACGUGCCGUCAUUUCCCCAUUUGAAAACCCACGGUAUGACAAAUGAAGAAAGCUAGCAAACAAACAAGGAUAAAGUAGCCUUUACACAAUUAACAAUACAAUUUGGGCCAAUUUUCAACAGUGAAGGCAUCUUAUUGCAUUCUCCGGAGCCUUUCUUUUUCGAAAUAAGGAUAGAUUUUAAUUUAAACGCUAGAUCUGAAAGCAGAUUCAAUGAUUUCCAUAAAAAUCAUAAUCAACAUUACGUAGUUACAAACAUACAAGAUCCAUCCACAAUUGGUACAUAUAGAGCAGAAUCCGAGCAUCAUUGUUCCCUCACAGAUACACACAACACCUUCACAUAUGCUCUUAUUCUUUUAUUGAAUUACACGGAGUUUCUGGCUAUGCUUCUUUUUCUUUUAUUCUCUUAUUCGUUUAUGGAAUUCCAUAUAUUCCUUGGAAGCAGCAGACCCGGUAAAGGGUGCCUAGAAUGAUACUCGAAUAUCAAGCAAUCUCAUCAACUGAGAAAUAAGCUCUGGUUGGCCAUGCCACGCUGCUGCGGUAACCAGAUUUCCAUCAGUGACACAACGAUCUAUUGGAUCCGCUUCCACAAACGUCCCUCCUGACGAAACCACACGAGCCUUAAUCCCUGGGUAUCCAGUACAUUUCUUCCCCUGAAAUAUAGCCAAUUGAACCAAUUAUAUGACAUGCUAAAAAGUGCCUAAUCAGUUAAUAAGUACAUUAACCACUAAUCAAAAGAAACAGAAAAAAUAUCAUCUCCUUUGCGAUUUUAAAGAGUACUCACCUCCCUCUUCCCCAUAGUUAUUUACAAUUGAGAGGUUAAUAGGUCACAACAGAUCAGCUCAACAGAACCAAAAUACAAAGCACUACCACUAACUAUGUUUUUUUCUUUAAGAACCAUACCUGCAGAACACCAGCAGCAACUAAAAUUUCCAGGCCAUGGCAGAUGGAUGCAACUGGUUUCCCGGCUUCCAUAAAUUGUUUCACUAGUACAAUAACAUCCUCCUUUAGUGCCAAAAACUCUGGAGCUUUACCUCCAGGGAGUACAAGAGCGUCAUAACUUGAGGCAUCUAUGGAUUCAAAGUCAGCUGUUAAAACAAAAUUAUGUCCCCGGAUCUCACUGUAGGUUUGGCCCCCUUCAAGAUCACGGAUAGCAGUUGGGCAGGUAUCACCGGCUUUCUUCUUGGGGCAAACCACAUCAACAUGGCAUCCUAGAACUUUGAGGGUCUGAUAAGGCACAGUUACCUCAUAAUCUUCCGCGUAGUUCUACAAAUAUUGGGGAGGGGAGCAAUUAAAUGAUGAUGAUUAGUAACUAACAGUUUAAUCAUUGGCUAUAUUUUGUCCCAUAUUUGUCAUUGCAAUAUAAAAGAAACAGAAAAGAAAGCUUACUCCAAUGAUGAUGAGGACCCUUCUCUCUGAAGCACAUAUUUUGCCUCCCAGUGCCUGAGAAAAAGCCUAAUGAACUCAGGAUUGCCAUAAUAUGUGACCCCAGUAAUUAAAUUAUCAUCAGCAACACACACUGACAAUGUAUCGGGUUCUACCCAGUGAGCACCAGCAGCAACCAAUCCAGGUUUCAUAGUUGAAACCGCGGUGCAUUUGCGACCUUUAACAGCGCCUGCAGGUGCUAAGACCAACAGCCCAUGGCAAAUAGCAGCAAUUGGCUUUCUGCAGUCAGAAAAUUUUCUCGCCAAUUCUACAACGGAUGCCUUCAUAGCAAGAUGUUCAGGAGAUCGUCCUCCUGGUAUAACUAGACCAUCAUAUUUGUCAAUUUCGAUGUCAUCAAAUGUUGCAUUCAGUGUGAAAUUGUGACCACGAGAUUCUUUAUUAGCCUGUAACCAAAAAGGUACACGAAAGAAAACCAAACACAACACACACAUUAAAACAAGAGUAAUGGUUAGGUGAAUUCAAGCUUCUUUGUCUUGCUUGUCUCUCAAACUCAAACUCAAACUCAAACUCAAACUCAUCAGAGGUUGUUUUCCAACAACUGUGUUCAAUAUUAAACAUAUAAAAUAUAUUCCUCUUGUUUACAAAUAAAAAAGAACAGGAAAGACAGGAAAGACAGAAUUUGACCUGGUCAGUGGACUCUACUUGAAUGGUUAUGGCAGUGGCGCAGAUAUCACCAGCUUUCUUGACAGGAGAAACUGCAUCAACAGAGACUCCAAAUGCCUGCAGUGCUUGAAAUGGGACCAUUGCCUCGUAAUCUUCCAUGUAGUCCCCGCACAGUAACAACACCCUCCUCUGCACCUCGCCUUUCGGAUUCCCCAUUUCUUUUCUUAUUUCCUUCUUUAGUUUCUUUCUUCUUUUUCAGAGAGAGAGAGUUUUCAGAGAGAUUUUUCAGAGAGAGAGAGAGAGGGAGAGAGUCUGAAUACAAGAAGGUAGGUUAUAGCUUGAGCUGCUCUGCUUUGCUUACUUAAAUACUCACAAAAGCGUUUUUGGAGGUUUGUGGAGUCAGCUCGAUACGGUCGCACGCAAUUUGAGCAACACAUCGCAGUCAGUUAUCGUGGCAUCUCUCUAUUCGCCGCUUCUUUUCAGUUCGGAUAACUAUUCUAUUAGUUUCGAGCCUAUCACCGUCUCCAUGUUUGAUACGUUUUUUUGUUGUCUUCUUUACCGACCAAGUGAGUCUAAAUUAUUGAAACUUAAGUUUGUUCUCUUCACGGACCAAGGGGGUCUAAAUUAUUGGAGGAAGAUUGAAACUUGAGUUUGUUCUCUUCACGGACCAAGUGAGUCUAAAUUAUUGGAGGAAGAUUGAAACUCGAGUGCAAAGAGACGGAUUUAUUCUCUUGUUGUGAAUACAAGUAAUGGUCUAAAUUAUUAGAGAAGUAUUCUAACUUGAGUGCAAAGAGCACAAACUUAAGUGCAAAAGAGUGGACUCACUGUCUUAUUACGAGUGCAAAUGAUAGUCUAAAUUAUUAGAGAAAUAUUCAAAUUAUAGUGCAAAGAAGCAUACUCACUGUCUUAUUGUGAAUAUUCGAAUAUUCGAGCUCAAUGCUUCCUUUUCGAUUGAAAAAAAAAAGAAAAAAAGAAGCUCAAUGCUUCCAAGCUAAUGUCCCUAUACUAUAGAAAAGCUCUUUAGAGUCGUCAUCCUCUUCUUCUUGCCUUCAUUGUAGCAUGUGUGUGGGCCCAAUAGUAAAGCUCAAUGCUUCCAAGCUAAUGUCCCUAUACUAUAGAUUAUAGAAAAGCUCUUUGGAGUCCUCAUCUUCCUCUUGCCUUCAUUGUAGCACGUGUGUGGCCCAAUAGAAAAGCUAAUGUCCCUAUAUUAUAUGGACUAUGCGGACAGUGAUGGAUUCAAGAUUAUGUGGCCAAGGGGGCUUAGUGUAAAGUUCCGAAAUUUUUCUACAAAGAAAAUAAUGCUAAAAAAAUAUAAAGAUAGUACUAUAAUCCGUCAUUUGAGUUCUUAGUCCAGGGUCUUCCUGAAAAUUAGCUAAUAUCUCAUCUACUUCAAUUGGUCUUGCAUUUGAACUACCUGGGUUAGGCGAAGAAGGACUAUCCGUAGAUAAUUUUCUUUUAAAGAUUCGUUCCAUAAAUCUACAAAUCAAUUAAUUCAAUCAAUCAUUAAUUUUUAUCCAAAUUAUCAUAUGAAUAUGAAAAUUUCAAUAAUCCACUCUCAAUAUUCAAUAUAUCUAAACCCAUAUUAAUCAAUAUUCAAUAUACCAAUACUUACGAAUGAAAGUUCCAGCGACAUCAGGGAAUUUUUCCCUUAUGUAAUUGUCCAAUCAAUAUUCAAAAUAAUCAAUCAAUUCACAUUAUCAAGCAUAAACUCACUCAAUCUACAUUAUCCAUCAAUAUGAUUCAUAUACAUAAAUUUCAUUACAUAAAAAAUAUCAAUAUCAACAAUAUAUAUUAUCACUAUAAGGGUUGGGAGAUUGGGAAUGAAGGGUGGGUUGGAAGAUUGGGACAGGUUAGGGUUUGAAAGGGUGGGAAGAGCUGUGAAAUUGUGAAAGGACCCGCCCCGAAUUUUCUCAAAACCCGAGACGAACCCUUUGGAAUUCCUGACAUCACUCCGAUGCCAGACCCACUUACUAAAAACCGAGACUCCCUGCCGAAAUUUCGGCAGAGUCUCCCCUAUAAAUUGGACAUUUUCCAAAAUUUAUACCUGCAUGAAAAUGCAUUUAAUAUUCCCAACUGGCAGCAUGCACAAUAUAAUUUCAUGCAAAUUCUCAUAAAUGGCCUUCGGCCUUCAAUUAAUUCUCAAACAACUACCAAGCAAUUCAAAUACAAAUUAUGACUAAUAUUUAGUCUGCGGCUGCACCUAAUAACCUUAGGCUGCCUACGUACCCUCCUUGAGAGAUCAAGCCACACGUAGUUCUUCCUUAAAAACCCAAUUCCACACUUGGGCGAUGCCUUAUUUCAUUUCUCUGUAUUUCACAUAUUCUCCCCAUACGCCGGUACAACCAACGCCACGUAUGAGGCCUGUCAACACGCCGGAUAACCUACGCCACGUGCGACCAUGCCAUACUAUCAUAAUAUCUCCCUAUUCGCCGGUACAACCAACGCCACGUAUGGGGCCUGUCCCAAAGCCGGAUAACCUACGCCACGCGGGACCUCAAUAUCAUAUCACAAAUCUCCCCAUACGCCAGUACAACCAACGCCACGUAUGGGGUCUGUCGACACGCCAGAUAACCUACGCCACGUGAGACCUGAACAUCAUAUUACAUAGCUCCCCAUACGCCGGUACAAUCAACACCACGUAUGGGGUCUGUCCCAACGCCGGAUAACCUACGCCACGCAUGGGGUCUGUCCCAACGCCGGAUAACUUCCACUUGGUGGUACAUGUAGUGAAUCCAACGUCCGAGGAGGUACCUACAGCAGUGCGUAUAGCACUCCAAACUGACAUUCUUGACUCUGUUGUACCCUUGUACAACCACAUAUAAUUAUAUUUAUAUAAAUUAAUUCUUAUAUUGUGUAACCCUCCACAAUAGUCUAGCUCCCGAUAAACCCACCCCCCCCCCCCCCCCGGAAGGGGGAGAUUACUCCGGGAGAUUCACGGUCAACCAAGGGUCAAACUACUCUAACCCUGGUCAAACGGACUUGCAGAACCCAUGACCUCCAAUUUCCGAUCCGAAAGUCUCUAUGGGUUCUACCAGGUAUAGGACACUUGUCCUGCGAGUUUGGUUCAGAUCAGACGAUCGGAUUUCUCACGAUCGCAUGAUCUGACAGUUAAUAUAAAAUAUAAACUUUAAAUUAUUAUUCGGAACAUCUGGGGCUCCGAUUCACGAUCCGUGAAUUCCUACACGAUCCUAGAAAUACCUAGAUUAACAUAUAUUAAAUUUGGGACCAUCAGACGGUCCCAACCUAUCGAACCCAGAUAACGCAUAAUAUGCGAUUAUCCGUUCGAUAGUCAAACGACGUCCGAAUUGAGAUCCGCGAAUCCUACGCACUCGUGACAACCUAAGGAUCUCAUCAGAACACAGUGCUAUUUUUCUACAGUGCCCACGCGCCAGCAGCGCGUGGGUGCCCAAAGCGAUAAUGCUUCGCCGGAAAAUCUCAAAACCACGGCUCCAAACUCCUACCCUAGGUAUAACACCCUAUUUGGAGCCACUUUUGUUCUUGGACCUACCCCAAAAAGUGGCCGGAAAUGGCCGAUCACGGCAGCCGAAGUUUCGGCCGAUUUUCAAUUCGAAAAUUGAGUUGGCUACGCUAAGAAUUGAUCUAAUCCUAUCCAACCAUCAGCUAGAGCAGCUCGAGAGGUUCAAAAUCCAUACAUGGGUCGACGGAAUUGGUGGCCGGAGGAGGGAGAUCGGCGGCCGUGAAAAUCGGGCGACAUCCGGGCGAAAAUCGCCAUUUUCUGGCGGCUGGAGCAGCGGCCGAUGUCGGGGGUGGGCUGGGUCGUGACGCCGAGGCCGAGCCGGUUCUUUUGGUACCGGCCCCGUCCGCAGCCGCGGCCGGUGGCUGGAGUUACGAGGAGAGAGAGAGAGAGAGAGAGAGAGAGAGAGAGAGAGCCGACGGGAGAGAGAGAGAGAGAUCGCGGGAGAGAGAGAGAGAGAGAGAUCGUGGGAGAGAGAGAGAGAGAGAGAGAGAGAGAGAAACCAGAUUUUAUAAAAAAUCCCAUUUCGAAAUAUUUACGAUUAUGCCACUGGGCUUCUUUUGACCAUAUCUCUCUCGUUACAACUCCGAUUCGAGCCCACUACGUGUCUAUGAACUCGUCUCAGUACGACCUAUCCAAAAAUACAAGUCACGGUCCAAAACUCUCUGCAGUAGUGUGUAUAGCACUCCAAACUGACAUUCUAGACUCUGUUGUACCCUUGUACAACCACAUAUAAUUAUAUUUAUAUAAAUUAAUUCUAAUAUUGUGUAACCCUCCACAAUAGUCUAGCUCCCAAUAAUCCCCCCCCCCCCCCCACAAGGGUGAGAUUACUCCGGGAGAUUCACGGUCAACCAAGGGUCAAACUACUCUAACCCUAGUCAAACGGACUUGCAGAACCCACGACCUCCAAUUUCCGAUCCGAAAGUCUCUAUGGGUUCUACCAGGUAUAGGACACUUGUCCUGCGAGUUUGGUUCAGAUCAGACGGUCGGAUUUCUCACGAUCGCAUGAUCUGACGGUUAAUAUAAAAUAUAAACUUUAAAUUAUUAUUCGGAACAUCCGGGGCUCCGAUUCACGAUCCGUGAAUUCCUACACGAUCCUAGAAAUACCUAGAUUAACAUAUAUUAAAUUUGGGACCAUCCGACAGUCCCAACCUAUCCAACCCGGAUAACGCAUAAUAUGCGAUUAUCCGUUCGAUAGUCAAACGACGUCCGAAUUGAGAUCCACGAAAUCCUACGCACUCGUGACAACCUAAGGAUCUCAUCGGAACACAGUGCUAUUUUUCUACAGUGCCCACGCGCCGCCGCACACGCCGGCAGCGUGUGGGUGCCCAAAGCGAUAACGCGUCGCCGGAAAAUCUCAAAACCACGGUUUCAAACUCCUACCCUAGGUAUAACACCCUAUUUGGAGCCACUUUUGUUCUUGGACCUACCCCAAAACGUGGCCGGAAAUGGCCGAUCACGGCGGCCGAAGUUUCGGCCGAUUUUCAAUUCGAAAAUUGAGUUGGCUACGCUAAGAAUCGAUCUAAUCCUACCCAACCAUCAGCUAGAGCAGCUCGAGAGGUUCAAAAUCCAUACCUGGGUCGACGGAAUUGGUGGCCGGAGGAGGGAGAUCGGCGACCGUGAAGAUCGGGUGACAUCCGGGCGAAAAUCGCCAUUUUCCAACGGCUGGAGAAAAACCAGAUUUUAUAAAAAAAUCUCAUUUUGAAAUAUUUACGAUUAUGCCACUGGGCUUCUUUUGACCGUAUCUCUCUCAUUACAACUCCGAUUCGAGCCUACUACGUGUCUAUGAACUCGUCUCAGUACGACCUAUCCAAAAAUACAAGUCACGGUCCCAGACUCUCUCCGGUUAAAAAUAUGACUAAAAUACCCUUAAAUAAUUAAAUAAUUAAAUAAUUAAAUAAUUAAAUAAUUAAAUAAGGGUAAAAUUUGGGGUCGGGGUGUUACAAAUUGGGAAUGAAGGGUUUGGAGGCGCUGUGCAUUCGGGUAAGUGAUUCGGUGUUCUUUUUUUUUAUGUUUUUUGUUUUUUUAAACUUGGCCCAAAACGACGUCGUUUUGAAGCCAGGUCAAUUAAAAAAAAUUUGACUGAGCCUUGGACCAAACGACGUAGUUUGGCAAGGCUCGUUUUAGAAAAAAGGGAUGCGCAGCUUGAGCGGGCAAGGCACAGCGCAGCUGCGCAAUAGAAGAAAAAAUGGCAUGGGACUUUUGUCGAGCAGUUGGUGUGCGUACCAGGGGUCAUCCAGCAGCUGUCCAAGGGGGCUUUCAUGGAUUCCCUUGCCAAUUUUCCUGCCUUCCAAGGGGUCAUCGGACCCCUCUUGUCCCAAUGUGCGUCCGCCAAUGCAUGCGGAUAAAUAAAUGUAAUGUUUAUCUCUAACAGAUCAUGCUUUUUGAGCUGUGAUAGUUUUGGAAUAGUGUUCGCGUGCAUUUUACCUCGACUGCCAUGUUGAUUUUCACCAGAGCAGCAAAGCUGCUUGCUUUGUGUUAUGAGGUCUGGUUUUGUCAACAAACUAUAUUGCUUGACCCAGAAGAAAAUGCAAUAUCAUGUGGAUCCUCAUUUCGCAGUUGCAGGAGGAUGGUUGUGAAAAUACAAGAGCUAAUUCUGGAUAACAUGAUAUUUGUGGGAGCGAUUUCUUCCCACAAGAAUAUUCAAUUGAAAGAUUCCUCUUUCAUCUUCGCCACCCCUUUCUCCUUGCAAAAUAGAUCGAAACAAGAGGACCACACCCGUGAGGUGUUGGCCAAAUGCCCUCAGAUGCCUAAGUUAGUUCAAUUGAUUCGUAGAGAAAACAAUAGCUAAAUAGGGUACAAAGAUAUAUAUAUAUAUAUAUAUAUAUAUGUAAGGUGUAAACCGGGUGGCCGAAGCCAUGAGUGGUGGUCGGAGCCUUGUGUAAAAGGGAGAGAGAGUAUGGCGGCUAGGGUUUGUGAGGGAUAAUUUCUGCAGAGUUUCAGUAGGAAUUUAGACGUAGCUCAACCCUUGUGCGUAGCCAUCUAUUUACAGGGGCCUCGGAGGCUAGGGUUUCAGAGGAAUAAUUCCGCAGAUGGAAAGGAAUUAUUCUUCCCUGAUUUGGCGAGAUUGGCUUAAUUAGGGAUUUGAAUGUAGGAAUCAAAUCAAUCCCAAUUAAAUUAGAUAACUCCCAAUUAGGUAAAAUAAUCCCCAAAUGGAAGGAAAUAUUUCACCUAGGGCUUUGCUAGAAUUGGGCUCCCACAAUAUUCAUUCAGGUAAAACUUCGAGGUGUACGGUGAGAGAGAUAGAGACCAAAGGGACUGACGACUAAUAAAUCGUAGUGUCCUUAGCAUAAGUAGUAUAACACAAGCUUCAUCCACAACCAACUUGCAUAGAACAUGGCAUAUACAUAUCAAAACCAGUGUCACUUGUUCCCUCAUAUAUACAAACGUCACCUUAACAUAACACAACAUACAUGCCUUAUUCUUUCACGAAUUACAUAAAGUACAUGCAAGCAGCUGACCCGGUAAACAACAACUAGAAUGAUACUCGAAUAUCAAGCAAUGUCAUCAAUUGAGAAAUGAACUCUGGGUGGCCCGGCCAUGCUGCUCCAGUAACCAAAUUUCCAUCCGUGAAGCAACGAUCUAUUGGAUCAGGUUCCAGGCAUGCUGCUCCCAGCAAAACCACAUUAAGGUUCACCGCUGGAUACGCAGUACAUUUCUUUCUCUAUAAUUUAGCCGGUUAACAACAAUUAGGACACGAUUAAAAAAAGUUCAUAAUGUGAAAAUAAGUAAAUCAACCCUCAAUCAGAAGAAUCAACAAAAGACAAACAUAUUACAACUUCAAGGUGGUUUCUUUUUUACCUCGUCAUUAAAUACUCACUCUGAUAAAACUUUAUAUAAACAGAAAAUAGGCAGUGUCCCUCUUACAAAAUUGAUGACACUCCUAACUCUUCCUAACAACUUCUGAAAAACUGAAACUGCCUAGCUCCGCCAAGCCUUUUGGUUUUCCUUACUAGGUAAUUUCUUCUUUUACCCCAUUCCCGUGAACUUGUCCUCCUUGGCUCAUUGAAUGUUCGUUAUGUCUCCACCCAUACUCAGCCAAACAUUUGAUGUACUUUAAAUCUUUAGUAUUCAAUAAUACUGCAUAACUGUUGAUAUUUACAUAAAUGGUUCAUAAAAUUGAAGUGGAGAAGAAACUAUCUUAAGAGUUGAGAAUGAGUUUGGGUGGCUUGAGUGAAAAAACUUUAUCCAUCAACACAAGGAGAUGGUGAAGGCAUCUUAUUAUGGUGGGAUCAUUUGCAUCCUCCGGAGCCUUUUUUUUUCAAAAUACUGCCAGAUUUUAAUCAUUAAACUAAGAAUGUAAACGCUAGAUCCGAAAGCAGAUUCAAGGAUUUCCAUAAAAAGCAUAAUCAACAUUACGUAGUUAAAAACAUACAAGAUCCAUCCACAAUUGUUACAUAUACAGCAGAAUCAGAGCAUCAUUGUUCCCUCACAGAUGCACACAUCACCUUAACAUAUGCUUUUAUUCUUUUAUUGAAUUACACGGAGUUUCUGACUAUGUUUCUUUUUCUUUUUUUACUCUUAUUCGUUUAUGGAAUAACAUAUAUUACUUGGAAGCAGCUGAACUGGUUAAGUUUGCCUAAAAUGAUACUCGAAUAUCAAGCAAUGUCAUCAACUGAGAAAUAAGCUCUGGUUGGCCAUGCCACGCUGCUGCGGUAACCAGAUUUCCAUCAGUGACACAACGAUCUAUUGGAUUCGCUUCCGCAAACGUCCCCCCUGACACAACCACAUGAGCCUUAAUCCCUGGGUAUCCAGUAAAUUUCUUCCCCUGAAAUAUAGCCAAUUAAACCAAUUAUGUCAUGCUAAAAAGUGCCUAAUCAAGAAAUAAGUACAUUAACCACUUAUCAAAAGAAACAGAAAAAAUAUUAUCUCGUUUGCGAUUUUAAAGAGUACUCACCUCCUUCUUCCCAAUAGUUAUUUACAAUUGAGAGGUUAAUAGGUCACAACAGAUCAGCUCAACAGAACCGAAAUACAAAGCACUAGAUGUAACCUUUUUUACUUCCUUUUCAAGUUCAAUCGAUAAAGUAUUUCAAUCUGUUUUACUUUAUCUUUAAUAAGUAGCAUUAAAACUGGAAGCAUUAUAUUAAUGUUUUAGUGACAAACGUUUAACCACUAAAAUGCAGGUAGGAUAUAUGUUUUUUCUUUAAGACCAUACCUGCAGAACACCAGCAGCAACUAAAAUUUCCAGGCCAUGGCAGAUGGAUGCAAUUGGUUUCCUGGCUUCCAUAAAUUGUUUCGCUAGUACAAUAACAUCCUCAUUUAGUGCCAAAACCUCUGGAUCUUUUCCUCCAGGGAGUACAAGAGCGUCGUAACUUGAGGCAUCUACGGAUUCAAAGUCAGCUGUUAAAACAAAAUUUUGUCCCUGCGUUUCACUGCAGGUUUGGGCCCCUUCAAGAUCACGGAUAGCAGUUGGGCAGGGAUCACCGGCUUUCUUCUUGGGGCAAACCACAUCAACAUGGCAUCCUAGAACUUUAAGGGUCUGAUAAGGCACAGUUACCUCAUAAUCUUCCACGUAGUCCUACAAAUAUUACAAAUAUUGGGGAGGGGAGCAAUUAAAUGAUAAUGAUUAGUAUCUAACAGUUUGAUCAUUGGCUAGAAGCCUAAAACCAUGAACUUGUCGUGGCGAAACUGGUAAAGCCGACUCGGGCUUUCUCCCCUUUCUCUUUUAAUAAUAUUAAGGUUGGUUGUCACUUGAACUUGAGCAUACUAUUUUGUCCUAUAUAUGUCAUUGCAAUAUUAAAGAAAAAGAAAAGAAACCUUACUCCACAGAUGAUGAGGACCCUUCUCCCAGAACCAGAUAUGUUGCCUCCUAGUGCCUUGAGAAAAAGCCCAAUGAACUCAGGAUUG